rnacentral:lncRNA from 1 species
GCUUCAAUAGUUCAGUGUGAGAAAAAUGAAAGUAGGUAACUAGAAAAGUAUUGGAUUUGUGUGUUGGAUGAUACUUAAAAUAACACACUAGCCUUGCACUUAAUAAUUUAAGUUUUCAAAAUAUAUGGUUCCCUUGACAGCUUAGGUAUAUAAUGCUUGAGGCUUCAUUCUCUUGCUGUGCAUAGAUUUAAGUUGGUAUGCAUGGUUGAUACUUUCUAUAGUGUUUAGAUAUGAAUAUGAAUGUUCUGUACUAAUUACCAACGUUAACAUCCCCAGGAUGCCGCGUUUAGGAUCAACCCUUGAUGUUUUUUUGUCCAUCGCUCAGACUGAUAGGAAUAAUAACGCUUGGAUGGGACUUGUACAUCCUUUCGUUGAUGAUUUGUCCUAUAUUGACUUUGUAAUUGUUACUUGUGUUGGGUAAUACAUGUCUUUUUUACAUAAAAACACUACAUCUUUUGGAGAGCAUCUUUAAAGAUCAAUGUUAUAUAGUUUUAAUUUUCUAGAUAGCAUCUUAAUGAAAUUGUAACAUAGAGUUGUCCUAUCAUAUGCCUCACUAGGAAAAUAUUGAGGAGGUUAUGUUAUGUUCAGUAAAAGGAAACAUAAAUGAUAUGAUAAGAAAUUCAUAGUAUGUACGAUAAGCUCCAGUUUGACCAAAUGUGUGUUCUUAAGACGUAAUCACAUAAUUGAGGCCACUGUAAAUGUACUGUUGUACAACCAAAAACAAGUAAAAUAUAUUCUAGAUUCGGAUGUAACAAUACUUUUAUAUAUAAAUAGUAAGGAAACAUUGACAAUCAAGAGCAUCAUAUUUCUGAAGUACUAGAUGCUUCACUUAUUUAUUUAUUUCAAGUAGGGGGUGACAGGAUAUAUGGUCAUAAUGCAAAGUCUUUUCAAAAGAUGUGAAUUGUUCCUUCACUGAGAUUUGGAACAUUAGUUGUAGAUAUGUUGCUUUUUGAUCAAAGGUUUACUUUGCCUAGGGAUAGAAAUCUCAAACCUUUAGUCUUGUAAUCAAAGUAGAUUAUGCCUGAAUCAAUCUACUUUUGGAAACUAUUUAUUUUGUGUGAAACUAAAAUAUUUAAAGCAAUAAGAAAAUAGAUAUUGGUAUUCAUUCCAACGGCUAAAUAAUUCAUUGAAGCUAGGGGCUAAAACAGAAAAUGUCAGGGAAGCAAGUUGGAUAGGAAAAUCUAAUGCGCAGUAGGCAGUAGAGAGGACGAUGAUACAACAAAUAGUAGGCCGACUUGAAUGACUGGGGUUCCAGAGGAGGAUGAGAAAGGGAUCGGUGAUGGAGGUAUGUCUAGCUUCUCCCUCGUCUCCGUAGACAUGGAGGACCUCGUCGACAAAGGUGCUUGAGGGGGCUUGAUGCCAGCUUGAACGGUGGACCUUUGGCCAAGUAUGGGGUCACUCCAGGCAAGAGGAAUAAGUUUUCCUUUGAUGUUAUCUUGCUUGCAUGCUCCUUUCAGCAAGAACGUAACAACUUGAUGUUUGAAUGGUUCAAGGCUGAUGCUUUCUUCUUUGUAUCUCUCUGUCCGACAAGGUUUAUGGUUUGUGUUCCAGCAGUUUCCUUCUUUUCCUAUGUGAGGUUGUGAUGAGGUCGUUCUUUUCUUUUGAGAUUUGUAAUAUGAGAUUAGAUUCUAUUAUUUAUUCUAUAAUGAUCAAAUGCACUUCUCUUGCAUGGUUCCGAAAAAUACCUCGAUUUAAUAUUCUUACAGUUUUAAUCAUAUAUGAAAUGCUAAGGAACCAUACGACGACCUUUCUGUUUUACUGCUACAAUUUUUUACUAGCUCUUUUACUAGAAGUAGUCGAUUUAUAUUUGUUUUCUGAAACAAGUUGAUUUAUAUUUAUGGGCAUGCACUUGCAGUUCAGUAAACUGGAGUAUGGUAAUUCAUUCUCCAUGAAGAAAUGACAAAAAUGUUGCACCUUAAUUAGGUAUUGUUUUCUAUGUUUUUAAGUAAGAUUUUUUGCACACAUCUUUUCCUCGAUAUUCAUAUUUAAGGUCCACACCUAUGUACCGCCAACUAUUAUUUGACUACCUUUUGUUGGUCUGAACCAAUCUCUUUCAAUAUUGUGAGAUAGUUUUGACCAUAAAUGAUUUGUCGUAGAACUAUAUAAUCACCAUGAUUAGAAUGCCUCGAUUUAAUAUUCUUACAGUUUUGGUCUUAUAUGAACUGCUAAGGGAGCAUAUGACCUUUCUGUUUUACUACUAAGAUUUUUUUACUAGCUAUUUUAUUUGAAGUAGUCAACUUAUUUACGAGCAUGCACUUUCAGUUCAGUAAUCUGGAGUAUGCAUUAGUUCAUUCUCCAUGAAGUAAUGAUGAAAAUGUUGCACCUUAAUUAGGUAUUAUUUUUUAUGUUGUUUGUAGUUAAGUUUUUGUUCUCACAAGCAAGUACCAUAGAUGAAGCUACCGAGGACAUCAACUUUGAGGUCAGUGAACUCCAAGAACAUGAAAUUAAAUUGUUGGAUCUAGCGCAGACGACUUUGGCUACCUGCUUCUUUGUCGGUAGCAUGGCUUUCGUCAUCUUAGAGAUGAAUUUUGUUUCUGACCAGGAAUUUCAUCAUUGAUUUUUCAAGAUUGUUAUUUUAUAUAUGUAGAAUUGUUGUUUUUAAUAUGAUAGCUAAAUUUUCCUUCUUUGUGUUGUAUUUAAUUAUUAUCAAUUGGCAAAGAUGUGCAUUGCAUGUGCAUUUUGUUUUAUUCUUCCAGGGUUGGAUAUUAUAUGCUACUCGGAUACUUAAGGAUCUGUUUAUGCUGAAUUUAAUAAAAUCUUGUCAUGUCACAAGAGAUUGCCUAUUUGCUGACAUUGCAUGAAAUGGUCAAAUCGGUUAUAUGUUUAGGGUUUGAUUAUCAUUAUGAGUUAGACAAUCCUUUAGAAAAAUAAUCCGAUGAAGCUAGCAUUUUGUCUUGAUAUACCUAAUAAGAUUUUAUCAUUUUUUAUGCUUACAAUGUACUUUAUAUUAUUUGUUUGUUGUUUUUUCAGCUGACUGUUGCCCUGUUAGAUUUAAAGGAUAUCAAUGCUACAAUUUCAUUUUUAUGGAGUAACUGAGCUACCGCCUUUUGCUGUAAAAAUAGCUAUUUUUUAUCUUCUCCUUUGUUUAUUUAUGUAAAUGGUAUGUUGGUUAUGUUGUCAUGAAUACAACAGAAUUUUUGUUUGUAUCUAUUUGUUUUCCAUCUACAAUUGGCAAAGAAAGUAGAUGGAGUGUUGAUGCCAUAUUUCCCCCAGAAUAAUAGCUAUAUAUCAAUUGUUGUCUGAUUCUACCUACAUAAUCGGAAGGUUGAUUUUAUUACAUUGCAUACAUCCUACUACAUUUUUUAAAGUGUUAUGUAUAUCCUCAUACUAUCAAAGUUGUGUUCCUGAUUCUUCAUACGCCCCCACCCCAAGGUAAAAAAGGUUACAUGUCAAUAUCUUUGGGUAAGGGCCAGCUAGGGCAGCGAUGAAGGCAUGGUGCAAGAACCUAAUGCUGCAAGGAGCCGCGGGCCGGAGACGUCUUUGUCGACCUACUCAGCUAUGCCUUUCUCUUCGAUGAGUCCCCACCCGAUCCUUGCCUCUACCAUUCUCCUCCGUCGCAAUGGCAAUCAUUGAUUGCUGGUUAUGUUCCUUUAUGAAUCGCGUGUGCUGCCUAAUCCCCAAUUUGACUCCACCCACUUCUCUGCCAUCACACGUGUCACCGCCGCGUCCAGGUCAACAUUAACCCGGGGGCCAAUGGCCAGGACUGACACAGGACAAUGUAUGGCAUCACGCCUAUGACAUUAAUUGUUGGAGUGAAGUUUGUGUUUGAGUCAAUUUAUGGGGCCCCGUGACGUGAUGAUGUGUAUGGUAAGCCACUUUUUUGCAUGUUGUUCCUUAAUUCUUUAACUAUACAAAAAACAUGUGAGUCAUUACGUAGGCUUUUACACACAUUUACUCAAGUUUGAUGCCGUAUUUUUUUAUUAAUUAUCGUAUACUAGACAUGGACAUAGCUGAUGCAAUUAUGAAAGAAGUACGCGAGAGUGGAUACUUGUCAUUAUAUGAUUGGAAACCAAAUUCAAUACAUUUUGUGUUCAGUGACAACGAGCGGGCACAUUUCAACGACCUCGCACCCCCUCCCUGAUCGCUACGCAAUUCCCUCGCUAAAGAUUAUCCAUGAUUUUUUCGCUUCAGCGGUUUUCAUUCUUUCCCGUCGCAGGUCGCACGCCCUUUCCCCCACCCGCUCGAUCUGGAUAGAGAGUGGUUGGUACCCAUUCGUUCCUUGCGCUAGCCUGAGAAAGAGAUAGGGCGGAGAGGAGCUUGGUGGCGGUGACGGCCGUGGAGGAGAUAGCAGGAGAAACCGAGCUACGGAGGGACGGAGAGCAUCCCUCCAUCUGUCUUCCUCGCUUCCUUCAGCCCGCUUGGACGUCUCGGGCGGUAAGGGCUGGUCGCCGCCGCCCGCCACCCGUCAUCGUCGCUGGCCCACUCCACACCCCAUAUUCCCUGCAUCGGUGCCUUCACGACGUGUCCCUCGACGGCCUCCCCUCCCUCCGAUGUCUCCAUUGGUUCGUCCGCUAAUGUCGCCUCUCUCCAUUGCAUGGAGGCAUCGAGUUGGAUGCCUGGACGUGGAAUCCAAGAACACAAUGGCCUGGAAGCUACCACCCAGCCCGCUCAUGACAAGGGCCUAUAGGAGGACCUCCACCUGGUCCUGUAUCAUAGCUGACGGCGCCACCCUGGAUGCUAAUGUCGCACUGAUCUCCUACUACGCCACCGCCCUGUAGGGACAACUGAGGGCCUGUAGGACAGGGAUGACCUAACCCUUCAUUCGCAUGUGUUUAAGAUUGAACCGCACCAAGUCAUCAGUUGAAUUAUUAGAUGAUGUACUCAACUAUACCAUCUACUUGUAGUUGUCGCACAUUGCAUAUCUUGCCAGAAACAAGACCGUCGUGCUACAUGUGCCUUGUCUGAAUGUAGUCAAUGCAAGUUCUCACGCUGGAAACAAGAUCACCAUGCAGGUAAUAUUGCUUGCAAGCAUGAAUGCAAUUUUUCACAGCAUGUCAGAGAUAAUAUGCGAUUAUUCUCAAAUAAUUAUGUGCAGGAUAUCAUGAUUCUCCCAAGUGACGCUUCCUGGUUAACAGAGGCCAUAAAGAUGGAGUUGAGGUUUGACAAUGCAUCUGUACUUCGGAAUAUGCAGUUCGAAUUCUGAUGUUGUUCAUAUGUAGAGCAUCAUCAAAAGAAGUAUGACCAAUAUGCCACAAAGGCCGGGCAUUAAGAUAGACACGUUUCUAUUGUGAGUGCAAGCCAGCAUCUAUAUUUCUUUCACGAAAUAAAGUAGAAUCUUCACAGCAUGGAGCGUUUUAUGGAUUAUGAUUUAAUGAGUACAGCUAAAUUUUUGGUUUCUGCAACUUGUAACAAUGAACCUUGAUUGUUUUCCGUUGACUUAUCUUGAAGCUGGAUACAAGAGCCUGAAUUCUUAUAUAUGUUUUGUUUUGAUUUUAAACUCAUGUUGGGAAAUAAAGACAGUCUUGAACUCUUGAUGACAAUUAUUGCUAAGGCUUGCUACACUGGCAAAGUAAUUUAUUUUUCUUCUGUUUUACUUAGCUCAUGAUUCAGAGCUUGUAUACAAUUGAUAUGUUUCGUGUAUAGCUUAGGCCCUGUUUGAAACCACCCAGAUUAUAUAAUCUGGUUUUAUAAUCUAUUAUAUUUUCAAACAGGACAGUUUAUAUUGUAGAUUUUAUAAACUAGAUGAUCAGAUUAUUAUAAUCUCAUAAUCUGCUCUACCCCAGCUAAAAUGAGAUUAUGAAUUACAAAUGACGUGUUACCCUUGUAACUUCAAGAGAAUUACGCAGUGCCACCGUCACUUUCCUAUUUUUCCUUGUAAACAGAGGGCAAACAUGUCAUUGUAUAAUUUAAAAGCUGGUUUACAGUUUAUAUAAUCUGGCCUCCAAACAUGUCCACCUGGAUUAUUUUUAUAAACCAGAUUAUAUAAUUUAUGUUCAUAAUCCAGAUUAUCAUAAUCUAUUAUGGUUCCAAACAGGGCCUUAGUUAAUAUUACAACUUUGUAUUAGUGUGACACCUUUAAUUACAUUAUUUGAGGGAAGAAAUAUAUUCCAACCGAAGUUGAAUUUCAUUUUUUUUAAUAGGUAUGUGGCUAUCUUUUUUAUGUAUAAUGUAUUUUUACUACAUCAUGUUUAUGUACGCAAUAAGAAAAAUAAAUGAAUGAUCCGUGGCAACGCACGGGCAGUCAACUAGUUUUACUGUAGUAUAGCCAUUGGCAGGUGGACCCAACAGUCAUCGAGAAAUUGAACGCAGAAGUUGUCAAGAAAUUGAACCACAACAGUCAUCGAGAAAUUGAACCACAACAGUCAUCGAGAAAUUGAAUCCAGAAGUUGUCAAGAAAUUGAACCAAGGACAGAUGGACCCAACAGCCACUCUGAGACUCGCUGAAGCCAUCGAGAAAUUGAAUUCAGCAUUUGAAAAGAAAUUGAACCAGAGACGGAUGUACCUAACAGCCACUGUGAACCAGAGACAGAUGUACUCAACAGCCACUCUGAGACUCAUUGAAGCCACCAAGAAAUUGAACCUAGAAGUUGUCAAGAAAUCGAACCAGGGACAGAUGGACCCAAUAGUUGCUCCAAGGCUCACUAAAGCCGUCGAGGAAUUGAUCGAGGAGCUUAAUAAGCAGUCACAUUUCGAUGAAAAGGUGUGUCUUAAGUGGAUCUAUGAAUAAAGUUUGUUUUUAUGUUGUAUUUGUAACCUAAUAGAUUUUUUGUACAUUGCAGUCAUUCAUUGAGUUUUCUCAACCUAUCACAUUGUGCAUUGGCGUUUUUCUCAAUGCAUCAAAUGCAUUAGCUGUUACUGAAUUUUACAAGUCAAAACACGUGAUGCUUGGUAAAGAAGGUGCUACUAAUACCGCUCUAGCAGGCGUCCCUCCCAUCGAAAGUGCUUCUGUCCCUCACAGGGUUACUCUGUCAUUCCUUAUUCUUGCAGCGAUGGUCUGCUUCCUUUUUUUACAAGCUGUGUUGUGGCAGUGGCCCAUGCCACUGCUCAUCGCAGAGAGUGGUUCUCAAAGCUUGCAGUGCUGAUUAUCUUGGAAAUCAUUCUUCUGUAUGCAGCGUUGAUGGUCCGUGCUCACCUAAUUACCGGGGGUCACCCAAUUAUUUAAAUUUUGUAAUCCAUUAUUAUUUUUGUUUGACAAUGAAAAUGAUCUUUCAGUUGGAAUAAAAAUGUUGCUUAAAGAUGAAGUUUUGAGGCCAGGAGUGUUUGAACGAGCUAUCUUUCCCUAAUAAUAAAGAGGCUACCGCUUUUGUCAGAAUUUUCGUCGCAGCAUUUUUACAAAAAAGUCCCUAUGGUUUGGCUGAAUAAACUCGCAAUCCUCGCAUUAAGUGAACCUGAAGCGGUACGUGCAAGAAAAAAAACAGCAGCACGACCCUUCCUCUCGAUCCCAUCUGGACUCCAGCCCCGUCUCGCCCCACCCCUCCUCACCGACGUUCGCCGCCGCACCGCCGACGCCCCCUUCACUGCUCCCUCCGCCGCUCCGCCCGGCCGUCUGGACCGACCGCCUCAUCGACCGGCCGCGGAGGUUCCCGCACCUCCCGCUCCGCCGCGGGCUCAACCUCCGCCGCGCGACCGGGACUACCUCCUCCGGUUCCACAGCCUGUCCGAGGCCUCCCCGUUCGAGCCGCUGGAGGAGGGCGCGAGCGCGGAGACGGCGGAGCGACGGGCGUGCGCGGUGGGGCGUUCAUUCCAAACACACUUAUGCGUGUUCUCAUUCGAGGUGAAAAAUUACUGUUUACAAGGCUGCAUUUGCCAUACAAAACCAAGAGUUGAGGUUGUUCCGUUUAGCGCUCUGACAAAAGUGGAUAUCGUCAACUACUUAGGGACUCCAACUCAACUUUAUGUUGUCAAACAGCUAUUGGCAAGGGGGCCCAGGAUUAGAUUGAUGAGAAUAAUAAUCUCCGAGGCUGAUGAUCCUUCACUAGGCACCAUCGAAAGCUUAUGCCCUGCAGGUUGUCUGCUUGAGCUGGUAUAGUGUUAGAAGAGUAGACAUGUAGAGGAAUAGGUGACCUGAUACCUGACUGCUAUUAGAGCUGUGAAGAAUACAUUUUUUGUUUUGUUUUGUUUUGUUUUGAGGGAUGCACACAUCUAUCCGUGAGAGACCGAAGAUGAAUGCAUACAUAUGCUCAGCAUCAUUGUAUACAGUGGGUAUAUACGGAAUCAUGAAUGAUGACUGAAAUAAAAGAAUCACAUAUACUGAAAUUAUUCAUAUAAUGGAUGUGACCAGUUUAGUGUACUUAUUUGUUUGUUGCUGUAUUUGUUGUCUUGGAGAUGGACCUAUCUCCCCUAAUAAUAAAGGGUGCAACGCUUUUUGUCGUUCGUCGCAACAUUUUUACAAAAACACCCCUCGCUUUUCCGGUAUUCAACCCGCAGUAGUAUCUAAGUUAAAAACGUUUCGGUUUUACAUAACACCUUUCAUCUCCCGCACCCACGAGCAGCCCCUGAUCUGCUCCCCGCCCCGCUCCUCCCGUCGGUCGCCGGCCCCGAUCCACGCCGGAUCCCGCCGCCGGCGAGCUGCCGAAGCCGUCGCCCCCAACCCAGCCUCCUCCGGAGCUCCGCCCAAAUCCGAAGCGCCACCCUCGCGAGCAGCCGCGCCGCCCUGCCUCCUGCGCCUCCCCGCUCUCCCUGCCUCUCCUUGCGCCGCCGCCUCGCGCCGCCGUAGCUCGCAUCGGCAGCCGCCCCCGCCAAGCACCUCGCCUGCCAGUCCCUCCGGACGCUGCAGCCGCCUGCUCGCCAAGCACCUCCGCCCCAUCGCGCCCUGGAUUGGAUCCAGAUCGACCCGCCGCCGCCCUGGCGUUGACCGCCUCUGUUUUGUGCCUGUGCCAUGCGGCUGUAGGUCCUCCCAGCUCAAGCGUUCGGCUCGAUUCGGUCCGUGUCCGUGUCCGUGACGGCAGCCGGCGUUUGGUAUCCCCGGCAGUGCAAGGGCGGGCAAGUGGCAUGCGGCCGCUGCCUCGCGGAGCCCUGCGCGGAGUGCGGCGGCGCCUUCGACGCCCGCAACGCGGCGAUGGACGCCGUCGUCUCCUCGACCACGCCAGCUGCGGGCGCUACGUCACCUACCACGACCUCGCCGGCCACCGCGGCGAGUGUCCACACGCGCCCUGCGCAUGCACGGUCCCCGGCUACGCCUUCGCCGGCCCGGCGCCGGCGCUCCUCGGCCACCUAACCACCCCUCCACUCGAUGCCCGUGCACAGGGUCCAGUACGGCAAGGUCCUCGUGCUCCAGGUGCCGGCGACGCUGGAGCCGCGGGGCCUGCUGCUCGGGGACGAGGACGGCCGCACGUUCCUCAUCGUCGGCGGUGCGCUCGGCGCCGGCGCGGCUGUGUCGGCGGUGUGCAUCAGGGCGGAGGCGGUGGUGUGGCCGCGGUACACGCUCAAGGUGUGGGCGAGCGGGCCGGCGCCGGCGCCGAACCGGAAGGGCAAGGCCGACACUGUCAUGGCGGAGAUCGAGGUGACGAGCAACACGGCGCGAGGCGCCGUCGAGGAGCUGGCGUACCUGGCGGUGCCGCCCAAGUUGCUGGUUGGGGCAGGGGCGUCCCGCUGGAUGUCUCUCAAGAUUCGCAUAGACAAGUUCACCUCCUGAUGACGCUUAGUCCGCUGGUACUUUUUACUAAUGCAGGGUUUAGGUUAGUUUGGAAAGGGUCUCGUGCAUUGCAAUUUGAAGAUGAUGGAAUUUGGUUGCAGUUCAGUAUAGUACAGUAGUACUUCAACAUCAGACCAGGUGCUUUGCAAAUUUCUAACGGUGAAAACUGUUUCGUGGCCAUUGGAUUCAAUGUCUAGAUGUUUGAAAUUGUAGCAUUUCUUAAUACAGUUGUGCAUUGUGUGAGGGUUCAUAACUUUUGUGCUCCAAGAAUUUACAUUUGCAUUUGUGAUCUGGGUCUUACUAUAGGUCAAGCGGAAAUUGUGAUUUGUGGUCUUUUGAGUCACUUAUUUCGUGACAGAGGGGUACAUAUUAGUACCUGCAUAUGAAAUGAAUAGCCAAAUGUUUAAUUUGAUAGGUGUUUUAAAAACUAAAUAAAAAAUAUGAAGCCUAAAUUAAUGGACGUGGUCUUGAAUCAUGGUUAUUGGAUUAAGAGCGUGUUUUCUUUUUCUCCCGUUGCAACGCACGAACACUUUUACUAGUGCUGUGCAAUCUGAAGUCAAGUCUUAUUUGAAACUUUAUGAUGGUAUCGUAGUUAGGCAAUUUUCUAUCUUGGUUUUAUGCGAACCUUGUUUUGUGGAGGUAAUCUAGAUGAUCGUUUGUUCAUUAUUGGACAACCUGGUGUGAAGUUUUGACGGGGAGCAAACCUGGCUUGUGUGUUGCAACUAUCUAGUAGUUCUCCUAAAGGGAAUGUAUAAGGUCCAUGACGACAAACCUUGUAACACAAGAAGCCAAAUAGCUAUUUUUUAAAAGAAGGUUUUUGCGCCGGGCUUCUGGAUGCAUCCGGUCAUUCUUAUUAAGAAGAGUAGAGAGCAAAAGCAAUCACUGUUGGCCAGUUCAAGAUACGGUUGCACCAUCGUCGUCACGUCUAGCUGGCCAGAACAAGGAUUUUUCAUCUUAAUUACCGAAACCAACAUCAGCAAGAACACUAGCAUAUCAGCAAAACAAGACAAUGUCUACACAAAAGUAACGAUGCAAGUUCGUCGCUGCAGAGCCCAACCAAACAAGCCGAAACAAGAGUUUUUACCACCAACAUUAAGCACAAUCAUCAUUUUAAAGACACGGGAGAAUGUACUUGACAUCAAGCCAAAGACACUAGCCAAUCGGCUGGACAUCUUUUAGACCUCCAUUCCGACCAUCGUGUCCAUGCCGCGACCGGUGCUACUUGCAAACCAGCCGAGGGCACUACCCCAAAAGUGGCAGUUUCUUUUUUCUUUUCUUUGGCUGUACUUCGUUUCAAAAUAUAAGAAUACAGAGCAAUCUAAAAGAAUCUACACUCUAAAAUAUGUAUAAAAAGAAUGUUAGAAAACAGUUUGUAUUAUGGCAGUUUUACUAGUUUUCCUUUGCACUGCUAAUGUGAAUUUGAUACAAAUCGAAAAGCGAAGGCAUAAAAGCAAUAGCAGAGAAAAGUUCCAACAGAUAUCCUAUUUUCUAAAUUCCUAUGUUCUUCUUUUAUUUCGAACAGGGCAGUGUUAAUUCUAGGGCGGUGUAAAGCUGGAAAUAUACCGAAACACUGCCAGGUAAAUAAACAUUAUACAGCAGACAAAUUCUAUUCUGUGACUAACUGUGAAUCUUUUCCCUGCCAUAAGGAAAAUUAACAUUUAGCUGGACUGAUGGACCUAGAAAAAUGAACCCAGAAGUGGGGGCCUCACAAGCUUAAGAGAAAACAUACUAAAAGCAGAUGAAAGCAAUAAGCAGGGAAUAUAGAAGAAAUAUAGCUAACAUAUAGUAGAACCAACAAUAACCGAACUGUUCCACGAGUACCACAAAUAAGCUAACCGCGCUUAAUGUUUGGCCAGCCAAAAGACAAAACCGAUACAGCUAAGACGUGCCAAAACCAUCCAACGACGACACUAAGAUAAAAGCAACUAGACGGUGCAGGGCAUGGACAUACGACGACGGGCAGCCUUGGCGCUUAGUCGACCUCCUCCAUCUUGCUCUCACCGGCAUCAUCCUCCAGGGGCGGCAUGUCGGUGUCGUUCUCAGGCGCCUCAUCGUCCUCAUCAAUGCUCAGGCCAAGCUUGAGCAUGCGGUGGAUCCUGGUGCCGAAGGUGUUGGGGUCCUCAAGGCUGAAGCCCGAGGUGAGCAGAGAGGUCUCGAAGAGAAGCAUCACCAGGUCCUUCACCGACUUGUCGUUCUUGUCGGCGUCGGCACGCUUGCGGAGCUCGUCCAUGAUGGCGUUCUCAGGGUUGAUCUCCAUGGUCUUCUUGCUAGACAUGUAGCCAGCCAUGCUCGAGUCCCUCAAGGCCUGGGCCUUCAUGAUCCUCUCCAUGUUGGCGGUCCACCCAUACUCACCAGUCACCAGACAGCACGGUGAGUCCACAACACGGUCAGAGACGAUGACCUUCUCCACCUUGUCGCCCAGCACCUCCUUGAUGACCUUGCACAGCCCCUCGAACUUCUCCUUGAGUUCCUCCUGCUUCUUCUUCUCGUCCUCGCUCUCAUCAAGCUUCAGACCCUCCUUGGUGGCAGAGACAAGCUUCUUGCCCUCAAACUCCUUGAGCUGACCAAUGGCAUACUCAUCAAUGGCGUCAACCAUGUAGAUGACCUCAUAGCCCUUCUUCUUCAGCUUCUCAAGGAAGGGAGAGUUCUCCACAGCCUUCUUGCUCUCACCAGUGAUGUAGUAGAUCUCGUUCUGACCCUCCUUCAUCCUGGUUACAUAGUCCUUGAGGCUCGUCAGCUCAUCACCACUCUUGGUGGAGUGGUACCUCAGAAGCUCAGCAAUCUUGGUCCUGUUCUGGGAGUCCUCAUGGAUGCCAAGCUUGAGGUUCUUGGAGAAGGCCUCGUAGAACUUGUUGUAGUCCUCCUUGUUCUCAGCAAUCUCAAAGAAGAGCUCAAUGCACUUCUUGACAAGGUUCUUCCGGAUGACCUUGAGGAUCUUGUUCUGCUGGAGAGUCUCACGGGAGAUGUUCAGGGGAAGGUCCUCUGAAUCAACAAUGCCCUUGACAAAGCUCAGGUACUCAGGGAUCAACUCAUCACAGUUGUCCAUGAUGAAGACACGGCGCACAUACAGCUUGAUGUUGUUGGCCUUCUUCUUGUUGUCGAAGAGGUCGAAGGGGGCCCUCUUGGGAACAAACAGGACAGCCUUGAACUCAAGCUGACCCUCAACAGAGAAGUGCUUGACAGCCAAAUGCUCCUCCCAGUCAUUGGUCAAGCUCUUGUAGAAAGCAGCAUACUCUUCCUUGUUGAUCUCCUCUGGCUUCCUCAUCCAGAUAGGCUUCUGCUUGUUGACCAAGUUCCACUCAUGAGAGACUUCCUUGAUCUUCUUUUUCUUCUUUUCCUUCUCUUCCUUCUCCUCAUCAACAUCCUCAACCUUGCCCUCCUCGGUAUCCUUCUUCUCCUCCUCGUCUUCGUCGUCAGAAAUUUCCUUCUCGGUGGUCUUCUCAGUCCACAGGGAGAUGGGGUAGCUGAUAAACUCGGAGUGCUUCUUAACUAGAUCCUUGAUGCGGCGCUCCUCAAGGUAUUCCAUCUAGAAGAAAAUUGUAACAAAUCAGACAAUGUACAGAAAGCAAGUGCAGACAAAGACACACAAAAGAAAGAUUUAAAGAACAACCAAACAUGCUGCAACCUGCAAUGCUCAAAUUAAAAAUAAACUACAAAAAAGCAGGUAGAAAUUCCAUGCAGAUGCAUAAAUCCAUAAUACUACUUUUAACAGUUCCAUAAAAGUGAUACAAUGCAAACAGAUGUAAUGUUUAAUUGCAAGAGGCCAGAGCCAUAAAUUACUGAAGAUGAACACAAUAUAAGGCAUUCAAUCAUUACUAAUUAAAAGAGAGGGUCAACCAACAAGGAUGAGUUAAUCUGUGCAUUCAUUAUAUAUGAGAGCAUUAGGAUACAGAAAAAACACAUCAAUUCAACAAUUUCACCAUCAAAUCUAAACUAAUACUACCAAUCAUAGUUACAAUGCAUGGGACAACUCACAUUUAUCCUAAGCAGGUUACAUAUGCUACAACCAACACAGAUCUGAAAUGAGCUUGAGUCCAGGAAAGCUAAAAUUACUGGUAUCAAAUUACUACAAAACUAUUCGAAUUCUAACUGGAAGCUGGUUAAGCAAGGCAAGCCUUUCAGAUACAACUGCAUACACAACUAAUCACAUCAGCAUCAAACGUCCACCUAAAUAGACAAGUCAAACUUAUGCAAAACCUAGCUCAUGCAGUGCACAACUAGACACAAGGAAAUACAGUUCAGAACGAGAUUAGCCUAUCUAGCAACCGUUUUAAGCACAAAAUCACAUCAAGACGGACAGCUUCAUAUGUUGCACAAAAUAACAUCAGGUCAAUCACAGUUUAGUUGGCUUGGGACUGCAGAGCCAAGUUGAUCAUGAAACUAACAGAGUUUAGCUUAUGCAGUGCAGACAUUACUGCCACAAAAGCAUGCUACAGUUCAGAUCGGGGACAAGACAAAUAAGCAACCGUCCAAAAGAGCUACAAUACGCACAGAACCACAUCAAGACAUGAAGAGUAAGCCAAUCACAGCAUAUGAGGCUUGGACAGCAUACCUGGUCGUCCUUGAGGUAGAGGACCAUCUUGGUACCCCUGCCAAGCUGCUCCCCAGACGUAUCACGAGUGACGGUGAAGGAGCCACCGGCCUGGGACUCCCACACGUACUGCUCGUCGUCGUUGUGCUUGGUGGUGACGACGACCCUCUCGGCCACAAGGUAGGCGGAGUAGAACCCAACACCGAACUGCCCAAUCAUGGACACGUCGGCGCCGGCGGCAAGAGCCUCCAUGAACUCCUUGGUGCCCGACCUGGCGAUGGUCCCGAGGUUGUUGACGAGGUCCGACUUGGUCAUGCCAAUGCCGCUGUCGACGAUCGUGAGCGUGCUGGUCGCCUUGUCGGGGAUGAUGUGGAUGAAGAGCUCGGGCUGCGCAUCGAGCUUGCUCUUGUCCGUGAGGCUCUCGAACCUGAUCUUGUCCAAGGCCUGCGAAAAACCACAACGGCAUACACACCAUGUCAGCCCGGGAACACGGAUCUGUAACGCAUCUCGCACGCGACGAAUCAAACCGCGGGUCAACGGAUCUGGCUCUCGGCAGCAUAUCUAAAGCCUAGCGUGGUCUCAAAUCUACCAUGCGCUCGGAUGGUUUCGAGCUCGCGGAUCACGGCGCAAAAAAAAAAAAAAAAGAGGACGGAGAAGGGGAUCCGGGGGAACGCUUACAUCGGAGGAGUUGGAGAUGAGCUCGCGGAGAAAGAUCUCCUUGUUGGAGUAGAAGGUGUUGAUGAUGAGCGAGAGGAGCUGGUUGAUCUCGGCCUGGAAGGCGAAGGUCUCGGUCUCCGUCGCCAUGGCUGCGUCCCUGAGCUGCUCGAGGUGGGGAGCGGAGCGGAGAGGAGGAGAAGCGUGCGGGAGGCGGCUAGGGUUAGGAGGGGUUUUGAGAGGACGAGAGGCCGUGGGGGUGGGAGCCUAUUUAUGCGGGUCUCGUGGUUCUCGAAGGUUCCACAUGGGCCUGGAGCUGGAAGCCGGGCGAGGCCGGCGCGCGCACGUUGACGAGUCGCUGCGGGUGGUGGUUGCUCUUGGGCUUUCCCGGCUAGGGUUGGUUGCGGUGAGUUUUGGAACGGUCGUCGGCCUUUGGUCCUUCGCGUGGCCCACCGGGACCGGGAGUUUUCCAUUUAGCCUGCCGAUGACAGAGACCCGUUUGGUAUCUUUGGAUUUGGUUUUGGAAGCCGAAAGAAUCAAAACACAAGGGUUAGCAGUUUAGGUGGUGGAUUCCAAACCUUGUCUCCAAAAAAAAAAAAAAAAAGUUGACUCCAAACCAGUUGAUUAGGUGUUUUCGGCAGAGGAAAGGGAUUACAGUUCCUUGCAAAUCCAUGUGAUUCUCGUCGGUACAAGCAAAUAGCUUACAUUACUCAUUUUUAAACAACAGGUAAAUGUGUUGUUUUUAUUAUUAAAAAUGGAAAGAAAAGAAACAUGUUUAAGUGAAACAUUUUGAAACCCAUUUUUCUACUAUUAAAGGGGAUCUGUCGUCGUGAUGGAUCAACCUCGUUCGAUCCCCCUCCCGUCGUAUGUGCUCCCCUCCCACGUGGGUUUCCACCAAACAAAAAGACGGCCCACUUCCUCCAGAAAGAAAAACUGUCAUCACACCACGUCUCACCCCUAAAAAAAACACGUCUCACGUCUCAUCUCUCCUGAAAAUUUCCCAUCGAUCGAAAGAGAGCCCCAUCGAUCUCUCCCACCUCGUCUCCCUCCUCACAAACCCUCCUCCCUAAUCCCACCUCCCUCACAAGGGUUCCAGCGCGCAGUUGUAUGGAUGGGUCCUAAGCGUCCGGUUGCAUGUUACGCCAGUUCAGAUAACCAUCCUCCACCACUAGCAACACGCACGACGAUGCGAAGGAACAAGUAGAGGGCGAAGAAGUGCCAGCACGCGACGACAACUUUGGCAUGCAUGGGAACCACAUGGGAAAGGUGUGGCACCCCUACACAAGUCUGGCACGCCCGGAGCGAGUGACGCAACAAUGCAUCCAUCAAUAAGACACAGCGUCUCCAUGAGUGUGCGGGACUAGGGUUUUGAGCGCGGCGUCACUUUCGUCGCCGGCGCGGCUCCUCUCCGUCCUUUACCACGGUUGUGCUCCUGGAUGGCGCUCCUGCGCUCGAUGGGCAUGGGGUGCACAUGCGCGUCGGCUUCCUCCGCUCUAUCAUGGUGAGUUCAUCCCCUCCUCCUUCCUCCUCUCUGGUGUGUAUUUGAUUGGGGUGUCCUGUAGUAUCCAUGCCGGUUGGCAAGAGUUUCAGAGUUGUUUGGUUUGGAUGCGUGCAUGCGCUAUUGUCUUCUCUGUCAGCAUGGAGCUGUUGACGUGCGACUAACUUGGCUUGUUCAGCAAGGUGCUUGAUUGAUGGUUAAUGCCAAUCUGUUGCAGCAUAUUCUUGUGGCCUUGACCAAAAUGUCGAUGUUGUACUCUUGUAGAACAUCAUUAAGAGGAUGUGAUCUCAGCCAGAUGAAUUUUGUCCAACUCCUGCAUUGAAAGGAUGUAAGUCGCCAUCCAACGAUUGAAACACGCAUGAGCAUGUAAUAUCGGAAACAAAUUUUCUCUCCGAUAGAUGGUUAUAUAUCGACGUGUAGAUUUUGGUAAAAAAAACCAAGUACUAGAUUUUGGUAAGCUUAUACUACCGAUCUUUUGGUAAGGUGGACGUGUCAAAAUCAUAUAUUAAUCCCAGCUUUGUGAGUGCAUGCAAAUUCUUGUCAUCUCAACUAAAUCUGGGUGGCCAAGUUUCCAUAGAAAGGUUCGAGCUUUUCAGCCAUACACUAGGUGUGAGACACCCAAAUUUUACGACCAUGUGAUUUAUUCAGGCAAGCAACGGCAGACACAGUUGAGACACUUUCUUAUAAAUUUCGUUUCUCUCAAUUGCUCGUUUCUCCUCCGCAGCUCAGAGCAUCCCGAUGGCCGGUGGUGUUCAUGGCCGAUUGAUGGAGCGAGCCUUCCUCUACAGAAUUGAGCGCAAGUUCCUGAUCAUAGUAGAGACUUUUGAAAACAUUAUAUUCCCUACCUGCACAUUAUUUGAAGCAUAAUUGUAAUGUGUAUAUUUAUUGUUUUUGAGAUAGCUCACCAUCCAUGCCGAAUGGUGAGUAAUGUGUAUAUUUAGUGAAUGCUUUUGGAAACAUUAUAUUUGUUGCCUGCCCAUAUGUGUACUACUGCUUUGGUCUUUUCCAAAUGGAUGGUUGGAUGUUAUAUAUUUCUUUAACUAUCAGAUUUGUAUUAUUUAAUUGUUAUAGUAUACUAUCCAAAGCUUUCACUUAUGCCUUGAGGAAAAGCACUCUGAAAGUUGAUUAAAAACACUCUGGAACUUGAUAAAAAACACUCUGAAAUAUUCUUUGCAUUUGAAAUAUGUAUACAUAUAUUUCUAUGCAAAUUGAGCCCAUUAAUACGGAUGUUAAUUACGUCGAGAUUACUUGCAGGUCGAUGGCGGCAGGUGAGGAGACGUGGAUGCCCCUGCAUAGCGCGGCGUCGGUGUAGUGCCUAGGAUCCUUCAUCACCUAAGGUAAACUUGUGUUUGACCUCUCUUCUUAUAUUCCCCUCAUGUUCUGCAGGUUGUAUAUGUGAAUGGUUGUGCAUAGUAAAUUUUGGUGAUUUAUUUUGCACUAUGAGGUUUCUUGACAGCAUUUGCAUAUCUUUCUUCAAUCUAGCAUCAAAGUAUUGAGGUAACUUUCUUAUCAUUCAGGUUCAUGGGGUCAGGUUAACGAGUUCACAGAACAUGUGGUGAUUGAAGUCCUAAUACCUAGAUUGUAAGAUACUUUGGUCUCCAACCUGAAUUUGAUUUAUAUUGUUGCACAUGUUUUCGAGUUUCUCAGCCCUGAAUUAGAGAGGACAUCAUUGAUAAGUGUUCCACCUACAGGGAUAUCCUUGAUUUUCAAGCAGAUAAAAAGAUUUUGGUAAACAUAUAUUAGUUCUUUUUUAAAAUAACAAACAUGCAACUUGGUGUAAAUCUUAUUUAUGUACAGAACCAAAGUUCUCAGAGCAAAAAAGACCAAAUUCUAAUAAUAUAUUUUAAAUUCAUUUUGGUUUGAUUAUACAGCUUCCAAAACAUGGCAAGAACAAACAUUCUCCUAUGACCAUAUGCUUGUUUUGUUUUCAAAGAUGAGUAAAUAUAUACUAUUUUUAGCUGAGUACGAGGGUGAAUUGGUUACUACAAAAGAGUUAGACAUAUCAAUUACAUCAAGACAGAGUAACUGCCACUAAUCAGAAUGUUACAUUGCAUUCUUUUGUUUCUCCAAAGAUGUCACCAUAAGUGUGUGUAUAGAAAGAACUUUAUUAUGCAAAAUUCACAAGAUAAACCUGUAUUUAGUUCAUGACAAACAUCUCUCUAAUGUUAUCUCUGAUUUCUUCUAUGACGUUAUUGUUUGUUAUCCCCGGGCUUGUGUAAGCUCUUUGUUUUAUUGGUGUCCAUCAAAAGUAUUCUUAUUCUAUGAUUGCUUCUUGAGACCACAAAUGAAGCUGGUGCACUCCGGGAGGUGAAGAUAAACUUGAGAAGAAGUUGGAUGAUCUUACUUCAAGACUUACUUUGGAAAGGAGAAUGAGGGUAUGUUUUUCUCUACCUUCAUUCCUUUUGUGUUUAAUGUGAACCCUUUAUUUUGCAUGUUCUACCCUUCAUGCCGUAGAGUUGAGACAGUUAUGCUUGUUCGUGCCUGUCGGUGAAUACUCACAACAUAUGCCAUAGGUAGGCUAAAGUCGGUGAGAACCGAAGGGACAAAGGUGGACGUUGGGAACGAGGUUGGUACACGCACGGAACGCACGAUGUACACAGGUUCAGGGCUCUUCGUAGAGAUAAUACCCCUAGUCCUGCCGGAGUGUUUGAUGUGUAUGAACAGAGUACAGAGUUGCUCCUGGAGCUGUGUUGGGAGGAGGAAGAGGGGAGCAGCCGGCUCGUCUGUGCCUUGAUACGUCUCCAUCGUAUCUACUUUUCCAAACUCUUUCGCCCUUGUUUUGGACUCUAAUUUACAUAAUUUGAACGAAACUAACCUGGACUGACGUUGUUUUCAGCAGAAUUGCCUUGGUGUUAUUUUUGUGCAGAAAUCAAAGUUCUCCAAACGACGUGAAAAUUUACGGGGAGCAUUUUUGGAAAAAUGAAAAAUACCUGCGCAAAGAUCCACCUGAGGGGGUGGGCUAGUGGGCCACAAACCCUGCCACCGCCACCCCCCUAGUGGCGGUGGGCAAGCUUGUGGGGCCCACACGGCUCUGCCGCCCCCAAUCUCAGGUCUAUAAGUUCACUUUCGUCCCAUAAAAAAUAAAAAAUAGAAGAUUUCAUCGCGUUUACGAUACGGAGGCGCCGCCACAACCUGUUCUUCAUCUGGAGGGCAGAUCUGGAGUCUGUUUUGGGCUCCGGAGAGGGGAAAUCGUCGCCAUCGUCAUCAUCAACCUUCUUCCCUCUCCAAUUCCAUGAAGCUCUUCAUCGUUCGUGAGUAAUCUAUUCGUAGGCUCGCUGGGCGGUGAUGAGUAGGAUGAGAUCUAUCAUGUAAUCGAGUUAGUUUUGAUGGGGAUUGAUCCCUAGUAUCCACUAUGUUCUGAGAUUGAUGUUGCUACUACUUUGCCAUGCUUAAUGCUUGUCACUAGGGCCUGAGUGCCAUGAUUUCAGAUCUGAAAUUAUUAUGUUGUCACCAAUAUAUGUGUGUUUUAGGUCCGAUCUUGCAAGUUGUAGUUACCUACUAUGUGUUAUGAUCCGGCAACCCCGGAGUGACAAUAACCGGAACCACUCCCGGUGAUGAACAUAGUUUGAGGAGUCCAUGUGUUCCCCAAGUGCUAAUGCGUUGGUCCGGUUCUUUAUUAAAAGGAGAACCUUAAUAUCCCGUAGUUUCCUUUUGGACCCCGCUGCCACGGGAGGGAUGGACAAUAGAUGUCAUGCAAGUUNNNNNNNNNNNNNNNNNNNNNNNNNNNNNNNNNNNNNNNNNNNNNNNNNNNNNNNNNNNNNNNNNNNNNNNNNNNNNNNNNNNNNNNNNNNNNNNNNNNNACACACAAGCCUUGCAAGCAAUGUGACUUAGUGUAAGUUGCGGGAUCUUGUAUUACGGAACGAGUAAAGAGACUUGUCGGUAAACGAGAUUGAAAUAGGUAUGCGGAUAGUGACGAUCGAAUCUUGGGCAAGUAACAUAUCGAAGGACAAAGGGAAUGACAUACGGGAUUAUAGAAUCCUUGGCACUGAGGUUCAAACGAUAAGAUCUUCGUAGAAUAUGUGGAUCCAAUAUGGGCAUCCAAGUCCCGCUAUUGGAUAUUGACCGAGGAGUCACUCGGGUCAUGUCUGCAUAGUUCUCGAUCCCGCAGGGUCUGCACACUUAAGGUUCGACGUUGUUUUAUGCGUAUUUGAGUUAUAUGGUUGGUUACCGAAUGUUGUUCGGAGUCCCGAAUGAGAUCACGGACGUCACGAGGGUUUCCGGAAUGGUCCGGAAACGAAGAUUGAUAUAUAGGAUGACCUCAUUUGAUUACCGGAAGGUUUUCGGAGUUACCGGGAAUGUACCGGGAAUGACGAAUGGGUUCCGGGUGUUCACCGGGGGGGGCAACCCACCCCGGGGAAGCCCAUAGGCCUUGGGGGUGGCGCACCAGCCCUUGGUGGGCUGGUGGGACAGCCCAAGAAGGCUCUAUGCGCCAAGGAUAGAAAAUCAAAGAGAAAGAAAAAAAAGGAGGUGGGAAAGGAGAGAAGGACUCCACUUUCCAAUCCUAGUUGGACUAGGAUUGGAGGAGGACUCCUCCUCCCUUGGUGGAGCAGCCCUUGGGGCUCCUUGAGCCUCAAGGCAAGCCUCCCCUCCCUCCUCCUAUAUAUAUGGAGCAAUUAGGGCUGAUUUGAGACAACUUUUCAAAGGCAGCCCGACCACAUACCUCCACGGUUUUACCUCUAGAUCGCGUUUCUACGGAGCUCGGGCGGAGCCCUGCCGAGAUCAGAUCACCACCAACCUCCGGAGCGUCGUCACACUGCCGGACAACUCAUCUACCUCUCUGUCUCUCUUGCUGGAUCAAGAAGGCCGAGAUCAUCGUCGAGCUGUACGUGUGCUGAACGCGGAGGUGCCGUCUGUUCGGCACUAGAUCGUGGGACGGAUCGCGGGGCGGAUCGUGGGACGGUUCGCGGGGCGGAUCGAGGGACGUGAGGACGUUCCACUACAUCAACCGCGUUCACUAACGCUUGUGCUGUGCGAUCUACAAGGGUAAGUAGAUCGGAAAUCCCCUCUCGUAGAUGGACAUCACCAUGAUAGGUCUUCGUGCGCGUAGGAAAAUUUUGUUUCCCAUGCGACGUUCCCCAACAUGGGAAACAUCUCCUUAGUCCUUUUCAGGUACUAAGGAUAGACAAGCAUGGGAAGAUUUUUGUUUCCCAUGCGACGUUCCCCAACAAUCACAUCACAUCGUUGGCCAUAUCACAUCACAAGCAUACCCUGCAAAAACAAGUUAGACGUCCUCUAAUUUUGUUGUUGCACGUUUUACGUGGUGACCAUGGGUAUAGUAGGAUCGCAUCUUACUUACGCAAACACCACAACGGAGAUAUAUGAGUUGCUAUUUAACCUCAUCCAAGGACCUCCUCGAUCAAAUCCAAUUCAACUAAAGUUGGAGAAACUGACACCCGCCAGUCAUCUUUGAGCAACGGAAUUACUCGUAGCGAUGAAACCAGUCUCUCGUAAGCGUACGAGUAAUGUCGGUCCGAGCCGCUUCGAUCCAACAAUACCGCGGAAUCAAGAAAAUACUAAGGAGGGCAGCAAAACGCACAUCACCGCCCACAAAAACUUUUGUGUUCUACUCGAGAAGACAUCUACGCAUAAACCUAGCUCAUGAUGCCACUGUUGGGGAACGUCGCAUGGGAAACAAAAACUUUCCUACGCGCACGAAGACCUAUCAUGGUGAUGUCCAUCUACGAGAGGGGAUGUGUGAUCUAUGUACCCUUGUAGACCGUACAGCAGAAGCGUUAGUAAACGCGGUUGAUGUAGUGGAACGUCCUCACGUCCCUCGAUCCGCCCCGCGAACCGUCCCGCGAUCAGUCCCACGAUCUAGUGCCGAACGGACGGCACCUCCGCGUUCAGCACACGUACAGCUCGAUGAUGAUCUCGGCCUUCUUGAUCCAGCAAGAGAGACAGAGAGUUAGAAGAGUUCUCCGGCAGCGUGACGGCGCUCCGGAGGUUGGUGAUGAUCUCGUCUCAGCAGGGCUCCGCCCGAGCUCCGCAGAAACGCGAUCUAGAGGUAAAACCGUGGAGAUAUGUGGUCGGGCUGCCGUGGCAAAGUUGUAUCAAAUCAGCCCUAAAACCUCCGUAUAUAUAGGGGGAAGAGGGGGAGCCUUGCCUUGGGUUCCAAGGACCCCUAAGGGCUUCGGCCGAGCCAAGGGGGGGAGAUCUCCCCUUCCAAACCGAGUCCAACUAGGUUUGGAAGGAGGAGUCCUUCCCCCUUUUCCCACCUCCUCUUUUUUUUUCUCUUUGAUUUUCUUCCUAUGGCGCAUAGGGCCUUCUUCGGCUGUCCCACCAGCCCACUAAGGGCUGGUGCACCACCCCCAAGGCCUAUGGGCUUCCCCGGGGUGGGUUGCCCCCCCCCCCCGGUGAACUCCCGGAACCCAUUCGUCAUUCCCGGUAACUCCGAAAACCUUCCGGUAAUCAAAUGAGGUCAUCCUAUAUAUCAAUCUUCGUUUUCGGACCAUUCCGGAAACCCUCGUGACGUCCGUGAUCUCAUCUGAGACCCCGAACAACAUUCGGUAACCAACCAUAUAACUCAAAUACGCAUAAAACAACGUCGAACCUUAAGUGUGCAGACCCUGCGGGUUCGAGAACUAUGUAGACAUGACCCGAGAGACUCCUCGGUCAAUAUGCAAUAGCGGGACCUGGAUGCCCAUAUUGGAUCCUACAUAUUCUACAAAGAUCUUAUCGUUUGAACCUCAGUGCCAAGGAUUCAUAUAAUCCCGUAUGUCAUUCCCUUUGUCCUUCGGUAUGUUACUUGCCCGAGAUUCGAUCGUCAGUAUCCGUAUACCUAUUUCAAUCUCGUUUACCGACAAGUCUCUUUACUCGUUCCGUAAUACAAGAUCCCGCAACUUACACUAAGUCACAUUGCUUGCAAGGCUUGUGUACGAUGUUGUAUUACCGAGUGGGCCCCGAGAUACCUCUCCGUCACACGGAGUGACAAAUCCCAGUCUCGAUCCAUACUAACUCAACGAACACCUUCGGAUAUACCUGUAGAGCAUCUUUAUAGUCACCCAGUUACGUUGCGACGUUUGAUACACACAAAGCAUUCCUCCGGUGUCAGUGAGUUAUAUGAUCUCAUGGUCAUAGGAACAAAUACUUGACACGCAGAAAACAGUAGCAACAAAAUGACACGAUCAACAUGCUACGUCUAUUAGUUUGGGUCUACUCCAUCGCGUGAUUCUCCUAAUGACGUGAUCCAGUUAUCAAGCAACAACACCUUGUUCAUAAUCAGAAGACACUGACUAUCUUUGAUCAAAUGGCUAGCCAACUAGAGGUUUGCUAGGGACAGUGUUUUGUCUAUGUAUACACAUGUAUAUAAGUCUUUAUUCAAUACAAUUAUAGCAUGGAUAAUAAACGAUUAUCUUGAUACAGGAAUUAUAAUAAUAACUAUAUUUAUUAUUGCCUCUAGGGCAUAAUUCCAACAGUGAUAUAUUGGAUGUAUGAGAUGAUCAUGUUGUAAUAGAUAAUAUCGACUUGCACGUCGAUGGUACGGCAACCGACAGGAGCCAUAGGGUUGUCUUUAAACUAACGUUUGUGCUCGCAGAUGCGUUUACUAUUUUGCUAGUAUGUAGCUUUAGUAGUAAUAGCAUGAGUAGUACGACAACCCCGAUGGCGACACGUUGAUGGAGAUCAUGGUGUGGCGCCGGUGACAAGAAGAUCGUGCCGGUGCUUUGGUGAUGGAGAUCAAGGAGCACGUGAUGAUAGCCAUAUCAUGUCACUUAUGAAUUGCAUGUGAUGUUAAUCCUUUUAUGCACCUUAUUUUGCUUAGAACGACGGUAGCAUUAUGAGGUGAUCUCUCACUAAAAUUUCAAGACGAAAUUGUGUUCUCCCCGACUGUGCACCGUUGCUACAGUUCGUCGUUUCGAGACACCACGUGAUGAUCGGGUGUGAUAGACUCAACGUUCACAUACAACGGGUGCAAAACAGUUGCACACGCGGAACACUCGGGUUAAGCUUGACGAGCCUAGCAUGUGCAGACAUGGCCUCGGAACACAUGAGACCGAAAGGUCGAUCAUGAAUCAUAUAGAUGAUAUGAUUAGCAUAGGGAUGCUUACCACUGAAACUAUACUCAACUCACGUGAUGAUCGGACUUGAGCUAGUGUAAGUGGGUCAUGAACCACUCAAAUGACUAGAGAGAUGUACUUUUUGAGUGGGAGUUUAGCAAGUAAUUUGAUUAAAUUAAACUCUAAUUAUCUUGAACAUAGUCUAAGUCCACUUUGAAUAUAUUUGUGUUGUAGAUCAUGGCUCACGCGACAGUCACCCUGAAUUUUAAUACGUUCCUAGAGAAAGCUAAGUUGAAAGAUGAUGGAAGCAACUUUGUAGACUGGGCUCGUAAUCUUAAGUUGAUCCUACAAGCUGGGAAGAAGGAUAAUGUCCUUAAUGCUGCACUAGGAGAUGAACCACCCGCUACGACUGACCAGGAUGCUAAGAACGCUUGGUUAACACGUAAGGAGGACUACUCAGUAGUUCAAUGUGCAGUCUUGUAUGGCUUAGAACCGGGACUUCAACGUCGUUUUGAGCGUCAUGGAGCAUAUGAGAUGUUCCAGGAGUUGAAGUUUAUCUUUCAGAAGAACGCCCGGAUCGAGAGGUAUGAGACCUCCGAUAAAUUCUAUGCUUGCAAGAUGGAGGAGAAUUCGUAUGUCAGUGAACAUGUGCUCAAAAUGUCUGGGUACUCAAACCGUCUAGCUGAGCUGGGGAUUGAACUCCCGCAAGAGGCUAUCACUGACAGAAUUCUUCAAUCACUGUCGCCAAGCUAUAAGGGCUUUGUGUUGAACUACAACAUGCAAAGGAUGAACAAGUCACCCGACGAGUUGUUUGCGAUGCUGAAAGUCGCAGAGUCUGAACUCCAUAAAGAACAUCAAGUGUUGAUGGUGAAUAAGACCACUGGUUUCAAGAGAAACGAUAAAGGCAAGAAGGGUAAUUCAAAGAAGAGCGGCAAGCCUGUUGCCAAUCCGACGAAGAAACCCAAAGCUGGACCUAAGCCUGAAAUAGAGUGCUACUAUUGCAAGGGUAUGGGUCACUAGAAGCGCAACUGCCCCAAGUAUCUGGCUGAUAAGAAGGCGGCCAAAGAAAAAUCAGGUAUAUUUGAUAUACAUGUUAUUGAUGUGUACUUAACCAGCUCUCGUAGUAGUGCCUGGGUAUUCGAUACCGGUUCUGUUGCUCAUAUUUGCAACUCGAAACAGGAACUGCGGAAUAGGCGAAGGCUGGCGAAAGAUGAAGUGACGAUGCGCGUAGGAAAUGGUUCCAAGGUUGAUGCAAUCGCCGUCGGCACAGUUUCACUUCAGUUACCAUCAGGAUUAGUUAUGAACUUGAAUAAUUGUUAUUUAGUGCUUGCGUUGAGCAUGAACAUUAUAUCUGGAUCUUGUUUAUUGCGAGACGGUUACUCCUUUAAGUCAGAGAAUAAUGGUUGUUCUAUUUCUAUGAGUAACAUCUUUUAUGGUCAUGCACCCAAUGUGAGAGGAUUGUUCAUAUUAAAUCUUGAUAGUGAUAAUACACAUAUACAUAACAUUGAGACCAAAAGAGUUAGAGUUAACAAUGAUAGCGCCAUAUUUUUGUGGCACUGCCGCUUAGGUCAUAUUGGUGUAAAGCGCAUGAAUAAACUCCAUGCCGAUGAACUUUUGGAGUCACUUGACUUUGAUUCACUUGACACGUGCAAACCAUGCCUCAUGGGCAAGAUGACUAAAACUCCGUUCUCCGGAACAAUGGAGCGUGCCAGUGACUUGUUGGAAAUCAUACAUAGCGAUGUGUGCGGUCCGAUGAGCGUAGAGGCACACGGCGGAUAUCGUUAUUUUCUCACCUUCACUGACAAUUUGAGUAGAUAUGGUUAUGUCUACUUAAUGAAGCACAAGUCUGAAACAUUUGAAAAGUUCAAGCAAUUUCAGAGUGAAGUUGAAAAUCAUCGUAACAAGAAGAUCAAGUUCCUACGGACUGAUCGUGGGGGUGAAUAUCUGAGUUUCGAGUUUGGUGCUCACUUAGACAAUGUGGAAUUAUUUCACAGUUGACACCGCCUGGAACACCACAGCGUAAUGGUGUGUCCGAACGUCGCAAUCGUACUUUAUUAGAGAUGGUGCGAUCUAUGAUGUCUCUUACCGAUUUGCCGUUAUCGUUUUGGGGUUAUGCAUUAGACACAGCUGCAUUCACUUUAAAUAGGGCACCAUCAAAAUCCGUUGAGACGACACCAUACGAACUGUGGUAUGGCAAAAGGCCAAAGUUGUCGUUUCUUAAAGUUUGGGGAUGUGAUGCUUAUGUCAAAAAGCUUCAGCCUGAAAAGCUGGAACCCAAAGCGGAAAAGUGCAUCUUCAUAGGUUACCCAAAAGAGACAGUUGGGUACACCUUCUAUCUCAAAUCCGAGGGCAAAGUGUUUGUUGCUAAAAACGGAGCUUUUCUCGAGAAGGAGUUUCUCUCGAGAGAAUUGAGUGGGAGGAAGAUAGAACUUGAUGAGGUUGUCGAACCUCUCAUCCCUCUGGAUGGUGGCGCAGGGCAAGGGGAAACCCCUGUCGUUGUGACACCGGUUGAGGAGGAAGUUAAUGAUGAUGAUCAUGAAACUCCGGUUCAAGUUCCUAUCGAACCACGCAGGUCGACGAGACCACGUGCUGCUCCAGAGUGGUACGGUAAUCCCGUUUUGUCAAUCAUGUUGUUAGACAACAAUGAACCUGCAAAUUAUGAAGAAGCAAUGGUGGGCCCAGAUUCCAACAAAUGGCUGGAGGGCAUGAAGUCCGAGAUAGGAUCCAUGUAUGAAAACAAAGUGUGGACUUUGGAAGUACUACCUGAGGGCCGCAAGGCUAUUCAUAACAAAUGGAUCUUUAAGAAGAAGACGGAUGCUGACGGCAAUGUGCCGUUUAUAAAGCUCGACUUGUGGCAAAGGGUUUUUCACAAGUUCAAGGAGUUGACUACGAUGAGACAUUCUCACCUGUAGCGAUGCUUAAGUCCGUCAUGUUAGCAAUAGCUGCAUUUUUCGAUUAUGAAAUCUGGCAGAUGGAUGUCAAAACGGCGUUCCUUAACGGUUUCCUUAAGGAAGAGUUGUAUAUGAUGCAACCCGAAGGUUUUGUCGAUCCUAAGAAUGGUAACAAGGUAUGCAAGCUCCAGCGAUCCAUUUAUGGACUGGUGCAAGCAUCUCGGAGUUGGAACAAACGCUUUGAUGAGGUGAUCAAAGCAUUUGGGUUUAUACAUGUGGUUGGAGAAUCUUGUAUUUACAAGAAAGUGAGUGGGAGCUCUGUGGCGUUUCUAAUAUUAUAUGUGGAUGACAUAUUGCUGAUUGGAAACAACGUAGAGUUUCUAGAGAGCAUAAAGGAUUACUUGAAUAAAAGUUUCUCUAUGAAGGACCUAGGAGAAGCUGCUUACAUUCUAGGCAUUAAGAUCUACAGGGAUAGAUCGAAACGCCUGAUAGGACUUUCACAAAGCACAUACCUUGAUAAAGUUUUGAAGAGGUUCAAAAUGGAACAGUCCAAGAAAGGGUUCUUGCCGGUUUUACAAGGUACGAGAUUGAGUAAGACUUAGUGCCCAGCAACUGAUAAAGAUAGAGAGAAUAUGAGCACCGUCCCCUAUGCUUCAGCCAUAGGAUCUAUCAUGUAUGCAAUGUUGUGCACUAGACCGGACGUUAGCCUGGAUAUAAGUAUGGCAGGCAGGUUCCAGAGUAAUCCAGGAGUGGAUCACUGGAGGGCAGUCAAGAAUAUCCUGAAGUACCUGAAAAGGACUAAGGAGAUGUUUCUCGUGUAUGGAGGUGACGAAGAGCUCGCCGUAAAGGGUUACGUCGAUGCAAGCUUUGACAUAGAUCCGGACGACUCUAAGUCGCAGAGCGGAUACAUAUUUAUUCUUAAUGGGGGUGCUGUAAGCUGGUGCAGUUCCAAGCAAAGCGUCGUAGCAGAUUCUACAUGUGAAACGGAGUACAUGGCUGCCUUAGAGGAGGCUAAGGAGGGUGUCUGGAUGAAGCAGUUCAUGACGGAUCUUGGAGUGGUGCCAAGUGCACUGAAUCCAAUAACCUUGUUCUGUGACAACACGGGUGCCAUUGCCUUAGCAAAGGAACCACGGUUUCACAAGAAGAUCACACACAUCAAACGACGCUUCAACCUCAUCCGCGACUACGUCGAAGGGGAGGACGUAAAUAUAUGCAAAGUGCACACGGAUCUGAAUGUAGCAGACCCGCUGACUAAACCUCUUCCACGGGCAAAGCAUGAUCAACACCAGAACUGUAUGGGUGUUAGAUUUAUUACAAUGUAAUUCGCAUGAUGAUGUGAGGGCUAGAUUAUUGACCAGGAUUCGAAUUAUGCCCUAGAGGCAAUAAUAAAUAUAGUUAUUAUUAUAAUUCCUGUAUCAAGAUAAUUGCUUAUUAUCCAUGCUAUAAUUGUAUUAAAUGAAGACUUAUAUACAUGUGUGGAUACAUAGACAAAACACUGUCCCUAGCAAGCCUCUAGUUGGCUAGCCAGUUGAUCAAAGAUAGUCAGGGUCUUCUGAUUAUGUACAAGGUGUUGNNNNNNNNNNNNNNNNNNNNNNNNNNNNNNNNNNNNNNNNNNNNNNNNNNNNNNNNNNNNNNNNNNNNNNNNNNNNNNNNNNNNNNNNNNNNNNNNNNNNUCAGCCGACUUGGACCGCCUCGCUUAGAUUCAUCUCAAGGAGAUGAACCUCAAGGACGCCGCCUUGAAGGAGAAGGAGGAGGCCCUUGUCGAGAAGCAAUCACAGCUGGCCAAGGCCUUGGAGUCUGCGGUGGCUCUCCACGAGGAGGUUGCCCGCCUUACUCCCGGAGUGACAAUAACCGGAACCGCUCCCGGCGAUAACCAUAGUUUGAGGAGUUCAUGUGUUCACCAAGUGCUAAUGCGUUGUUCUGGUUCUUUAUUAAAAGGAGAACCUUAAUAUCCCGUAGUAUCCUUUUGGACCCCGCUGCCACGGGAGGGAUGGACAAUAGAUGUCAUGCAAGUUCUUUUCCCUAAGCACGUAUGACUACACACGGAAUGCAUGCCUACAUCACAUUGACGAACGGGAGCUAGCCACAUAUCUCUCCGUGUUAUAACUGUUGCAUGAUAAAUGUUGAUACGUCUCCGUCGUAUCUAUAAUUUUUGAUUUUUUCAUGCCAAUAUUCUACAACUUUCAUAUACUUUUGGCAACUUUUUAUACUAUUUUUGGGACUAACAUAUUGAUCCAGUGCCCAGUGUCAGUUCCUGUUUGUUGCAGGUUUUUUGUUUCGCAGAAUAUCCAUACCAAACGAAGUCCAAACGUAAUAAAAACUUAGGGGAUUUUUUUGGAAUAUUUUUGAUUUUUGGGAAGAAGAAUCAACGUGAGGCGAUGCACGGAGUGCCCACAAGCCUUGUCGCCGCGACUAGGGGGUGGGCCCGCGGCAGGCAGGCUUGUGGCCACUCCUUAAGGCGGUUGGAGCCCUUCUUUCGCCGUAAGAAAGAUAUUAUCCGAAAGAAAAUCGUGUUAAAAUUUCAGCCCAAUCGGAGUUAUGGAUCUCCGGGAAUUUAAGAAACGGUGAAACGCAGAAUCUGGGAGCGCGGAAACAGAAGGACACAAAGAGAGAGAUCCAAUCUCGGAGGGGCUCUCGCCCCUCCGCCGCCAUGGAGACCAUGGACCAGAGGGAAAACCCAUCUCCCAUCUAGGGAGGAGGUCAAGGAAGAAGAAGAAGGAGGGGGGCUCUCUCCCCCUCUCUCCUGACGGCGCCGGAACGCCGCCCGAGACAUCAUCGUGUGGCGACGAUCUACACCAACACCUCUGUCAUCUUCACCAACAUCUCCAUCAUCUUCCCCCAUCUAUAUUCAGCGAUUCACUCUCCCGCAACCCGCUGUACCCUCUACUUGAACAUGGUGCUUUAUGCUACAUAUUAUUAUCCAAUGAUGUGUUGCUAUCCUAUGAUGUCUGAGUAGAUUAUCGUUGUCCUAUCGGUGAUUGAUGAAUUGCUAUGAUUGGUUUAAUUUGCUUGUGGUUAUGUUGCUGUCCUUUGGUGCUCAUCAUAUGAUCGCGCACGUGGAUCACCCAUCAUAUGAUCGCGCGCGUGGAUCACACCAUAGGGUUAGUUGUAUGUUGAUAGGAGUAUGUAUUGGCAGGCUAGAGUGACAGAAGCUUCAAACCUAGCAUAGAAAUUUAUGCGUAUGGGAUUGAAGGGGGACCAAUAUAUCUUAUUGCUAUGGUUGGGUUUUACNNNNNNNNNNNNNNNNNNNNNNNNNNNNNNNNNNNNNNNNNNNNNNNNNNNNNNNNNNNNNNNNNNNNNNNNNNNNNNNNNNNNNNNNNNNNNNNNNNNNUUAUCGAGAAAGGCUACAAUUGAUCCCCUAUACUUGUGUGUUAUCAAGACCUUUUUCUGGCGCCGUUGCCGGGGAGCAAUAGCGUGGGGUGAAUAUCCUCGUGUGUGCUUGUUUGCUUUAUCACUAAGUAGAUUGAUUUGCUGUUCUAAGUUGUUCUCUAUCUUUAGUUAUGGAUAUGUAACAUGAAAUACCAAAAAAAUUAGGUGUACUUGCUACUCAUGGAGAUGGGGAACCUCCUAAAACCCUCGAGGCUCGUUAUGUGGAAAAUAUUAUGCACUUCUUUAAUAAUCCUGAGAAAGCCCCAUUCAAUUAUAUAAUGGGAUACACGUUGGAUCAACGUGAAUACUUUAGGGAUUAUCACUUGACUCAAAAAGGGAAACUUUUAUGGGAUCAAAUCCAUUUGUUGAAAUGGUAUGCUUGGGAACUAUGCAAGAGAUAUGGUGUUACUUGUUGCUCUAGGAUGAAGGCUCCACACCUUCCCUUUUCUUGUGAAUUUAAUGAUCAUAGAACCUUGGCUUCUUAUGCUAAUGGUAUAUAUGAUUACUAUUAUGUGGAUCAAAUAGAAGAGUUUGUUGCUUUUAUGGGUGCUUAUGAAAUUGAGGCUCUGUUUAAAAGGUGUGAUGAUAAUGAUGAUGCUCCUUCCGAUCUGAAAAUUUGGCUAUGCUUCGUUAUUGUUAUACUAAUUAUGAAUAUAAUGCCCAUAUUGAACGAUUUAAGGAGAAAUCAUAUGCUACCCAAGAAGAGACUAUUAUUUUGCAGGAAACUAUGGAAGAAGAAAAUGCUGAAAUUGUGAGCUCAUUAGAUGAAAAAGAUGAAGAGGAGAGCGAAGAACAAAAUGAGGAAGANNNNNNNNNNNNNNNGGAAGAGCGGACUAGCUACCCGUGUCCACCUUCUAAUGAGAGUAACUCUUCUACUCAUACAUUAUUUAAUUUCCCUUCGUUCUUACCUAAGGAUGAAUGCUAUGAUCCUUUGGAUUCGUUUGAAAUAUCCCUUUUUGAUGAACUUGAUGCAUGUUAUGCUUGUGGCCAUGUUGCCAUGAAUGAUGCUUAUGAAGAUGAGCUAGCUAUAAUUCCUUAUGUUACACAUGGUGAUUUUGAUGAAUAUACUUUGCAUGUGCUUGCUGCUCCUACUUGCAAUUAUUAUGAGAGAGGAACUACAUCUCCACCUCUCUAUGUUUCCAAUACGAUAAAAUUGCAAGAAACUGCUUAUGCUAUGUAUUGGCCUUUACUUGAUGUGCAUGAAUUGUUCUUUUAUGACAUGCCAAUGCAUAGGAAGAGAGUUAGACUUUGUCAUUACAUGAUAUAUGUUACCUUGUGAUCACUACUAAAUUUCAAAUCAUUGCUAAUUAAAAAUGGCUUUGAUAUACCUUGGGAUCCUGGUGGAUCCAUUACUUGAGCACUUUAUGCCUAGCUUAAUGGCUUUAAAGAAAGCGCUGCCUGGGAGACAACCCGGAAGUUUUAGGGAGUCAUUUAUUUCUGUUGAGUGCUUUGAUUUAGUUUAAAAACAAAAAAAAUAGAGGGGAACUUAAAACUUUUUCAAAAAGAGAAGCGAUUGAAAGGUGAUGCAUUGCGGAAGUGAGGUCGACCUUGAACACUUGUGUUCAUGCUCAUGGAAACAAUGUAGAAUUUUUCAUGGAAGUUUCUCACAAAAAUAAUUAUCCCCUUGUAAAAUUCCUUUGUGUUUUUAAAAAUAAUGUGCCAAGCAAAGCCUUUACGAUUAGUUUGGGUGAUAGUUGUUUGAUCACGCUGAGAAAAGACAGAAACUUUCUUAUCACGAAAUUAAUUUUCAUUUUUAUUAUUGAAGAGAUUUUGAGUUGAUUCUUUUUUCUGCUGAUUGAUAUGCAAAUUUUCCAGACGUUCGUAAUUUUUCAGAUUUUUUGAGAUAUCAGAAGUAUACGGAAUAUACAGAUUGCUACAGACUGUUCUGUUUUGACAGAUUCUGUUUUCUAUGCAUUGUUCUCUUAUUUUGAUGAAUCUAUGGGUAGUAUCGGGGGGUAUGAACAAUGGUGAAGUUGGAUUUACAGUAGAUAUAAUGCUAAUAUAAAUUUAGAAUGAGUUCACAACAGUACUUGAAGUGGUGAUUUAUUUUAUUAUACUAACGGAUCUCAUGAAGUUUUGUUGAGUUUUGUGUGAUUGAAGUUUUCAAGUUUUGGGUGAGAGCAUGAUGGAUGAAGGAAUAAGGAGAGGCAAGAGCCUAAGCUUGGGGAUGCCCGAGGCACCCAAGGUAAUAUUCAAGGAAGACUCAAGCGUCUAAGCUUGGGGAUGCCCCGGAAGGCAUCCCCUCUUUCGUCUACAAUCUAUCGGUAAUUUUACUCGGAGCUAUAUUUUAAUUCGUCACAUGAUAUGUGUUUUGCUUGGAGCGCCUUUUGUGUUUAUUUUCCCUUUUUAUUUUAUGCACCAUGCUGGUAUGAGAUAGUCCUUGGUUGGCUUUAUAGAAUGCUUCUUGUGCUUCACUUUUAUCUUUUGAAGUUUGGAUUGCCUAUUUCCNNNNNNNNNNNNNNNNNNNNNNNNNNNNNNNNNNNNNNNNNNNNNNNNNNNNNNNNNNNNNNNNNNNNNNNNNNNNNNNNNNNNNNNNNNNNNNNNNNNNUUGCUUGAUAACUGGAUCACGUCAUUAGGAGAAUCACGUGAUGGACUAGACCCAAACUAAUAGACGUAGCAUGUUGAUCGUGUCAUUUUGUUGCUACUGUUUUCUGCGUGUCAAGUAUUUGUUCCUAUGACCAUGAGAUCAUAUAACACACUGACACCGGAGGAAUGCUUUGUGUGUAUCAAACGUCGCAACGUAACUGGGUGACUAUAAAGAUGCUCUACAGGUAUAUCCGAAGGUGUUCGUUGAGUUAGUAUGGAUCGAGACUGGGAUUUGUCACUCCGUGUGACGGAGAGGUAUCUCGGGGCCCACUCGGUAAUACAACAUCACACACAAGCCUUGCAAGCAAUGUGACUUAGUGUAAGUUGCGGGAUCUUGUAUUACGGAACGAGUAAAGAGACUUGCCGGUAAACGAGAUUGAAAUAGGUAUGCGGAUAGUGACGAUCGAAUCUCGGGCAAGUAACAUACCGAAGGACAAAGGGAAUGACAUACGGGAUUAUAUGAAUCCUUGGCACUGAGGUUCAAACGAUAAGAUCUUCGUAGAAUAUGUGGGAUCCAAUAUGGGCAUCUAGGUCCCGCUAUUGGAUAUUGACCGAGGAGUCAAUCGGGUCAUGUCUGCAUAGUUCUCGAACCCGCAGGGUCUGCACACUUAAGGUUCGACGUUGUUUUAUGCGUAUUUGAGUUAUAUGGUUGGUUACCGAAUGUUGUUCGGAGUCCCGGAUGAGAUCACGGACGUCACGAGGGCUUCCGGAAUGGUCCGGAAACGAAGAUUGAUAUAAUAGGAUGACCUCAUUUGAUUACCAGAAGGUUUUCGGAGUUACCGGGAAUGUACCGGGAAUGACGAAUGGGUUCCAGGUGUUCACCGGGGGGGGGGGGGCAACCCACCCCGAGGAAGCCCAUAGGCCUUGGGGGUGGCGCACCAGCCCUUGGUGGGCUGGUGGGACAGCCCAAGAAGGCUCUAUGCGCCAAGGAUAGAAAAUCAAAGAGAAAGAAAAAAAAGGAGGUGGGAAAGGAGAGAAGGACUCCACUUUCCAAUCCUAGUUGGACUAGGAUUGGAGGAGGACUCCUCCUCCCUUGGUGGCGCAGCCCUUGGGGCUCCUUGAGCCUCAAGGCAAGCCUCCCCUCCCUCGUCCUAUAUAUAUGGAGCAAUUAGGGCUGAUUUGAGACAACUUUUCAAAGGCAGCCCGACCACAUACCUCCACGGUUUUACCUCUAGAUCGCGUUUCUACGGAGCUCGGGCGGAGCCUUGCCGAGAUCAGAUCACCACCAACCUCCGGAGCGUCGUCACGCUGCCGGAGAACUCAUCUACCUAUCCAUCUGUCUUGCUGGAUCAAGAAGGCCGAGAUCAUCGUCGAGCUGUACGUGUGCUGAACGCGGAGGUGCUGUCCGUUUGGCACUAGAACGUGGGACGGAUCGCGGGACAGAUCGCGGGACGGUUCGCGGGGCGGAUCGAGGGACGUGAGGACGUUCCACUACAUCAACCACGUUCACUAAUGCUUCUGUUGUGCGAUCUACAAGGGUAAGUAGAUCGGAAAUCCCCUCUCGUAGAUGGACAUCACCAUGAUAGGUCUUCGUGUGCGUAGGAAAAUUUUGUUUCCCAUGCAACGUUCCCCAACACCACAAGCCCUAUUGCCGCGGCCACCCCCCUGGCCGCGGCAACCAAGCUUGUGGGGCCCACGUGGCUCUGCCGCCCCCAAUCUCAGCUCUAUAAAUUCACUUUCGCCCAGAAAAAAAUCAGAAGAGAAGAUUUCGUCGCGUUUGCAAUACGGAGGCGCCGCCACAUCCUGUUCUUCAUCUAGAGGACAGAUCUGGAGUCCGUUUUGGGCUCCGGAGAUGGGAAAUCGUCGCCAUCCUCAUCAACAACCUUCUUCCCUCUCCAGUUCCAUGAAGCUCUUCAUCGUUCGAAAGUAAUCUAUUUGUAGGCUCGUUGGGCGGUGAUUAGUAGGAUGAGAUCUAUCAUGUAAUCGAGUUAGUUUUGAUGGGGAUUGAUCCCUAGUAUCCACUAUGUUCUGAGAUUGAUGUUGCUACUACUUCGCCAUGCUUAAUGCUUGUCACUAGGGCCCGAGUGCCAUGAUUUCAGAUCUGAAAUUAUUAUGUUGUCACCAAUAUAUGUGUGUUUUAGAUCCGAUCUUGCAAGUUGUAGUUACCUACUAUGUGUUAUGAUCCGGCAAUCCCGGAGUGACAAUAACCGGAACCGCUCCCGGCGAUAACCAUAGUUUGAGGAGUUCAUGUGUUCACCAAGUGCUAAUGCGUUGUUCUGGUUCUUUAUUAAAAGGAGAACCUUAAUAUCCCGUAGUAUCCUUUUGGACCCCGCUGCCACGGGAGGGAUGGACAAUAGAUGUCAUGCAAGUUCUUUUCCCUAAGCACGUAUGACUACACACGGAAUGCAUGCCUACAUCACAUUGACGAACGGGAGCUAGCCACAUAUCUCUCCGUGUUAUAACUGUUGCAUGAUAAAUGUUGAUACGUCUCCGUCGUAUCUAUAAUUUUUGAUUUUUUCAUGCCAAUAUUCUACAACUUUCAUAUACUUUUGGCAACUUUUUAUACUAUUUUUGGGACUAACAUAUUGAUCCAGUGCCCAGUGUCAGUUCCUGUUUGUUGCAGGUUUUUUGUUUCGCAGAAUAUCCAUACCAAACGAAGUCCAAACGUAAUAAAAACUUAGGGGAUUUUUUUGGAAUAUUUUUGAUUUUUGGGAAGAAGAAUCAACGUGAGGCGAUGCACGGAGUGCCCACAAGCCUUGUCGCCGCGACUAGGGGGUGGGCCCGCGGCAGGCAGGCUUGUGGCCACUCCUUAAGGCGGUUGGAGCCCUUCUUUCGCCGUAAGAAAGAUAUUAUCCGAAAGAAAAUCGUGUUAAAAUUUCAGCCCAAUCGGAGUUAUGGAUCUCCGGGAAUUUAAGAAACGGUGAAACGCAGAAUCUGGGAGCGCGGAAACAGAAGGACACAAAGAGAGAGAUCCAAUCUCGAAGGGGCUCUCGCCCCUCCGCCGCCAUGGAGACCAUGGACCAGAGGGAAAACCCAUCUCCCAUCUAGGGAGGAGGUCAAGGAAGAAGAAGAAGGAGGGGGGCUCUCUCCCCCUCUCUCCUGACGGCGCCGGAACGCCGCCCGAGACAUCAUCGUGUGGCGACGAUCUACACCAACACCUCUGUCAUCUUCACCAACAUCUCCAUCAUCUUCCCCCAUCUAUAUUCAGCGAUUCACUCUCCCGCAACCCGCUGUACCCUCUACUUGAACAUGGUGCUUUAUGCUACAUAUUAUUAUCCAAUGAUGUGUUGCUAUCCUAUGAUGUCUGAGUAGAUUAUCGUUGUCCUAUCGGUGAUUGAUGAAUUGCUAUGAUUGGUUUAAUUUGCUUGUGGUUAUGUUGCUGUCCUUUGGUGCCCAUCAUAUGAUCGCGCGCGUGGAUCACACCAUAGGGUUAGUUGUAUGUUGAUAGGAGUAUGUAUUGGCAGGCUAGAGUGACAGAAGCUUCAAACCUAGCAUAGAAAUUUAUGCGUAUGGGAUUGAAGGGGGACCAAUAUAUCUUAUUGCUAUGGUUGGGUUUUACCUUAAUGAACGUUAGUAGUUGCGGAUGCUUGCUAAUAGUUCCAAUCAUAAGUGCAUAGAAUCCCAAGUAAGGGAUGACAUGCUAGCAGAUGCCUCUCCCACAUGAUACUUGCUAUCGAUCUAGUAACGUAGUCAAUUGCUUAGGGACAAUUCCGCAACUCCUACCACCACUUUUCCACACUCGUUAAACACUUGUAGUUGUUUCUUUAUCUAACCAGCCCCUAGUUUUAUUUACGUGUUCUUUACUUUCUUGCAAGCCUAUCCUAUCACUCGUACAAAGUACUUCUAGUUUCAUACUUGAUCUAGGUAAAGCAAACGUAAAGUGUGCGUAGAGUUGUAUCGGUGGUCGAUAGAACUUGAGGGAAUAUUUGUCCUACCUUUAGCUCCUCGUUGGGUUCGACACUCUUACUUAUCGAGAAAGGCUACAAUUGAUCCCCUAUACUUGUGUGUUAUCAAGACCUUUUUCUGGCGCCGUUGCCGGGGAGCAAUAGCGUGGGGUGAAUAUCCUCGUGUGUGCUUGUUUGCUUUAUCACUAAGUAGAUUGAUUUGCUGUUCUAAGUUGUUCUCUAUCUUUAGUUAUGGAUAUGUAACAUGAAAUACCAAAAAAAUUAGGUGUACUUGCUACUCAUGGAGAUGGGGAACCUCCUAAAACCCUCGAGGCUCGUUAUGUGGAAAAUAUUAUGCACUUCUUUAAUAAUCCUGAGAAAGCCCCAUUCAAUUAUAUAAUGGGAUACACGUUGGAUCAACGUGAAUACUUUAGGGAUUAUCACUUGACUCAAAAAGGGAAACUUUUAUGGGAUCAAAUCCAUUUGUUGAAAUGGUAUGCUUGGGAACUAUGCAAGAGAUAUGGUGUUACUUGUUGCUCUAGGAUGAAGGCUCCACACCUUCCCUUUUCUUGUGAAUUUAAUGAUCAUAGAACCUUGGCUUCUUAUGCUAAUGGUAUAUAUGAUUACUAUUAUGUGGAUCAAAUAGAAGAGUUUGUUGCUUUUAUGGGUGCUUAUGAAAUUGAGGCUCUGUUUAAAAGGUGUGAUGAUAAUGAUGAUGCUCCUUCCGAUCUGAAAAUUUGGCUAUGCUUCGUUAUUGUUAUACUAAUUAUGAAUAUAAUGCCCAUAUUGAACGAUUUAAGGAGAAAUCAUAUGCUACCCAAGAAGAGACUAUUAUUUUGCAGGAAACUAUGGAAGAAGAAAAUGCUGAAAUUGUGAGCUCAUUAGAUGAAAAAGAUGAAGAGGAGAGCGAAGAACAAAAUGAGGAAGAGCGGACUAGCUACCCGUGUCCACCUUCUAAUGAGAGUAACUCUUCUACUCAUACAUUAUUUAAUUUCCCUUCGUUCUUACCUAAGGAUGAAUGCUAUGAUCCUUUGGAUUCGUUUGAAAUAUCCCUUUUUGAUGAACUUGAUGCAUGUUAUGCUUGUGGCCAUGUUGCCAUGAAUGAUGCUUAUGAAGAUGAGCUAGCUAUAAUUCCUUAUGUUACACAUGGUGAUUUUGAUGAAUAUACUUUGCAUGUGCUUGCUGCUCCUACUUGCAAUUAUUAUGAGAGAGGAACUACAUCUCCACCUCUCUAUGUUUCCAAUACGAUAAAAUUGCAAGAAACUGCUUAUGCUAUGUAUUGGCCUUUACUUGAUGUGCAUGAAUUGUUCUUUUAUGACAUGCCAAUGCAUAGGAAGAGAGUUAGACUUUGUCAUUACAUGAUAUAUGUUACCUUGUGAUCACUACUAAAUUUCAAAUCAUUGCUAAUUAAAAAUGGCUUUGAUAUACCUUGGGAUCCUGGUGGAUCCAUUACUUGAGCACUUUAUGCCUAGCUUAAUGGCUUUAAAGAAAGCGCUGCCUGGGAGACAACCCGGAAGUUUUAGGGAGUCAUUUAUUUCUGUUGAGUGCUUUGAUUUAGUUUAAAAACAAAAAAAAUAGAGGGGAACUUAAAACUUUUUCAAAAAGAGAAGCGAUUGAAAGGUGAUGCAUUGCGGAAGUGAGGUCGACCUUGAACACUUGUGUUCAUGCUCAUGGAAACAAUGUAGAAUUUUUCAUGGAAGUUUCUCACAAAAAUAAUUAUCCCCUUGUAAAAUUCCUUUGUGUUUUUAAAAAUAAUGUGCCAAGCAAAGCCUUUACGAUUAGUUUGGGUGAUAGUUGUUUGAUCACGCUGAGAAAAGACAGAAACUUUCUUAUCACGAAAUUAAUUUUCAUUUUUAUUAUUGAAGAGAUUUUGAGUUGAUUCUUUUUUCUGCUGAUUGAUAUGCAAAUUUUCCAGACGUUCGUAAUUUUUCAGAUUUUUUGAGAUAUCAGAAGUAUACGGAAUAUACAGAUUGCUACAGACUGUUCUGUUUUGACAGAUUCUGUUUUCUAUGCAUUGUUCUCUUAUUUUGAUGAAUCUAUGGGUAGUAUCGGGGGGUAUGAACAAUGGUGAAGUUGGAUUUACAGUAGAUAUAAUGCUAAUAUAAAUUUAGAAUGAGUUCACAACAGUACUUGAAGUGGUGAUUUAUUUUAUUAUACUAACGGAUCUCAUGAAGUUUUGUUGAGUUUUGUGUGAUUGAAGUUUUCAAGUUUUGGGUGAGAGCAUGAUGGAUGAAGGAAUAAGGAGAGGCAAGAGCCUAAGCUUGGGGAUGCCCGAGGCACCCAAGGUAAUAUUCAAGGAAGACUCAAGCGUCUAAGCUUGGGGAUGCCCCGGAAGGCAUCCCCUCUUUCGUCUACAAUCUAUCGGUAAUUUUACUCGGAGCUAUAUUUUAAUUCGUCACAUGAUAUGUGUUUUGCUUGGAGCGCCUUUUGUGUUUAUUUUCCCUUUUUAUUUUAUGCACCAUGCUGGUAUGAGAUAGUCCUUGGUUGGCUUUAUAGAAUGCUUCUUGUGCUUCACUUUUAUCUUUUGAAGUUUGGAUUGCCUAUUUCCCUACACAUAGAAAACCGCCAUUUGUAGAAUGCUUUUUUGCUUCACUUAUAUAUGUUAGAGCGGGGCAUAUCUUUUGUAGAAAUAAUUAAAAUCUCAUGCUUCACUUAUACCUAUUUAGAGAGUUAACAGGAGUUGGUCACUCACAUGGUUAGUCAUAAAAUCCUACAUAAAACUUGUAGAUAACUGAAUAUGAUAUGUUUGAUUCCUUGCAACAGUUCUACGACAUGAAUAUGUGAUAUUAGAGUCAUGCUAGUGAGUAAUUGUGUAUUUUUAGAAAUACUUGUGUUAAGGUUUGUGAUUCCCGUAGCAUGCACGUAUGGUGAACCGUUAUGUGAUGAAGUCGGAGCAUGAUUUAUUUAUUGAUUGUCAUCCUUUGUGUGGAGGUCGGGAUCGCACGAUGGUUAACUCCUACCAACCUUUCCCCUAGGAGCAUGCGUGUAGUACCUUGUUUCGAUGACUAAUAGACUUUUGCAGUAAGUAUGUCAGUUCUUUAUGACUAAUGUUGAGUCCAUGGAUUAUACGCACUCUCACCCUUCCACCAUUGCUAGCCUCUCUAGUACCGCGCAACUUUCGCCGGUGCAUUACACCCACCAUAUAGCCUCCCUCAAAACAGCCACCGUACCUAUGUAUUAUGGCAUUUUCAUAGCCAUUCCGAGAUAUAUUGCCAUGCAACUACCACCUUCCGUCUUAUGACAUGUGCCACCACUUCCAUAUUGCCAUUGCAUGAUCGUAAGAUAGCUAGCAUGAUGUUUCCAUGGCUUGUCCGUUUUUUGAUGUCAUUGCUAUGCUAGAUCAUUGUCACGGUACACUACCGAAGGCAUUUCAUAUAGAGUCAUCAUUGCCCUAAGUAUUGAGUUGUAAGUGUGAUGAUCAUUAUUAAUAGAGCAUUGUCCCAUGUGAGGAAAUAAAAGAGGCCAGUGAAGCCCAUUUACAAAAAAUAGGCCAAAGAUGGCCACCAAAAAUAUAAUAAUAUAUAAAAAUAAAAAAAGAGGCCAAAGAGCCCACAAAAAAAGAGAGAGAAAAGAGAGAAGGGACAAUUGCUACUAUCCUCUUUCCACACUGGUGCUUCAAAUAGCACUAUGAUCUUCAUGAUAGAGAGUCUCAUAUGUUGUCACUUACAUAUACUAGUGGGAAAUUUUCAUUAUAUAACUUGGCUUGUAUAUUCCAAUGAUGGGAUUCCUCAAAAUUGCCCUAGGUCUUCGUGAGCAAGCAAGUUGGGUGCACACCCACUAGUUUCUUUUGUGAGCUUUCAUACACUUAUAAGCUCUAGUGCAUCCGUUGCGUGGCAAUCCCUACUCACUCACAUUGAUAUCUAUUGAUGGGCAUCUCCAUAGCCCGUUGAUACGCCUAGUUGAUGUGAGACUAUCUCCUCCUUUUUUGUCUUCUCCAUGACCACCAUAUUCUCUUCCACCUAUAGCGCUAUGUCCAUGGCUCACGCUCAUGUAUUGCGUGAAAGUUGAAAAGUUUUGAGAACACUAAAGUAUGAAACAAUUGCUUGGCUAAAACCGGGGUUGUGCAUGAUUUAAAUACGUUGUGUGGGGAAGAUGGAGCAUAGUCAGACUAUAUGAUUUUGUAGGGAUAACUUUCUUUGGCCAUGAUAUUUUGAGAAGACAUGAUUGCUUUGUUAAUAUGCUUGAAAUAUUAUUGUCUUUAUGUCAAAUGAUAGACGAUUGCUUCGAAUCACUCGUGUUUUAGUAUUCAUGCCAUGAUUAGAUUAUAUGAUCAAGAUUAUGCUAGGUAGCAUUCCACAUCAAAUAUUAUCUUUUUUAUCAUUUACCUACUCGAGGAUGAGCAUGAAUUAAGCUUGGGGAUGCUGAUACGUCUCCGACGUAUCUAUAUUUUUUGAUUGUUUCAUGCCAAUAUUCUACAACUUUCAUAUACUUUUGGCAACUUUUUAUACUAUUUUUGGGACUAACAUAUUGAUCCAGUGCCCAGUGUCAGUUCCUGUUUGUUGCAUGUUUUCUGUUUCGCAGAAUAUCCAUACCAAACGAAGUCCAAACGUAAUAAAAACUUACGGGGAUUUUUUUGGAAUAUUUUUGAUUUUUGGGAAGAAGAAUGAACGCGAGGCGAUGCACGGAGUGCCCACAAGCCCUGUCGCCGCAGCCAGGGGGUGGGCCCACGGCAGGCAGGCUUGUGGCCACUCCUUAAGGCGGUUGGAGCCCUUCUUUCGCCGCAAGAAAGAUAUUGUCCGCAAGAAAAUCGUGUUAAAAUUUCAGCCCAAUCGGAGUUACGGAUCUCCGAGAAUUUAAGAAACGGUGAAACGCAGAAUCUGGGAGCGCGGAAACAGAAGGACACAAAGAGAGAGAUCCAAUCUCGGAGGGGCUCUCGCCCCUCCGCCGCCAUGGAGACCAUGGACCAUAGGGGAAACCCUUCUCCCAUCUAGGGCGGAGGUCAAGAAAGAAGAAGAAGGAGGGGGGCUCUCUCCCCCUCUCUCCCGGCGGCGCCGGAACGCCGCCCGGGACAUCAUCGUGUGGCGACGAUCUACACCAACACCUCUGUCAUCUUCACCAACAUCUCCAUCAUCUUCCCCCAUCUAUAUUCAGCGAUUCACUCUCCCGCAACCCGCUGUACCCUCUACUUGAACAUGGUUCUUUAUGCUACAUAUUAUUAUCCAAUGAUGUGUUGCUAUCCUAUGAUGUCUGAGUAGAUUAUCGUUGUCCUAUCGGUGAUUGAUGAAUUGCUAUGAUUGGUUUAAUUUGCUUGUGGUUAUGUUGCUGUCCUUUGGUGCUCAUCAUAUGAUCGCGCACGUGGAUCACACCAUAGGGUUAGUUGUAUGUUGAUAGGACUAUGUAUUGGCAGGCUAGAGUGGCAGAAGCUUCAAACCUAGCAUAGAAAUUGAUGCAUAUGGAUUGAAGGGGGACCAAUAUAUCUUAUUGCUAUGGUUGGGUUUUACCUUAAUGAACGUUAGUAGUUGCGGACGCUUGCUAAUAGUUCCAAUCAUAAGUGCAUAGAAUCCCAAGUAAGGGAUGGCAUGCUAGCAGAGGCCUCUCCCACAUGAUACUUGCUAUCGAUCUAGUAACGUAGUCAAUUGCUUAGGGACAAUUCCGCAACUCCUACCACCACUUUUCCACACUCGUUAGACACUCGUAGUUGUUUCUUUAUCUAACCAGCCCCUAGUUUUAUUUACGUGUUCUUUACUUUCUUGCAAGUCUAUCCUAUCACUCCUAUAAUGUACUUCUAGUUUCAUACUUGUUCUAGGUAAAGCAAACGUAAAGUGUGCGUAGAGUUGUAUCGGUGGUCGAUAGAACUUGAGGGAAUAUUUGUCCUACCUUUAGCUCCCCGUUGGGUUCGACACUCUUACUUAUCGAGAAAGGCUACAAUUGAUCCCCUAUACUUGUGUGUUAUCAAAUGUCAUCCAAACGAAUCACCGACCCAUUGCCUAUGAGUUCGUCCAACUGCUGUUGUUACUUGUUUUGCUCUGCUGUUACUGCUGUUGCUACUUGCUACUGCUGUUACUACUGUUGCUACUUGCUGCUGCUGUUACUACUGUUGCUACUUGCUACUGCUGUCACUACUGAUGUUCCUUGCUACUGUUGUUACUCGUUACACUGCUGCUACCCGCUACAAUUCUGGUAUGCUCGGCGUUGACGGGAAAAGACAAUUUCCGUCAACUGGCAACUUCUGGCGCCAUUGAUACGACAGUUAGGAAUAGUCUGCCGUCAACAGAUCGUUUCUGACACCGUUGUUAUCAUCCUACUUUGCUACUGAUACUAAUCUUUCAGGUGCGGUUGAAUCUGAUACAUUCAGCUGCUAAUACUCGAGAGUAUCCUCUCACCUCCUGUCUGGCGAAUCAACAAAUAUGGGUCGAAUACUCUACCCUCGAAAACUGCCACGAACCCACGCGCUGGUGGGCCAUUGCAAGACAAUUGCUAAUUGUUGAGCAACUGGGAGCAGUUCUGGCUCUGUUGUCGCGAAGGCAUCAAGUCAGGGACUCGUCAACAACAUUCUUCUAGUGCUGUUGCCGGGGACUCCUAAGCAACAUUUUUCUGGCGCCGUUGCCGGGGAGGUAUUGCUAUAUUCUCCGAGUCACUUGGGAUUUAUAUCUGCUGAUCACUAUGAAGAAUCUGAAAGAUCCAAAAACCAAAGUCUUUCCCUCAACUACGAGGGGAGGUAAGGAACUGCCAUCUAGCUCUACACUUGAUUCACCUUCAGGUAUGAGUAAGUUUGCGACAUCACCUCCUGCUGGAAAUCUUGAUAUGUCGCAUGUGCUUGAUGAUGCUUAUGAUGCUACUUCUAGAGAUGCUAUGCUUGAUACUAUGCCUAAUGAUGCUAUGCUUGAUACUGCUAGAGAUGCUAUGCCUGAUACUGCUAGAGAUGCUAUGCCUGAUACUGCUUUGCCUGAUGAUGCUAGAGAUGCUAUUUUGCCUGAUGAUACUAUGCUUGAUGAUGCUAGAGAUACUACUUUGCCUGAUGUGCCACUAGGGGUAUUCCUUGAUGCUCAUAUGGCUAGAGUUACUGCCAAUGCUCGUGAUGCUUCUGAAACUACCGAUACUAUUGAGAUAGAACCUGCUUUUGCUCCUGCUAGAUCUAGCUCUCCUAGAUAUGAAUUGCCUGAUAUACCUGAGGGUUACGUUAUGGAGGGAGAGAUAGCUGAGGAUUUUCUUGCGUGUAAGGAUGCCUAUGACGCUGAUAAAUUACUUCUCAAGUGGAAGGAAAAAUCUCUGAAAGCUAGGAUGAAAUACGACCCGAAGUUUGCCACUUCACCUAUCUUUAUCACCGAUAAGGAUUAUGAAUUCUCUGUCGAUCCUGAGAUAAUCUCUCUAGUCGAAUCUGAUCCUUUCACGGUUAUGAGUCUGAGACGGUCGUAGCCCAUCUUACCAAACUACACGAUAUAGUGACCCUUUUCACUAGUGAGGAGAAGAUCCGCCACUAUUAUAUCCUUAAGCUGUUUCCUUUCUCUCUAAAGGAUGACGCUAAAGCCUGGUUCACUUCUCUUGCUCCUGGAUGUGUGAGUAGUCCCCAGGAUAUGGUCUAUUACUUCUGUGAGAAAUAUUUCCCUGCCCAUAAGAAGCAAGUUGCCUUGCAGGAAAUAUAUAGCUUUGCUCAACUCAAAGAAGAGAGUUUCCCANNNNNNNNNNNNNNNNNNNNNNNNNNNNNNNNNNNNNNNNNNNNNNNNNNNNNNNNNNNNNNNNNNNNNNNNNNNNNNNNNNNNNNNNNNNNNNNNNNNNUGCCGCGCCCGCCCCGGCCACCGUCCAGCCCGCCCCCGCGAAGAAGAGCCGACCGAAGGUCUCCUCGCGUGGGCCGCGAGGGGCUUCCUCGAAGGCCGCGGGCGCAUCCCCGAAGCGGAAGGAGGUCGCGGCGCGGAAGAAGCCCGCGACCCCGGCCGUCGCCGUCGUCGAACCUCCUCCCGCCACGCACGAGGUGUUCGAGGAAAUGGCAACCCCAACCUCGUUCAUGGACCUCCUUCAAGACGCGGAAGUGGACCUCGGGGCUCCGCCUCUAGAACCCUUUGGUGAGGAGGUUGAAGAAGAUGAGGAGGAUGAAGGGGAUGACGAGGAGGAGGUGGCCGAGAUAGGGGAGGAGGCAUUCACCGCCGCUUCCCGCCCACACGCGCGAUCGAAAAACUACACCGAAGCGGAAGAUAUCCUCUUGGUUCGUGCUUGGGAAUCCGUGGGGAUGGAUGCAACCACCGGCACCGAUCAAACCGGUAAAAGGUAUUGGCACAGAAUCGAGGACAACUAUUGUAGGAUCAAGCCGAAGAAUUGUGGGUUCAUCUCUCGCAGUUACCGGUCGCUUCAAGGCCGGUGGGAUUUGAUGAAGCCCGCUUGUGCUCGUUGGAGUGCGGCCAUGGACCAAGUGAGGGAUGCACCACCUAGUGGAACCGUGGAGAGUGACUAUGUGAGUACAUAUCUCUUCACUAUUUUGAUUAUGUGUGUGUACUAUGUGGGUUCUUAUGUGAUUAUGUGUGGUUUAUAGGAGACAAUUGCCGGCAUGAGGUACAAGAAGAUGGUCGCUUCCAAGGGCAAGCCAUUCCCAUUUAAGCAUGCUUGGGCAAUUCUUCAAACCUUUGACAAGUGGAAGUUGAGGGAUCAAGAGACCGCAUCCAAGAAGUCGGCAAUGCUUAGGAUGGAUGAUAGUGAAGAUGAGGAGAAGGAGAGGAACUUGGGCAAGCCCGAGGGAACCAAGAAGGGCAAGCAAAGGGUGAAGAUGGAAGGAGAGGCAUCAAGCCUAAGGGAGAAGAUGGAGCAAAUGAUGAAGGCAAGAGAGGAAUUGACAAGGAAGACAUUGGAGACGAAGAUUCUUAUCACCGAGAAGAAGAAAGAGGUCAAGCUUGCACAAGUUGAAGCAAAACGUGAAGAAGCAAAGCGCAAGGCCGACUUGGAGGAGAUGAUGAUCAAGGUGAAAGAGGCAAAGGUAUGGAAAGAACUCAUGGUGGAAGAGAAGGAGCACAUGAUGAUGUCCAAGAAGGACAUGGAUGAAGAACAAUUGCAAUGGUGGAAGGACUACAAGGAGGACAUCGCAGAGAGGAAGAGGAUAUUCCGUGGUGCGUCAUCUACUCUUCGAGGUGACACUCCGAUGAGUGGUGGUGGCGAUGGCGGUGUGGAUGACUCCAAUGGAGGUGCUUGAUGGACGUGCAAGUGGUCUAGGAAAUGGCGCCAAGUGCAAGUUUUUGGUGAUGGUGCCGAUGAGAGGGGGAAGAUGAUGAUUGUGUGAUGUAAAAACUAUUAAACCAUGCAUCAAUGAUCUUUAUUUCCGUGUUUGUUUGAAGGUUUAUUAUGUUUGUCUUGUGAAAAUUAUGCAAUGCCAAAUGACAGUUUUAAGGGUUGGGGUUGGGGCAAAGACUAGAACCCUCAAACCCAACCCUUAUAUUCCUUUAUAAGGGUUGGGUUUGAGGGUUCUAGUCUUUGCCCCUGUUUUUCAACCUUUAAAAGUGUCAAAAAUGGGCAAUUCUCAACCCUUAAAACUGAUUUUACAUUUAAGGGUUUGAGGGUUCUACUAGAGAUGCUCUAAACCAUGACGGAGGGAGUACAUGUAAAACACUUUAAUGUAAUUAUCAUAUGUUACAUAUAGCUGAAAUAUGAUGUUGGAAGGUAGGCUUCAGUCUAUUGAAGCCUCCUAACUAGAAUGGUCAUUAGAUACAUCAAACCACCGUUAGCUUGAUUGUCGUUUGUUUAUUCACACAGUGAAAACAACUUGCGCUAUCUAAGCGACGUGUGAAAAAAAACGUGUUUUUUACGCGCGCGCUCAUGUUGGCUUGUCCAACAGAGGCGUUAAAGUCGAACAUAUUGGAUAAUCGAUUACGCGCGUGGAGCGAAACCCAUCCCGCACUGGGUAUUUCACGCGUUUGUUCCCGCGCACACAAUACUGCAUUCUCUCCCGCACGCUCCCUCUCUUCCGCCCCGCCCUGCGCCGCUGCCCGGAUUCUUCCUCCCUUGCUUCGACGCGCCGUCGCAGCUUUCCCCGCCCUUUCCCGCGCCAUCGUUGCUUUAUCCACCUCCCCCACUCACCUCCGCCGCUCGAGCGCACCAUCCUUUCGACGAACAACGCCCGACGGUCGUUUGGAGCUCGACGCUCACAAGGUAUUCGACGAAACGCUUGCAAGGUAUGUAUAUUUCAACUUUAAAUUUUACAAACGAAUUUGAUGCAUUUUGUUCAUAGUUUUAAACUAAUUUCAAUAUUGUAGAUGAGGUCAUCCUAUGUUUCUUUCGACCAAAAAUUGAUAUGCAAGAGGAGGAGGACUUCAUCACUCAAUUUCAUCCAGGAAUUACUCGAUCUUCCUUAUCUUGCUCUUGGUCUCCUCCUUAUGCGUGAAGAGAUCACCAAUCAUAUACUCACUAGUAGAAAAAGGGCCUUUUGUCCCGGUUCGUAAGGGCCUUCUGUCCCGGUUUCGGAACCGGGACAAAAAGGUCGUUACUAAUGCCCUUGGCCUUUAGUCACGGUUCUUACACGAACUAGGACAGAUGGGCCUCCACGUGCCCGGUGCGGCGAGCCCAGGCAGGAGGCACCAACUGGGACCAAUAGGCAUCCACGCGUCAGCAUUUCAGGUGCUGGGGUUUUUGUUUUUUUGAAAGGGGGGGGGGGUUAGGGAGUUUUGGGGGGGUUAAUUUAGGUGUUUCAUAUAUUGUGUUAGCUAGCUAAUUAAUAGAGAGAAGUGUCCUCUCUUAUCUCCGUGCUUGGUCGACGCUACAUACUAUACGUAUAGAGAGGACUAGACACGCUAGCUAGUAAGCAAAUGAAGGAAACAGAAGAUCGUCAUGAAAAUAUGCAUACAGAGAGAAGUGAUAUCGACCACCUCUCCUUCUCUGAGAGAUUGGCCGAACAACAAGUUCUCGUAUAUCUAUCCGACGCUACUGGCUACAUAUAUACAAUAUAAUUAUCUCUUACAAUAUAAUCUCCUAAUUAAAAUUCAACUGAUUAGGGUUCACAUGGUAUUCUCCGUCUUUAGCGAUCACGUGGUCAAGAAAGAAUGCCGCCAAUUCCUCUUGAGUUCCUCGCAUACGAUCUGCUGGUAGGAGUUCAUUCCUCAUCCGAAAUAUCUAACUUGAAGAAGGGGGUCAAUACAUAUAUAUGAAUAAAUGAAACUGAACACAAAUGAUGGUAAUAAAAUAAAAUUGUGAAUGUUAUUAUUUACGCACUUCAUAUUGUUUGUCAGAGUAGCCCCGCUCACAGGUCGUGUGGCGGAUGGACUCGCAAAUGUAGUAUCCACAGUAAUCAUUCCCUGGUUCCUGCCACAACCACUUUACAAGAAAUGGAAUGGUAUCAUCAUUUCACCCACAUAGCAUGUGCGAGAAAGUAGAGAGGGUUACGGCAAAAACUGGAUGCACUUCGUGUACAAAACGGACAAUCUCUUUCGAAGUAUCAUGGUUUCAUACGGAAACUCGUCUGUUACAAAGGGAUUUCAUUUUUUGAACUUAUUUGAACUCCAUAGUUUUUCAGUGUUCGAAAUGCACCAUUCAAAGCCACAUCAUCAAUUUACAACCCUUUCUGACUUCAUUUGUUAUUUUUCAUGUAUUUAUUGAUUAUUUUGAGCUAUAAGACCAUGAAAUUGAAAAGCAUUUGAAAUAAACUCUGAAAAGGUUCCAAGUUGGCAUGAUAUCAUCAUUUCACCCACAUAGCAUGUGCGAGAAAGUAGAGAGGGUUACGGAAAAAACUGGAUGCACUUCGGGUACAAAACGGACAAUCUCUUUCGAAGUAUCAGGGUUUCAUACGAAAACUCGUCUGUUACAAAGGGAUUUCAUUUUUUUGAACUUAUUUGAACUCCAUAGUUUUUUCUGUGUUCAAAAUGCACCAUUCAAAGCCACAUCAUCAAUUUACAACCCCUUUCUGACUUUAUUUGUUAUUUUUCAUGCAUUUACUGAUUAUUUUGAGCUAUGAGACUAUGAAAUUGAAAAGCAUUUGAAAUGAACUCUGAAAAAGGUUCCAAGUUGGCAUGGCAUCAUCAUUUCACCCACAUAGCAUGUGCGAGAAAGUAGAGAGGGUUACNNNNNNNNNNCGUACAAAACGGACAAUCUCUUUCGAAGUAUCAGGGUUUCAUACGAAACUCGUCUAUUACAAAGGGAUUUCAUUUUUUGAACUUAUUUUAACUCCAUAGUUUUUUUGUGUUCAAAAUGCACCAUUCAAAGCCACAUCAUCAAUUUACAACCCUUUCUGACCAUGAAACUGAAAAGCAUUUGAAAUGAACUCUGAAAAGGUUCCAAGUUGGUAGUGGUGACAAUUUUAACACAACACAUGAUAUCCAUUACAUCUAGGGCACAACAUUACAUUUGCUCAAGUUCACAGCAGUGCACAAAUGAUAGAAUUACAUCUAGGGAACAACACACUAGCAGAAACAUAACACACACACUGCCACUUAAUUGGCUUGCUUAGACCAAAUAGAAACUAAACUAGCCACAAUGCUGAUGCCAAGAACAAAGAAAAAACCCAUUGUUUCCAUGAGCUCAUUCCUUUUCUUCAACUUCAAUUGCAUUUUCUUGUUUUCAUUGUUCAGAUCCAUAACCUUCUUCUCCAUCCUACUAGCUUUGAUCCAACUACAUUCAAGGCCACCAUGGAGCUCCUCAAAAGCUUGCCCCACUAGCUCAGUGGGAGGGGGGUCAAUCCAAACAACCCAAUCACACUCAUCAGGAAGCUGUUAAAUCAGAGUUCACAUAAUUAGGUGAAAUUCAUAACUUUGCAGUAAAUCGAUGAAAACAGAGUACCAAAUGAUGUUUUGAGGAAUUACAUCGAGUGGACAACCCAAAAACCUUCUUCCCGUGCUUGCUCCACCCCAAGAAACACGACGAGCAGGAAUUAGCCCAUGCCCCGGGCAACGGUGAUUCGAGCGCUCCUCAAGGCCAUAGAAACUUGGAUUGGGAAUGAAAAACUCGGAUUGGAACUGCACAAUCCCGCAGCCAUCCACCUACGAGCCAGAAAGGCGCAUAUUACGGCCCAUCCCGCGAAACCCUAGAUGAGAAAUCCCCAAAUCCAAUGUCAACCAAAAAUCCAAAUCGACUUACCUCACUGUCUGCGGAGGAGCUUGCAGACGACAUUGUGCACGUACACAUGGACGUGCCCCAGCGGUGAAAACGGGGACGGGGCGUGACGGACCGCUAAAUCUAGACAAAUCUCGGGAAAAAUGGAGCUCCGAGGUCGAGCUUCGAGAGGAGAAAGCUUAACUAGUGUGGCUCGGGCAUUUCAUCGAACACCUUAUGUGCAUAGGAGGUGAGCUAGAGCACCCAAAUGCCCUCCCCUCGCCGGCCAGAAAAAACAGAGUGCUCUGCCGCGGCGAUGGGUAUAUAUAGGCAAAUUAUUUGUCCCGGUUCGUGGCAUAAACCGGGGCUAAAGCCCCCCCCCCUUCUAAACCGGUUCAAGGCACGAACCGGUACCAAAGGAUGUGGGCCAGGAGCGCGGCCCAUUGGUCCCGGUUCGUGCCUUGAACCAGGACAAAUGGGUCCAGACGAACCGGGACCAAUGCCCACGAGGCCCCGGCCAGCCCCCUGGGCUCAUGAACCGGGUCUAAUGCCCCCCAUGGGUCCCGGUUCGUGAAGAACCAGGACUAAUGGGCUGGCCAGGCCCGAACCAAAGCCCUGUUUUCUACUAGUGACUCCAACUUCUUUUUCUUCUGCUUUAAGUGAUCCCUCUCAAGCAUGAAUUUGUCCCUCUUAAGCUUCAUCAGAUCCAUCUCUUCCAUGAAUGUGUCCCUCUGCUCCUUCAUGAGGUCUCUCUCUUUUUCUACCUUAGCUCUGACCACCUGAUGGAUGUUCGCGACAGAUUUGUUAGAAAUUCUCAUGUUCUCAUGCUCCCUUUUUAGGUCUUGAAGAGCAAGUUGAGUGUUGCCUAGUUGGGUCAAUGCCCACUCCUUCUCAUCCACCAUCUUAGCAAAAUCAACUUUGAAGAACCUCAUAUCUUUCUCCACCUUUUCCUUCUCUCCCUUGAUCUUCACCACUUCUUCAGCAUUAACCACAUUUUGCCUUAGCCUCACACUGUUCUCCUCAUCAUACAUGGCCCAAAUCCUAUCUAGACUCAUCUUGAAAGGGACAGGCCACUCAAGGUCAACUCAACCCACAUAGCUACAUUUAGCUCCUACCUACAAAUUUAGGGAAAUAAAUAAAUCAGGUGUACAAAUGCAAACAAAUUCACUUAGCUUGCAAAUUCAGUUAGAUAUAAAAUCCAGGUAACUCGUAGCACUGAACAGAUUCAGUUAAAUGGUAACAUGAGUUAACUGAUAUCCCUUAACAGAUUCAGUUGUCAGGUAGCCGUGAAUAGAUUCAGUUAGGAUGAGCAUCACCAUUACUAAAAGUAAACAUGACAUCUAUCUGAGCAUGAGUACUUGAAGAACACUAAUCAGCAAUGUCACUAACCUUUUGAGCACAUGCUAGAAAAACCUCCUACCACUAUCCACGUUUUCAAAAGCAACCAGCUUCUCACAAACUGCUCGGUGCUCACAUCUAGCAGCAAGCUCUGUAGCAAGGCCCCUCCAUUCAGAUUAGAAAAUGCUGGCAGGUACCUACAACGAAAUGGUGGGAGGGCAGUUGAGUACAAAAAUCUCCAUCUAAACCCUAACCGUAGCAGGCUGAGGAGGAGCACUCACCAUCUGCCCGGAAUCGCCGUCCGACGAGGAGCAGGAGCUUGAAGUAUUGUCCCACGAGACUAUGUAGAUGGAAGAUGGUUGCGAGAUGGACGAGCUGGACGACGGUUGUGAGAUGGGAGCUACCAAGAUGGGCACGCAGGGGGAAGAAAAAUGGAUCGAGAUUAUCGGUACGUGCUCCUCAACCUAAGGGAUUUGGACGAUAGGGAUUACGACGAUUCCGGGGUUUGUGUACCAAAACGACAACUCCUCCCGUGAUAGACGCGGGACUCCUCCCCUCAUCGACGUGCAUGAAAAGAAUAUAGCUAUGGGAUCCCGCAGAAGGGAUCGGACUGCUUUUAUUUCCGGUAUGGGCCGACCCACCUUCUUUUUGAAUAAUUUAGGUUGCUUACCACACAUGUGAUGUGUGGCCGGGCCAGCCCACCUACCUACAUGUCUUGUCAUAUAAUCUUUGUUUCAAUAUUUGAUUCUUUGUGUUUGUUUCAUAUUUGUUGUUUAAAAAAUAUAUACUCCUUGUUUCAUAUCUGCAAUAUUUUAAACAGAAAUAUAUUUUUCCUCUUUCCCUUUUUAUUUAAAAUCUUUCAUGUUUAGGGAUUAUGUUUCUUGUUUGCAAUAAUUUAAAAGUAUAUACUCCUUGUUCCCUUCUUUAUUUUUCCUAUUUUGUUUUAUGUUUCUCCUUGUUAUUCCUAUCUUUUCUAAACAUACAGUGUGUAGGUCAUACUUUAAAACACGUAACAAGGAAAAAACAAUUUAAAGUUGAAGACUGCAAAAUGUGAAUACAACCUAUUUUUUUUAAACGAACGGGUCACAACAUCGAACCAUAAGUUGUGCAUAAGUAAUAUAGUAAGCAAUAAUUUGAAAUAUAUAGUUGUUGUUUUAUGUUUCUCCUUCUUAUUCCUAUUUUUUUGAAUUUACAGUGUAUAGGUCAUACUUUAAAAUAUGUAACAAGGAAAAAUACCUUUUAAAGCUAAAGGCUGCAAAAUGUGAAUACAACCUAAUUUUUGAAACGAAUGGGCCAUAACAUCGGACCAUAAGUUGAGCAUAAGUAAAAUAGUAAGCAAUAACAAAUGUGAAGUGAAGCUAAAUAAAUUAUUGUCACGAACGUAACAUCCCACAGCAUGACACAUAAACAUGUAUGUGCAAUUAACCUAAAAUUCACAAAAUAUUGGAGGUAACAUGUCUAUUACAUAAGAGGUAGAAAACCAAAAUUAUUCAUGCCUGGAAACAUGCUUCCGGACUAAACCCGAACUAUUUAAACUUCAAUCUUGUGUCAUCUAUGAAGUCUUUACGCUUCACUUUUCUUUGCGAUGUCACAAGUUUUGUUUUUCACCGCUUCUAGUGUGUUGGAAGGGACAAAAUUAACUCGGAGAUGAGACGUCUUCUCCUUGCGCCGUCUCCUCUAAAUUUAUAUAUAAAUGUAUAGUGAAUAAAAGUUGUUAUAUGACCAUACUACUGAGUCUACAAAAAAAGAUUUCAACCAAUCUGGCUAAAAUGGCCGGUCAUUCGGUCCAGUCCCACUUCUCCAUAACUAGCACAAAAAGGCCCCAAGAGUUGCUGAUAUAUAUGCAAACAUUAGUCACGGUCCAUACGAACAUGUGUAUGUCUAUUACUCCCUCCGGUCCUUUUUACUCCGUAUAUUAGAUUUGGGUCAAGUCAAACUUUAUAAAGUUUGACCAAAUAUAUAUUGAAAAAUAUCAACAUCCAAAAUACCAAAUAUACGUAUCAUGAAACUACCUUUCGUAAUGAAUCUAACAGUAUUAAUUUAACAUUAUAAAUGUUGAUACAUGUUUAUAUAAACUUGGUCAAAGUAGAGAUACUUUGACUUUGGACAAAGCUAAUAUGCAGACUAAAAAGGACCGGAGGGAGUACAAUAUGAUGUACAUUAACUAACCGGUCCUCUUGUUGUGCAUGUCGUACUCAUUUAUAGGCCACUUAGACACGCCUGGUUAAUUUCCCACGUGUAAUACGGCUUGCCUCUUGCAUAUCGUCUGUUAUAGCGAGUCUUUAUAAAAAGGGUAAUGUUAAUGGAAAUCAAUACAACAAUUUGUACGAACAAAGCGAGCAAUGAUGGUGAGAGUACUAGUGCUUUCACAGUGUCGAUAGACAGCUCGAGAGGAUAGAGCUAAUCCACAACUUGAAAUUCUUUCUUGCGCAUGUGCAUUACCACGGGCAUCUAGUGGGUAUUACCGAUAUUGAACGCCACAUAUGUCUAGAGUGUAAGCAAACAUUAUGUACCAUAUGAAAUGCUUCUGAAAAUGUCGUGUACUAAAAAAGUAAUGACAUAAUGUACCUUAUCAUCUUAUCAUGUAGAGUAUACUCAUCCCUGACUCUACUAACUGCUCCAGGUCCGGACAACUCACUAUCCAUGUUGUAGCGCGACGCUAAUGGAUUGUCUAGUGCCAGAGGCCGAUCUACAAGGAAUUUCGACCUCCACGCUGGACAAAGGUGACAGUCAUGACCAACACGGAGCGCCAAAUGUACGUGAUAAGCAUCAAUAACCUGCAUACAAUAUGAGGACAUUUUAUGUUCAAACUUGACACGUAGGUUAUACUCCCUCUGUACCUAAAUAAUUGUAGUUGAGGAGAACUAGUUUAGUUCUCCCAAACUACAAUUAUUUAGGUACAGAAGGAGUAAAAUCUAAUAACAAGACAUGCUAAAUGCUAAUAGUACUUACAUCAUCUGUCACCCAUCUAUGGUCUAGUACUGGUCGAAGCCUCUCCGAAGUGAGUUGGUUGACACGUCCAUUGUAGUAAACUCUUUCCCCCUUAUCCUUUUCGCACUGAGAAGCUAUUUCCACAAAUGUAACAACUGCAUCAAUUAGUUUCGGCCUCAACUCAUCUGCCACAACCUUUGACGGUUCGUUCUCAUAAAACAAAGCUGCAUGGAAAAAUAUGAACGUCAAUAAUGGUGACUACAUGCGUUACUAGUACAUAUCGUAGUAAGAAAGCUAGUAACGGUACCUCUACUUGAGGUAGCAGUUCCUUAAGGUCUAGUACCACGGGCGGGAUGCCUGCUCGACUUAUCAAGUGCAUAUGGAGAUUCAAAUAUCUUGGGAACCGUCCGCUUUCUCUUUCCGGACAUAACUUUGUCAUCCUUUUCAAUUGUUGACAACUUUUUUCCUUUGGCAUUAGCCAUGAACUUUGUAACAUAAUAUGGAAUGAUGUCUAUGUCCGAAGAAGUUGCUCGAGGAGAAUUACAAAUGAUCCAAGGAUUUUUCCGUGUUGCACCACACUCAUCAUUAGCCUUCGUAGGUGAACCACCCUUCCGGACAUUGAUAAUAGGUGGUGUUUUCUCGUUGGCAAAAAAAACAUGUCAUAGCUUCAAUUUUCCAAAAUAAAAAAUAUUAAACGACAAAAUUAAAUAAAAAUGCAUACUUCCUCAGCUUCGUUUUUCUCGUUGGGAACCGCUUCGUGAGGUAGCGUCAAAUCAAUGACCGGCUCCAGACCAUCUUCACUCUCAUUGUCUUUCUUGUACAUGAAUUCCUUCUUUUCAUGCGGAUCAUUCUCAAACGAAGCCACUUCAUCAUGGCCAUCAUUGUUACAGGAUGUCAUGGCAGCCGCUGGCUUGUACAUGACACCUUCUUUCUUCAACUUCUCCAACAAUGGUUUUGAAACUUGAUCAUUUCAUCUACUCCAACAAGUUAGGGCGUGUCACCUCAGCAACUUGAUCAGGGAUUUGCCUCAUCUAGUUGUGUAUGUAAUCAAUACACCUCUUCAUUAAAACAUGCAUAAUCUCAUCAGAGUUAAGAGCUGGCUUUGACUUCCUUGCGGUGGCACUCGUCGGCUUGAGUUUUGGCUUCUGUGUAGUCCCAUGAUCUAGGAUUUUGGGCUGUUGCGCCCUACAUUCUUGGGUUAUAUUAUCUUUGGUCUGCAUGUGAUAUACAACAUGUGAUCCAUACAAAUUUAAUUAAUUAUGUUAGCUACAUGCGAUAUACAAGUAUAAGUGAUAUACAACUACAUGUGAUAUACAACUACAUGUGAUCAACUAAAUGAAUUACCUUGACGUUACCACGGCCAUGACCGUUGUCAUAGUCAAACCGAUCUCUCCUAGUAGUAUUAGCUCUGGUCCAAUUCUUCAUGAGAGGUUGUAUGGACAAGUUGGGAUUGAAUGCGCAAUCAUCUUCCACACGUUGCACCUUCUCCCAAUACAAGUACUGCAGGAAAAUAAAGAGUAACACUUAUUACUAUACACCACAUAAAUUUAUUAGAGCAGCAACUGGUUUGCCGUUUCAUGAAGUAUCCCUUCUAGCUCUUCCCCUUCUUGAAACUAGUGGUUUUACUAACCAUCAACAAUUGAUGCUCCUUCUUGAUUUCUACUUUAGCAGUGUCAAACAUUGUGAAUCGCUCAAGGAUCAUCAUAUCUAUCCUUGAUAUGUCAUAGUUCAUCACGCAGUUCUAGCAGCUUAGUGGCAGUGACUUUUGGAGAACCAUCACUAUCUCAUCUGGAAGAUUAACUCCCACUUGAUUCAAGCGAUUGUUGUACUCAGACAAUCUAAGAACAUGCUCAAUGAUUGAGCUUUUCUCCUUUACUUUGUAGACAAAGAAUCUUGUUGGAGGUCUCAUACCUCUCAACAAGGGCACGAGUAUGAAAUCUCAAUUUCAUCUCUUUGAGCAUCUCAUAUGUUCUAAGACGUUUCAAAAUGUCUUCGGCGCAUUGCUUCUAAGCUAUCAAGUAUUAUGAACUGAACUAUCACGUAGUCAUCAAAAACGUGUAUGUUAGAUGUUCGCAACAUCCACAGACGACGCUCGAGGUACAGCACACCGAGUAGUGCAUUAAGGACAUAAGCCUUCUACGCAGCAAUGAGGACAAUCCUCAGUUUUACUGACUCAGUGAGCAAAGUUGCUACUAUCAACUUUCAACUAAAUUUUCUCUAGGAACAUAUAAAAACAGUAGAGCUAUAGCGCAAACUACAUCGUAAUUCGCAAAGACCAUUAGACUAUGUUCAUGAUAAUUAGUUCAAUUAAUCAUAUUACUUAAGAACUCCCACUCAAAAAGUACAUCUCUCUAGUCAUUUGAGUGGUACAUGAUCCAAAUCCACUAACUCAAGUCCGAUCAUCACGUGAGUUGAGAAUAGUUUCACUGGUAAGCAUCUCUAUGCUAAUCAUAUCAACUAUACAAUUCAUGCUCGACCUUUCGGUCUCAUGUGUUCCGAGGCCAUGUCUGCACAUGCUAGGCUCGUCAAGCUUAAACUGAGUGUUCCGCGUGUGCAACUGUUUUGCACCCGUUGUAUGUGAACGUUGAGUCUAUCACACCCGAUCAUCACGUGGUGUCUCGAAACGACGAACUGUCGCAACGGUGCACAGUCGGGGAUAACACAAUUUCAUCUUGAAAUUUUAGUGAGAGAUCACCUCAUAAUGCUACCGUCGUUCUAAGCAAAAUAAGGUGCAUAAAAGGAUUAACAUCACAUGCAAUUCAUAAGUGACAUGAUAUGGCUAUCAUCACGUGCUCCUUGAUCUCCAUCACCAAAGCACCGGCACGAUCUUCUUGUCACCGGCGCCACACCAUGAUCUCCAUCAACGUGUCGCCAUCGGGGUUGUCGUACUACUCAUGCUAUUACUACUAAAGCUACAUACUAGCAAAAUAGUAAACGCAUCUGCGAGCACAAACGUUAGUUUAAAGACAACCCUAUGGCUCCUGCCGGUUGCCNNNNNNNNNNCAUCAUCAUGUGCUUCUUGAUCUCCAUCACCAAAGCACCGGCACAAUCUUCUUGUCACCGGGGCCACACCAUGAUCUCCAUCAUCAUGAUCUUCAUCAACGUGUCGCCAUCGGGGUUGUCAUGCUACUUAUGUUAUUACUGCUAAAGCUACGUCCUAGCAAUAUAGUAAACGCAUCUGCAAACACAAACGUUAGUUCAAAGAAAACCCUAUGGCUCCUGCCGGUUGCCGUACCAUCGACGUGCAAGUCGAUNNNNNNNNNNNNNNNNNNNNNNNNNNNNNNNNNNNNNNNNNNNNNNNNNNNNNNNNNNNNNNNNNNNNNNNNNNNNNNNNNNNNNNNNNNNNNNNNNNNNUCUUCUCCUCUUGUUGGAGCUAAAUUACCUAAUUAUGUCUUUUUGGAGAUAAAUGGGUUAAUUAUCUCAUUUUAGAGGAAAACAAGCUAAGUAUAUAAUAUUCAUUAGCUAACCAAGGUUCUUAUGCCAUUUUGAGCUUAUUAUGGCAUUUUGGAGCUAAAUGGGCUAAUUAUGUCAUUGUUGGGGAAAUUAAAGCAAGGAUAAUAUAAAAGAGGAGAAGAAACAGGAGGAGGAGGAGAAUAAGAAGAAAUCAAGAAGAAGGAGGAGAAGGAGGAGAAGGAGGAGGAGGAGAAGGGCUAGAAGGUCCUUGGCCUUCUCCUCCUCCUCCUCCUCCUUCUCCUUCUUCUCUUCCUCUUCUUCUUCUUCUUCUUUCUUUCCAUUUUGCCUAUUUCUUCUCCUCUUCUCCUCUUGUUGGAGCUAAAUUANNNNNNNNNNNNNNNNNNNCCUUCUCCUUAUUCUCUUCUUGUUCUUCUUCUUUCUUUUCAUUUUUCCUAUUUCUUAUCCUCUUCUCCUCUUGUUGGAGCUAAAUUACCUAAUUAUGUCUUUUUGNNNNNNNNNNNNNNNNNNNNNNNNNNNNNNNNNNNNNNNNNNNNNNNNNNNNNNNNNNNNNNNNNNNNNNNNNNNNNNNNNNNNNNNNNNNNNNNNNNNNUGGGAAACUCUCUUCUUUGAGUUGAGCAAAGCUAUAUAUUUCCUGCAAGGCAACUUGCUUCUUAUGGGCAGGGAAAUAUUUCUCACAGAAGUAAUAGACCAUAUCCUGGGGACUACUCACACAUCCAGGAGCAAGAGAAGUGAACCAGGCUUUAGCGUCAUCCUUUAGAGAGAAAGGAAACAGCUUAAGGAUAUAAUAGUGGCGGAUCUUCUCCUCACUAGUGAAAAGGGUCACUAUAUCGUGUAGUUUGGUAAGAUGGGCUACGACCGUCUCAGACUCAUAACCGUGAAAGGAUCAGAUUCGACUAGAGAGAUUAUCUCAGGAUCGACAGAGAAUUCAUAAUCCUUAUCGGUGAUAAAGAUAGGUGAAGUGGCAAACUUCGGGUCGUAUUUCAUCCUAGCUUUCAGAGAUUUUUCCUUCCACUUGAGAAGUAAUUUAUCAGCGUCAUAGGCAUCCUUACACGCAAGAAAAUCCUCAGCUAUCUCUCCCUCCAUAACGUAACCCUCAGGUAUAUCAGGCAAUUCAUAUCUAGGAGAGCUAGAUCUAGCAGGAGCAAAAGCAGGUUCUAUCUCAAUAGUAUCGGUAGUUUCAGAAGCAUCACGAGCAUUGGCAGUAACUCUAGCCAUAUGAGCAUCAAGGAAUACCCCUAGUGGCACAUCAGGCAAAGUAGUAUCUCUAGCAUCAUCAAGCAUAGUAUCAUCAGGCAAAAUAGCAUCUCUAGCAUCAUCAGGCAAAGCAGUAUCAGGCAUAGCAUCUCUAGCAGUAUCAGGCAUAGCAUCUCUAGCAGUAUCAAGCAUAGCAUCAUUAGGCAUAGUAUCAAGCAUAGCAUCUCUAGAAGUAGCAUCAUAAGCAUCAUCAAGCACAUGCGACAUAUCAAGAUUUCCAGCAGGAGGUGAUGUCGCAAACUUACUCAUACCUGAAGGUGAAUCAAGUGUAGAGCUAGAUGGCAGUUCCUUACCUCCCCUCGUAGUUGAGGGAAAGACUUUGGUUUUUGGAUCUUUCAGAUUCUUCAUAGUGAUCAGCAGAUAUAAAUCCCAAGUGACUCGGAGAAUAUAGCAAUACCUCCCCGGCAACGGCGCCAGAAAAAUGUUGCUUAGGAGUCCCCGGCAACAGCACUAGAAGAAUGUUGUUGACGAGUCCCUGACUUGAUGCCUUCGCGACAACAGAGCCAGAACUGCUCCCAGUUGCUCAACAAUUAGCAAUUGUCUUGCAAUGGCCCACCAGCGCGUGGGUUCGUGGCAGUUUUCGAGGGUAGAGUAUUCGACCCAUAUUUGUUGAUUCGCCAGACAGGAGGUGAGAGGAUACUCUCGAGUAUUAGCAGCUGAAUGUAUCAGAUUCAACCGCACCUGAAAGAUUAGUAUCAGUAGCAAAGUAGGAUGAUAACAACGGUGUCAGAAACGAUCUGUUGACGGCAGACUAUUCCUAACUGUCGUAUCAAUGGCGCCAGAAGUUGCCAGUUGACGGAAAUUGUCUUUUCCCGUCAACGCCGAGCAUACCAGAAUUGUAGCGGGUAGCAGCAGUGUAACGAGUAACAACAGUAGCAAGGAACAUCAGUAGUGACAGCAGUAGCAAGUAGCAACAGUAGUAACAGCAGCAGCAAGUAGCAACAGUAGUAACAGCAGUAGCAAGUAGCAACAGCAGUAACAGCAGAGCAAAACAAGUAACAACAGCAGUUGGACGAACUCAUAGGCAAUGGGUCGGUGAUUCGUUUGGAUGACAUUUGAUAACACACAAGUAUAGGGGAUCAAUUGUAGCCUUUCUCGAUAAGUAAGAGUGUCGAACCCAACGGGGAGCUAAAGGUAGGACAAAUAUUCCCUCAAGUUCUAUCGACCACCGAUACAACUCUACGCACACUUUACGUUUGCUUUACCUAGAACAAGUAUGAAACUAGAAGUACAUUAUAGGAGUGAUAGGAUAGACUUGCAAGAAAGUAAAGAACACGUAAAUAAAACUAGGGGCUGGUUAGAUAAAGAAACAACUACAAGUGUUUAACGAGUGUGGAAAAGUGGUGGUAGGAGUUGCGGAAUUGUCCCUAAGCAAUUGACUACGUUACUAGAUCGAUAGCAAGUAUCAUGUGGGAGAGGCAUCUGCUAGCAUGUCAUCCCUUACUUGGGAUUCUAUGCACUUAUGAUUGGAACUAUUAGCAAGCAUCCGCAACUACUAACGUUCAUUAAGGUAAAACCCAACCAUAGCAAUAAGAUAUAUUGGUCCCCCUUCAAUCCAUAUGCAUCAAUUUCUAUGCUAGGUUUGAAGCUUCUGCCACUCUAGCCUGCCAAUACAUAGUCCUAUCAACAUACAACUAACCCUAUGGUGUGAUCCACGUGCGCGAUCAUAUGAUGAGCACCAAAGGACAGCAACAUAACCACAAGCAAAUUAAACCAAUCAUAGCAAUUCAUCAAUCACCGAUAGGACAACGAUAAUCUACUCAGACAUCAUAGGAUAGCAACACAUCAUUGGAUAAUAAUAUGUAGCAUAAAGAACCAUGUUCAAGUAGAGGGUACAGCGGGUUGCGGGAGAGUGAAUCGCUGAAUAUAGAUGGGGGAAGAUGAUGGAGAUGUUGGUGAAGAUGACAGAGGUGUUGGUGUAGAUCGUCGCCACACGAUGAUGUCUCGGGCGGCGUUCCGGCGCCGUCAGGAGAGAGGGGGAGAGAGCCCCCCUCCUUCUUCUUCUUCCUUGACCUCCUCCCUAGAUGGGAGAUGGGUUUUCCCUCUGGUCCAUGGUCUCCAUGGCGGCGGAGGGGCGAGAGCCCCUUCGAGAUUGGAUCUCUCUCUUUGUGUCCUUCUGUUUCCGCGCUCCCAGANNNNNNNNNNCCGGAGAUCCAUAACUCCGAUUGGGCUGAAAUUUUAACACGAUUUUCUUUCGGAUAAUAUCUUUCUUACGGCGAAAGAAGGGCUCCAACCGCCUUAAGGAGUGGCCACAAGCCUGCNNNNNNNNNNCCGGGCGGCGUUCCGGCGCCGCCGGGAGAGAGGGGGAGAGAGCCCCCCUCCUUCUUCUUCUUUCUUGACCUCCGCCCUAGAUGGGAGAAGGGUUUCCCCUAUGGUCCAUGGUCUCCAUGGCGGCGGAGGGGCGAGAGCCCCUCCGAGAUUGGAUCUCUCUCUUUGUGUCCUUCUGUUUCCGCGCUCCCAGAUUCUGCGUUUCACCGUUUCUUAAAUUCUCGGAGAUCCGUAACUCCGAUUGGGCUGAAAUUUUAACACGAUUUUCUUGCGGACAAUAUCUUUCUUGCGGCGAAAGAAGGGCUCCAACCGCCUUAAGGAGUGGCCACAAGCCUGCCUGCCGUGGGCCCACCCCCUGGCUGCGGCGACAGGGCUUGUGGGCACUCCGUGCAUCGCCUCGCGUUCAUUCUUCUUCCCAAAAAUCAAAAAUAUUCCAAAAAAAUCCCCGUAAGUUUUUAUUACGUUUGGACUUCGUUUGGUAUGGAUAUUCUGCGAANNNNNNNNNNCGGGCCCACCCCCUAGUCGCGGCGACAAGGCUUGUGGGCACUCCGUGCAUCGCCUCACGUUGAUUCUUCUUCCCAAAAAUCAAAAAUAUUCCAAAAAAAUCCCCUAAGUUUUUAUUACGUUUGGACUUCGUUUGGUAUGGAUAUUCUGCGAAACAAAAAACCUGCAACAAACAGGAACUGACACUGGGCACUGGAUCAAUAUGUUAGUCCCAAAAAUAGUAUAAAAAGUUGCCAAAAGUAUAUGAAAGUUGUAGAAUAUUGGCAUGAAAAAAUCAAAAAUUAUAGAUACGACGGAGACGUAUCAACAUUUAUCAUGCAACAGUUAUAACACGGAGAGAUAUGUGGCUAGCUCCCGUUCGUCAAUGUGAUGUAGGCAUGCAUUCCGUGUGUAGUCAUACGUGCUUAGGGAAAAGAACUUGCAUGACAUCUAUUGUCCAUCCCUCCCGUGGCAGCGGGGUCCAAAAGGAAACUACGGGAUAUUAAGGUUCUCCUUUUAAUAAAGAACCGGACCAACGCAUUAGCACUUGGGGAACACAUGGACUCCUCAAACUAUGUUCAUCACCGGGAGUGGUUCCGGUUAUUGUCACUCCGGGGUUGCCGGAUCAUAACACAUAGUAGGUAACUACAACUUGCAAGAUCGGACCUAAAACACACAUAUAUUGGUGACAACAUAAUAAUUUCAGAUCUGAAANNNNNNNNNNNNNNNNNNNNNNNNNNNNNNNNNNNNNNNNNNNNNNNNNNNNNNNNNNNNNNNNNNNNNNNNNNNNNNNNNNNNNNNNNNNNNNNNNNNNCGGGACUCCGAACAACAUUCGGUAACCAACCAUAUAACUCAAAUACGCAUAAAACAACGUCGAACCUUAAGUGUGCAGACCCUGCGGGUUCGAGAACUAUGCAGACAUGACCCGAUUGACUCCUCGGUCAAUAUCCAAUAGCGGGACCUAGAUGCCCAUAUUGGAUCCCACAUAUUCUACGAAGAUCUUAUCGUUUGAACCUCAGUGCCAAGGAUNNNNNNNNNNUCGGACCAUUCCGGAAACCCUCGUGACGUCCGUGAUCUCAUCUGAGACCCCGAACAACAUUCGGUAACCAACCAUAUAACUCAAAUACGCAUAAAACAACGUCGAACCUUAAGUGUGCAGACCCUGCGGGUUCGAGAACUAUGUAGACAUGCCCCGAGGCACUCCUCGGUCAAUAUGCAAUAGCGGGACCUGGAUGCCCAUAUUGGAUCCUACAUAUUCUACAAAGAUCUUAUCGUUUGAACCUCAGUGCCAAGGAUUCAUAUAAUCCCGUAUGUCAUUCCCUUUGUCCUUCGGUAUGUUACUUGCCCGAGAUUCGAUCGUCAGUAUCCGUAUACCUAUUUCAAUCUCGUUUACCGACAAGUCUCUUUACUCGUUCCGUNNNNNNNNNNAUCGAGAACUAUGCAGACAUGACCCGAGUGACUCCUCGGUCAAUAUCCAAUAGCGGGACUUGGAUGCCCAUAUUGGAUCCACAUAUUCUACGAAGAUCUUAUCGUUUGAACCUCAGUGCCAAGGAUUCUAUAAUCCCGUAUGUCAUUCCCUUUGUCCUUCGAUAUGUUACUUGCCCAAGAUUCGAUCGUCACUAUCCGCAUACCUAUUUCAAUCUCGUUUACCGACAAGUCUCUUUACUCGUUCCGUAAUACAAGAUCCCGCAACUUACACUAAGUCACAUUGCUUGCAAGGCUUGUGUACGAUGUUGUAUUACCGAGUGGGCCCCGAGAUACCUCUCCGUCACACAGAGUGACAAAUCCUAGUCUUGAUCCAUACUAACUCAACGAACACCUUCGGAGAUACCUGUAGAGCAUCUUUAUAGUCACCCAGUUACGUUGCGACGUUUGAUACACACAAAGUAUUCCUCCGGUGUUAGUGAGUUAUAUGAUCUCAUGGUCAUAGGAACAAAUACUUGACACGCAGAAAACAGUAGCAAUAAAAUGACACGAUCAACAUGCUACGUCUAUUAGUUUGGGUCUACUCCAUCGCGUGAUUCUCCUAAUGACGUGAUCCAGUUAUCAAGCAANNNNNNNNNNNNNNNNNNNNNNNNNNNNNNNNNNNNNNNNNNNNNNNNNNNNNNNNNNNNNNNNNNNNNNNNNNNNNNNNNNNNNNNNNNNNNNNNNNNNAUCCACGUGUUUGUAGGACCUUCGCUCUCAGUGGGGGGGGGGGGGGGGGGGGGGGGGGGGGGGGGGGGGGGGGGGGGGGGGGGGGGGGGGGGGGGGGGGGGGGGGGGGGGGGGGGGGGGGGGGGGGGGGGGGGGGGGGGGGGGGGGGGGGGGGGGGGGGGGGGGGGGGGGGGGGGGGGGGGGGGGGGGGGGGGGGGGGGGGGGGGGGGGGGGGGGGGGGGGGGGGGGGGGGGGGGGGGGGGGGGGGGGGGGGGGGGGGGGGGGGGGGGGGGGGGGGGGGGGGGGGGGGGGGGGGGGGGGGGGGGGGGGGGGGGGGGGGGGGGGGGGGGGGGGGGGGGGGGGGGGGGGGGGGGGGGGGGGGGGGGGGGGGGGGGGGGGGGGGGGGGGGGGGGGGGGGGGGGGGGGGGGGGGGGGGGGGGGGGGGGGGGGGGGGGGGGGGGGGGGGGGGGGGGGGGGGGGGGGGGGGGGGGGGGGGGGGGGGGGGGGGGGGGGGGGGGGGGGGGGGGGGGGGGGGGGGGGGGGGGGGGGGGGGGGGGGGGGGGGGGGGGGGGGGGGGGGGGGGGGGGNNNNNNNNNNNNNNNNNNNNNNNNNNNNNNNNNNNNNNNNNNNNNNNNNNNNNNNNNNNNNNNNNNNNNNNNNNNNNNNNNNNNNNNNNNNNNNNNNNNNGCAAACGCGACGAAACCUUCUCUUCUGAUUUUUUUUCUGGGCGAAAGUGAAUUUAUAGAGCUGAGAUUGGGGGCGGCAGAGCCACGUGGGCCCCACAAGCUUGGUUGCCGCGGCCAGGGGGGUGGCCGCGGAAACAGGGCUUGUGGCCCACUAGCCCAUCCCCUCCGGUGGAUCUUUGCGUAGGUAUUUUUCAUAUUUUCCAUAAAAAUUCUCCGUAAAUUUCCAGGAAGUUCCGAGAACUUUCAUUUCUGCACAAAAACAACACCAUGGCAAUUCUGCUGAAAACAACGUUAGUCUGGGUUAGUUCCAUUCAAAUCAUGCAAAUUAGAGUCCAAAACAAGGGCAAAAGAGUUUGGAAAAGUAGAUACGACAGAGACGUAUCAACUCCCCCAAGCUUAAAACCUUGCUUGUCCUCAAGCAACUCUGUUGACAAACUGAAAGAGAAAGAACCCCCCCCCCCCCCCCCAACUUUGACAAACUCUGUUUGAUCUUGUUGUUGCAACUAUGUCUAACUCAUAACCAGAAUUUCAGCGAGAUCACAAGUUAACCACAUAAGCAAGUGACACAAAGGUCUCACGGUAAACUAAUAUCAAUGGCAUAAUCAGCUAGCGAGCAAAUAAUAAUGAGUUUUAGAUACCAACAAUUCAAUCAAAACAAGCAUGAAGCAAUAUGAAUAGGUGGUAUCUCGCUAGCUCUUUCUGAGACUGCAAAACAUAAAUGCAGAGCACUUUCAAAGAUCAAGGGCUGACUAAACAUUGUAAUUCAUAGCAACGAAGAUCCGAUCAUAGUCAUACUCAAUAUCAAUCAAAAGCAAAGCAUAAAAAUGACAGAGGUGCUCUCUAAUUGGUGCUUAUAUAAGAAGAGGAUGACUCAACAGGAAAAUAAAUAGACAGGCCCUUCGUAGAGGGAAGCAUUGAUUUGCAGAGGUGCGAGAGCUCAAGCUUUGAAAACAGAGGUAAUAAUUUUGGGUGGCAUGCUUUCAUUGUCAACACAAUGACCAAGAGUUCUCAAUAUCUUCCACGCUACUCAUGCUAUAGGCGGUUCCCAAACAGAAAAGUAAAGUCUUAACUCCCCCACCACCAAUUAAUCACACUCCACGGCUAGCCGAAUCCUCGGGUACAGUCCAUACUAACAUCAAUCCAGGGGGAGUCUUGUUUUACAGUUAUGUUUUCGAUUUAAGCGUGGAACUGGGCAUCCCAAAUACCAGCCCCUUUAUCGUGAAGGACUGUGAAUAAACACAUGUCGAGGAUAACACGCAUAACAUGGAAGAUAUCAAUAGCCCCCUGUCACCACAUGAGCGGUUCGAGCAUGCAAAACAGAUUAUUUCUUGAAGGUUUAGAGAAUGGCACAUGCAAAUUUACUUGGAACGGCAGGUAAAUACCACACAUAGGUAGGUAUAGUGGACUCUCAUGGAAAAACUUUUGGGUUUAUGGAAGUGUAUGCACAAGCAGUAUUCCGCUUAGUACAAGUGAAGGCUAGCAAAAGACUCGGAAGCGACCAACUAGAGAGCGACAACAGUCAUCAAGAUGCAAUGAGUUUGACUAACAUGGAAUGCAAGCAUGAACAGGAUAUAAAUCACUAUGAACACGAACAUCAUAGAGGUUAUGUUGAUUUUGUUUCAACUACAGGCAUGAACAUGCGCCAAGUCAAGCCACUUGAAUCAUUCAAAGGAGAAUACCAUCUUAUCAUACUACAUCAUAGUCAUCUCAAAAUCUAUGUUGGCAUUCAAGACAAACCAUUAUAAGCUCCUAGCUAAAUAAGCAUGGCAUCAGAAACUAUGAUCCCUAAGUUGCCAUUGCAAACAUGGUUCUCUCACAACAAAGCUGAAUCUGGGAUGACAAGCUAGCCAUAUUUAAAAAAACAAAAUAGAUAGAGUUCAUACCAGCUUUUCCAGUCUCAGUCACUUCCUCAUAUAUCAUCAUUAUUUCCUUUCACUUGCACGAUCGAACGAUGUGAACAAUAAUAAGCGUGCUCGUGCAAUGGACUAAGCUGAAUCUGCAGGCAAACACAAAGGAGAAGACAAAGUAAUAUGGCUCUUUGAAAGCUAAACAGGUAUGCAUGCAAGAGCCACUAAACAUUGUAACCAAUAUCUUCUACCUUGACCCAAAGAAAAAGGAAACUAUUUACACAGGAAAGCUCCCAACAAGCAAAAGAAGAAAGGAAAAUCUUUUUGGGUUUUCUCAAAAGGACACAAAACAAGAAAACGAAAAUAAACUAGCAUGGAUAAUACAGUGGCAAAGUGUGAACACCGACGAACAAAGUAAAAGCAUAAGCAUGAAUGUAAAGUCGGUGAGAACACGUACUCCCCCAAGCUUAGGCUUUUGGCCUAGCUUGGUCUACUCCCAAGGCGGGAAAUAACCUGCUCCGGGGUACUCAGGAGCGGACUGUGGGUGCCACUGCUGUGUGAGCUCCUCUGGCUCCCACUGAUAAACUGGAGUCUGGUACUCGACUGGCGGCUCGGGCACGGGCACCUGUGGUUGGGCCAAGCCCCAAUAUGCAUAGAUAUCCGAGGGCAUAAUAGUGUACCUGCCUGCAUGAAGAUUGAACAAAGAAGGAGCAGGCAAAUUAAUAGUCUCAUGAGUACCCUGACUAAACACCAGGUUAUAAAUCAUCCUUCUACUUGCAUCUCUAUCCAAAAAAUCAUGGCGAACCAUGCUGUCAUAAUCCAAAUAUUUCUCAGGAAGAAGCAUCUCUUCUUCCUCGUGAAGUCUAAUGGGUAUCUCAAAGUGUCUAUCAAGACGAGUAGCAUAGAUACCUCCAUAUACGACACCUUUGGAACGGUUUGUGUUCAACCGCUGAGCUACUAUAGCACCUAGGCUAUAAGUCUUAGUGCUAUAAAGGCCUUCGUGCAAAACCGCAAGGUAUGAAGAGCUAAGUGAUCCAGCCUCCCCACGGCCAAUCAAACAUUUUCCCACAAAUAAUUAAAAGUACCGAAGCAUAGGAAAAUGUAUGCUAGCAAUUCUAGCGCGAGACACUCCUCUCUCCUCUCCAACAACAAUAGUACUUAUGAAAUCCUCCAAGUCCCAUGGACGAGGAUCAUGAAUAUCCCCAACAUAAGGUAAUUUGCAUGCAUUGCAAAAAUCCUAUAGUGUCACGCACUAGGGGAUAUCGUACAACAUGAACUCAACCAUGGGAGGAUUCUUCCUCGGAUAAAAGUUGAAGCUUUGAACAAAAAUAUUGGUGAGGAGGAGGUAUUGUGAGCACUUAUCUUCAACGAACGCGGUAAGACCUGCGUUCUCUACCAAGUAAUAAAAGCCUUCAUAAAGCCCGGCGGCGCGCAAAAAUUCAUCACUUGGCCACUCGCAUGCUCGAACUUCCGUGACUCGAGGAACCACGUACUUGGGGUGAUUCUUCUCAUCCUCCUUGGGGUUACGGCUUGAAGAGCCUCUCAAGAACCUCCUCAUCUUUUUCCUUUUCUAGCUCUGAAAAAUUCUGAAAUUUUUAGAGACUUCGAAAGAAAAGUGAAUAAAGAUUAACCCAACUCGUAGCAACUACUCCUACUAGUGCUUAGAGACCGUAUCACGCGCUAAAACUACUUGGGACCAGCUAAAAUCAACAUUUCAAGCUCAAGAACAGGGUCACCAAGGUAGCAAGAAUACGCGAAGGAUAAAGUACUAGAGCAAAAACUAAUUGGAUCAAUGGAGGAGUCACUUACCAAGGAGUAAUUUCCCCAAAACGGUUCAGAGAAUGAUGCUUUGAGCAAGGAGAUCGAAAAUCACAGUCAAAUGAGCAAGAACACGGGUUUGAGCUACGAAACAAUUUUUCCUGGAGGAAGAAGAAGAGGAUGGGAGCUGGAAUGAGUGGAGGGGGCCCCUGUGGGCCCCACAAGCUUGCUCCCCGUGGCGAGGGGGUAGCUCGCGGUGAUAGGGCUUGUGGCCCACUGGGGUGGCCCCCAGGCGAGCUCUCUGUCCCAGUAUUUUUCAAAUAUUCCAGAAAAAAUCAUACUAGAUUUUCAGGACCAUCGGAGAACUUUUAUUUUCGAGGUAUUUUUCUCCGAGAUGCUAAAACAGAAAACAUGAAAAACUAAACUAAAUCUAUCAUUUUUCUUCUAAACAACAGAAAGUGAAAGCUCAAAACAUAGGUAUGUGACUCUUUGAUUCAUCCAUUUCAUGGUCAUCGAAAGAAAUCCGUCAAUGGGGUUGAUCAAAUCCUUAUGACAAAACUUUCUCGAAUCGCAAAAGAGAACGGAGAAUUUUCAAAUAGCCACUAAUUCACCUCAAUGGGGAUAUGAAUCUCCCCAACAAGCAAUUCAUACUUCAUCUUGACACGAGGAAUAAGGCAUUCAAAGCUCCCAAUAAGAAUCGAUGAAGUUUUUUUCGAUAGCAUUGAUGUAAUGUACUUGAUAUCGUUUCUUCGGAAAGUGCACGGUAUGCUCAUUACCGUUGACAUGGAAAGUGACAUUGCCUUUGUUGCAAUCUAUAACAGCCCCUAAAGUGUUUAAAAAGGGUCUUCCGAGGAUGACCGCCAUGGCAUCGUCCUCGGGAAUAUCCAAGAUAGCAAAGUCCGUUAAGAUGGUGGUGUUAUCAAGCACAACAGGCACAUCCUCGCAAAUGCAGACAAGGAAAGCAGUUGAUUUGUCGGCCAUUUGCAAUGAAAUUUCAGUGGGUGUCAACUUAUCCAGUUCAAGUCUACGAUAAAGAGAGAGAGGCAUAACACUAACUCCGGCUCCGAGGUCGCAUAAGGCAGUUCUUACGUAAUUUCCUUUAAUGGAGAAGGUAUAGUGGGCACUCCGGGAUCACCAAGUUUCUUAGGAGUUCCACCUUUGAAAGUGUAAUUGGCAAGCAUGGUGGAGAUCUCAAGAUCUGGUAUCUUCCGUUUAUUGGUCACGAUAUCUUUCAUGUACUUGGCAUACGGAGAAAUUUUGAGCAUAUCAACUAACCGCAUCUGCAGAAACACGGGUCUUAUCAUUUCAAUAAAGCACUCAAAAUCCUAAUCAUCCUUUAUCUUGGAUGGCUUAGGAGGAAAGGGCAUAGGUCUCUGAACCCAUGGCUCUCUUUCUUUACCAGGCUUCCUAGCAGUGAAGUCAUUAUUAUUAUAUCUCUUAGGUUGUGGGUUAUCAGGAUUAACCGUAGGUUCAAUCUCCACAUCCUUACCAUUGCUAGGUUGAGCAUCAUUAUGAACAUCGCUGUCCAUGUUGUCACCACAUUCUUGUUCAUCGCCAGAUUGUGUUUUUGCAUCAGACGCAGAAAUAUCAUUUGGUUCUUUAGGUGUGACAGUAUUUGGUGAACUGACAUGUAGGUUUCUAUCAUCCUUCUUCUUCUUAGGAUGACUGGGUGUGUCAACAUUAAUUCCUUGAGAAUCUUGAUCGAUUCUCUUAGGAUGACCUUAAGGAUACAAAGGUUCCUGAGUCAUUUUGCCUCCUCUAGUAAUGACUCUGACAGAGUUGUCAUUUAAUUCAUUGAGCAAGUCAUUCUUAGCUUUAAGUACUUGUUCUACCUGAGUAGUAACCAUAGAGGCAUGUUUACUCAUAAGCUUCAGAUCAUUGACAUUUCUGUCUACACAAGCACUUAAAUGACUAAGCAUGCGAGUACUUUGUUCCAAAUGUCUGCUAACAUAAUCAUUGAAACUCUGUUGUUUGGCAACAAAGUUGUCAAAUUCAUCAAAGCAUAGGCUAGCAGGUUUAUCAAAAGGAAUAUCACUCUCAUCAAACCUACGCCGAGAAUUUACUUCCACUACCUGUAUCGGGUUAUCGAGACCAUGGAUCUCUUCGAUAGGUGCUAGAUUUUUGACAUCUUCAGAUCUAAUGCCUUUCUCUUGCAUAGAUUUCUUGGCUUCAUGCAUAUCUUCAGGACUGAGGAAUAGAAUACCUCUUUUCUUCGGAGUUGGCUUAGGAGGUGGUUCGGGAAUAGUCCAAGCAUUAUCGUUGAUCAAGAUGUUAUUCAGUAGAGUCUCAGCUUGUUCUACAGUUCGUUCCCUAAAAACACAACCGGCACAACUAUCUAGGUGGUCUCUAGAAGCAUCGGUAAGUCCGUUAUAGAAGAUAUCAAGUAUCCCGUUCUUCUUAAGAGGGUGAUCAGGCAAAGCAUUAUGUAGCUGGAUGAGCCUCCCCCAAGCUUGAGUAUUCUAUANNNNNNNNNNNNNNNNNNNNNNNNNNNNNNNNNNNNNNNNNNNNNNNNNNNNNNNNNNNNNNNNNNNNNNNNNNNNNNNNNNNNNNNNNNNNNNNNNNNNGCGGUGAUGAGUAGGAUGAGAUCUAUCAUGUAAUCGAGUUAGUUUUGACGGGGAUUGAUCUCUAGUAUCCACUAUGUUCUAAGAUUGAUGUUGCUACUACUUUGCGAUGCUUAAUGCUUGUCACUAGGGCCCGAGUGCCAUGAUUUCAGAUCUGNNNNNNNNNNNNNNNNNNNNNNNNNNNNNNNNNNNNNNNNUGCCAUGCUUAAUGCUUGUCACUAGGGCCUGAGUGCCAUGAUUUCAGAUCUGAAAUUAUUAUGUUGUCACCAAUAUAUGUGUGUUUUAGGUCCGAUCUUGCAAGUUGUAGUUACCUACUAUGUGUUAUGAUCCGGCAACCCCGGAGUGACAAUAACCGGAACCACUCCCGGUGAUGACCAUAGUUUGAGGAGUUCAUGUGUUCACCAAGUGCUAAUGUGUUGUUCCGGUUCUUUAUUAAAAGGAGAACCUUAAUAUCCCGUAGUAUCCUUUUGGNNNNNNNNNNACAUAGUUUGAGGAGUCCAUGUGUUCCCCAAGUGCUAAUGCGUUGGUCCGGUUCUUUAUUAAAAGGAGAACCUUAAUAUCCCGUAGUUUCCUUUUGGACCCCGCUGCCACGGGAGGGAUGGACAAUAGAUGUCAUGCAAGUUAUUUUCCCUAAGCACAUAUGACUACACACAAAAUGCAUGCCUACAUCACAUUGACGAACGGGAGCUAGCCACAUAUUUCUCUGUGUUAUAACUGUUGCAUGAUGAAUAUCAUCCAAACGAAUCACCGACCCAUUGCCUACGAGUUCGUCCCACUGCUGUUGUUACUUGUUUUGCUCUGCUGCUGUUACUGUUGUCGCUUGCUCUGCUGCUACUUGCUACUGUUGCUACUUGCUACCACUGUCACUACUGUUGUUCCUUGCCACUGAUGUUACUCGUUACACUGCUGCUACCUGCUACAAUUCUGGUUCGCUCGGCGUUUACGGGAAAAGACAAUUUCUGUCAACGGGCAACUUCUGGCGCCAUUGAUACGACCGUUAGAAAUAGUCUGCCGUGUCAACACAUCGUUUCUGACACCGUUGUUAUCAUCCUACUUUGCUGCUGAUACUUUGCUUGCAGAUACUAAUCUUUCAGGUGUGGUUGAAUCUGACACAUUCAGCUGCUAAUACUCGAGAGUAUUCUCUCACCUCCUGACUGGCGUACCAACAAAUUUGGGUCGAAUACUCUACCCUCGAAAACUGCAGCGAAGCCACGCGCUGGUGGGCCAUUGCAAGACAAUUGCUAAUUGUUGAGCAACUGGGAGUAGUUCUGGCUCUGUUGUCGCGAAGGCAUCAAGUCAGGGAAUCGUCAGCAACAUUCUUCUAGUGUAGUUGCCGGGGACUGUUAAGCAAGGGCCAACAGGGGGCCCACAAGACCCCUAGGCGCGGCCACGGGGUAGGCCGUGCCUAGCAGGCUUGUGGCCUCCUGGUGGCUCCCCUCUGGUACUUCUUCCACCCAGUAUUUUUUAUAAAAUCCAAAAUAAUUCCUCGUUGAUUUUCACGGCUUUUGGAGUUGCGCAGAAUAGGUAUCUCAAACUUGCUCCCUUUUCAGACCAGAAUUCCAGCUGCCGGCAUUCUCCCUCUUCAUGUAAACCUUGUAAAAUAAGAGAGAAAAGGCAUAACUAUUGUACUGUGAAGUGUAAUAAAAGCCCAUAAAGCGAUAAAUAUCAACAUAAAAGCAUGAUGCAAAAUGGACGUAUCAACUCCCCCAAGCUUAGACUUCGCUUGUCCUCAAGCGGAAACCGAGAUCAAUAACAAUGCCCACAUGUUUAAAGAUAGAGGUGUCGACAAAACAAAAUACGGACAUGCACGCAUCAUGAUCAUAAUUAGAACAACAAUAACGUCAUAUAAUCUCUUAUGCUAAAGUGAUAGUUCCAUCACAAAGUAAAGUAUGGAUCAAGAACCUUAUUGAGAAUUAACAACCAAUAGCCUUUAGUCAUUGAAGCAAUUGCAAUUUAUCAUAACAUCGGAAAGAGUCAAAUAAGAGCUUGUAAAGCAAAUCCACAUACUCAAUCAUCAUUUCGUCUUCUACAAUUGCCACAACUCACAUGGUACUCGUGAGAUCAAAGUUUCAGUCGGACACACAGAAAGAUAGGGGCUUAUAGUUUCGCCUCCCAACUAUUUACCUCAAGGGUAAUGUCAACAAUAAUAAUUCAUGAAUACUUACUUCCAAGUUAACAUAUGAAUAUAGAUCUUUCCCUAGCAUAUGACGUUAGCCAAGAUAAAGGUGUAAUAAGGAAUUGGUGUCAAUCACCAUGACACUUUUAAGGGCAAAAAGUAAAGGUACAAGAUGGGCCCUUCGCAGAGGGAAGCAGAGGUUGUCAUGCACUUUUGAAGUUUGGAUGUGUGACCUCUUAGUGUGAGGGAACGUCACUUUAUAUUGCCUCCUAUGAUAAAGAACUUUAUUAUGCAGUCUGUCGCUUUUAUGUCUUCCUCAUCACAGGUUCGUACAAAGCUUAUUUUCCACACACUAGUAGAUCAUACAUAUUUAGGGAGCAAUUUUUAUUGCUUGCACGGUUGCACCGAUGAGAACUUACUUGAGGGAUCUUCUUCAAUCCAUAGGUAGGUAUGGUGGACUCUCAUGGCAAAAAUGGGUUGAAGGUUUAUGGAUGCACAAGUAGUAUCUCUACUUAGUGCGGAAGUUUUGGCUGAGAUGAGGUGGAAGCAAGCGUCACAUGCUAACGGAUCUCUAGUCGUAUAACAUUGUUCGGAACCAAGCAAACAUAAUUCAUUAUGUUGUCUUCCUUGUCCAACAUCUACUUCUAAAACAUGUAAUAGUUUAGUGAGUGUUCACAAUUAUAGAUGGUGCCCAAGAUGAUAUAUUUAUAUGUGAACCUCUCUUUCUUUAUUACUUCCUAUUAGUUGCAAUAAUGACCAAGGUCUACGUUUGUCCACCCACAACAAGUUUCAAUCAACAUUCUUUUUAUAUCUGAAGUCAUCACUUCCCAUAAGAUCAUUACAUGAUCUUUCAUGCUUUUGUUCUUUUAUUAUUCUUUUCUUUCAGAUCAUGGCAUGAGGCAAGGCCCUUAACUAAAACACCCUUUAUUAUAUGACUCACGAGCUCGAAUACAUUGGGGGUGACACAAAGCAAAACUCAAUCCUAAAUCACUAAGAACUUUAUUCUACUAGAGAAAGAUAAAACCAAAAAGGAUCAAACUAAGAAAAAGGUAAAGGAAAAAGAUGUGAUGGUGAUACAAUAUCGGGGCAACUCCCCCAAGCUUGGCACAAGCCAAGGGGAUUUCCCAUACCCGUGCUUAAUUGUCUUCCUUUGAAGGUGAUGGUGGUGGAGUUGUCCUGUCUUUUGAUUCCAAGAGGGCCAUCAAUCUUUGAUUUAUACCUUGGAGUUCUGUGAUAUGUUUCUCCAGCAAAACAACUUCACGGGUGAGAUAAGUAUUACGAACACGAGUUAUUUCACAUAACCUCAAGAGUUCGAUCAAGGAUGGAGGUAAACGGUGAAGAUAGGGUUGAAGAAAAUCCUCUUCCUCAGCUCCUUCCUUGUUGAGCACAGAUUGCCCUUCGUCCAAUGCCGGAUUAUCCUCCUUAAUUUUGCCCUUAGUUUCUUCAAGCAGCCUUUCCUUGGCCUCCAUGACCUCCAUUCUUUUCAGAUCAGCAUUUACUUCUUCAUAGACUUGAGGGAGAUCGUUCUCCCCGACAGAUUCCUGAGACGACAUCCUUGCCCUAAAUCUGCGGCAGAAACAGGCUCAAAACGAAAACAGAGGAUAUUUGCGUGAUACGAGGGUCAGACCUUUCGGGAGAAUAUAUAAUGAAUUUUCCCGACCAAAAGGAGUACUCCGCAAUAAAAAGGAGUUUGGGAGGCACACGAGGUGCCCACAAGCCACCCAGGCACGGUCAGGGGGUAGGUCGCGCCUAGCAGACUUGUCGCCUCCUCGUGCGCUUUCCGGACUACUUUAAAUUUUCCUUUUUUUCUAAAAAUUCUAAAACGGAGAAAAAUUCCUACUGGAAAAGUUUUGGAGUCGGUUUACUUACCGAAUCACAUACCUCUUCGUUUUUGGAGUCUGAAACAGGGUGAUAAAUAUCCCUUAUGUACUCCUACGGAGUUAUGGUAUCAAUAAUAUUGCUUUCAACAUUUAUGGGAGUACCUGAGAUAUAAUGUUUGAUUCUUUGCCCAUUUACCACUCCCGGAAAAUUACCUUCCGUGUUGUUGAUCUUGAUGGCACCGGAAUGAUAUACUUCCUCAACAAUGUAAGGACCUUCCCAUUUAGAGAGAAGCUUGCCUGCAAAAAAUCUUAAACGAGAAUUGUAUAGCAAGACAUAAUCACCUACAUUGAACUCACGUUUUUGUAUCCUUUUAUCAUGCCACCUCUUAACCUUUUUUUGGAUAACUUGGCAUUUUCAUAUGCCUGAGUUCUCCAUUCAUCAAGUGAGCUAAUAUCAAAUAACCUCUUCUCACCAGCAAGUUUGAAAUCAAAGUUGAGCUCUUUGAUUGCCCAGUAAGCCUUAUGCUCUAGCUCAAAAGGUAAAUGACAUGCUUUACCGUAAACCAUUUUGUAUGGAGACAUGCCCAUGGGAUUCUUAUAAGCAGUUCUAUAAGCCCACGGUGCAUCAUCAAGCUUCUUAGACCAAUUCUUUCUAGACCUAUUAACAGUCUUUUGCAUAAUUAGUUUAAUCUCUCUAUUACUUAGCUCUACUUGACCACUGGACUGAGGAUGAUAGGGAGAUGCAACUCUAUGAUUGACAUCAUACUUAGCAAGCGUUUUACGGAAAGCACCAUGAAUGAAAUGUGAACCACCAUUGGUCAUUAGAUAUCUAGGGACUCCAAAUAUAGGGAAAAUAACUUCUUUAAGCAUCCUGAUAGAGGUGUUGUGAUCAGCACUACUAGUUGGGAUAGCUUCUACCCACUUAGUAACGUAAUCAACAGCAACUAGUAUAGGAUAUGCGUAUACCCAUUGGAUUUUGGAAAAGGUCCCAUAUAAUCAAAACCCCAAACACCAAAUGGUUCAAUGACAAGUGAAUAAGUCAUAGGCAUCUGCUGACGUUUACUGAUAUUACCUAUUCUUUGACAUUCAUCGUAAGACAAGACAAACUUACGGGCUUCCUUGAAGAGAGUAGGCCAAUAGAAACUUGAUUGCAAUACCUUGUGUGCAGUUCUAUCUCCCGCAUGGUGUCCUCCGUAAGCCUCGGAGUGACACUUGUGUAGGAUCUGUCCCUUUUCAUGUUCAGGUACACAACGUCUAAUAACACCAUCUACUCCUUCUUUAUAAAGGUGGGGAUCAUCCCAAAAGUAAUGUCUCAAAUCAACGAAGAAUUUCUUCUUUUGCUAGUAAGUGAAACUAGGUGGUAUAUAUUUGGCAAUGAUAUAAUUUGCAUAAUCAGCAUACCACGGUGCACUACGUGAAGCAUUGAUGACAUUCAGUUGCUAAUCAGGAAAGCUAUCAUCAAUAGGUUGUGGGUCAUCAAAAACAUUCUCCAACCUAGACAAGUUAUCUGCUACGGGGUUCUCAGCACCCUUCCUAUCAACAACAUGCAAAUCAAAUUCUUGUAGAAAGAGAACCCAUCUGAUAAGUCUAGGUUUAGCAUCUUUAUUUUCCAUGAGAUACUUAAUAGCAGCAUGAUCAGUGUGAAUAGUGACUUUGGAAUCAACUAUGUAAGAUAUGAACUUUUCACAUGCAAACACGACUGCUAAAAAUUCCUUUUCAGUAGUAGCAUAGUUUCUUUGGGCACUGUCUAGAGUUUUACUAGCAUAAUGAAUAACAUUCAACUUCUUAUCAACUAUUUGUCCUAGAACAUCACCAACAGCAUAAUCACUAGCAUCACACAUAAUUUCAAAAGGUAAGUUCCAAUCAGGUGGUUGAACAAUAGGUGCAGUUAUCAAGGCCUUAUUAAGUAUUUCAAAGGCUUCCUCACAAUCAUCAUCAAAAACAAAAGGAAUAUCCUUUUGCAAGAGAUUGGUAAGAGGCCUAGAAAUCUUAGAAAAGUCCUUAAUGAACCUUCUAUAGAAACCAACAUGACCAAGGAAACUUCUUAUACCUUUGAUAUCUGUAGGGCAUGGCAUUUUCUCGAUCGCAUCAACCUUAGCCUUAUCGACUUCAAUACCUCUUUCAGAAAUUUUAUGUCCUAAGACGAUGCCUUCAUUGACCAUAAAGUGGCACUUCUCCCAAUUCAAGACAAGGUUGGUAUCUUUACAUCUCUGCAAAACUCGAUCAAGGGUUGUUGAGGCAAUCAUCAAAAGAAGACCCGUAAAUGGAGAAGUCAUCCAUGAAAACCUCAACAAUCUUUUCACAAAAGUCAGAGAAUAUAGCCAUCAUACAUCUUUGAAAGAUGGCAUGUGCAUUACAUAGGCCAAAAGGCAUACGUCUGUAAGCAAAGGUACCGAAGGGGCAGGUAAAAGUGGUUUUCUCCUGAUCAGAUUGUGCAACAUGUAUUUGGGAGAAACCAGAAUAACCAUCUAGAAAGCAGAAGUGUGUGUGUUUAGACAAUCUUUCUAGCAUUUGGUCGAUAAAAGGCAAAGGGUGAUGAUCUUUCCUAGUGGCUUUAUUCAAUUUCCUAAAAUCAAUCACCAUUCUAUAGCCAGUAAUAAUCCUCUGUGAGAUCAAUUCAUCUUUGUCCUUAGGGACAACGGUAAUACCUCCCUUCUUAGGGACGCAAUGCACCGGACUCACCCAAUCACUAUGAGAAACAUGAUAGAUAAUACUUGCUUCCAGGAGCUUUAGUAUUUCUUUUCUUAGUACCUCUUUCAUCUUAGGAUUUAAUCUCCUUUGAUGAUCAGCAACUGGUUUGGAAUCAAGACCAGUUUUAAUUUUGUGGUGGCAUAGAGUGGGACUAAUGCCCUUAAGAUCGUCAAGAGUAUAUGCAAUAGCAGCACGGUGCUUCCUCAGAGUUUUUAAUAAUUUGUUUUCUUCAUACUCUGAAAGGCUAGCACUAAUAAUAACAGGAUAUAUCUCUUUUUCAUCAAGAUAAGCAUACUUAAGAGUAUCAGGUAACUAUUUAAGCUCGAACACAGGAUCACCCUUUGGGGGGUGGAUAACCAAGUAGCUCAAUAGGCAAAUUAUUCUUAAGGAUAGGAUGUUGUUCAAAGAUAACUCUAACUAUCUCAUUCCUUUCAUCCAUAUGCAUAUCAUUUUCAUGCUCAAGCAAGUAUUGCUCUAAAGGAUCACUAGGAGGCACAACAAUAGAAGCUAGAGCAAUAAUUUCAUCCUUACUAAACAACUCUUUUUCAUGAGGUUAUCUACCAAACUUCGAGAAAUUGAACUCAUGUGACACUCCUUCAAAGCCAACAGUGACAAUUUGCUUCUCACAGUCAAUAUGAGCAUUGACAGUAUUGAGGAAAGGUCUGCCAAAUAUGAUGGGUCAAAAGCUAUCUUGUGUGGUAGCAAGAACGAGAAAAUCAGCAGGAUACUUAGUUUUACCACACAAGACUUCAACAUCUCUAACAAUUCCCAAAGGGUAGAUAGUAUCUCUAUUGGCAAGCUGAAUAGUGACAUCAAUAGGUUCCAUCUUGACAGGUGCAAUCUCGUCUUUAAUUUCAUCAUAUAAAGAUUGUGGUAUUGCACUAACACUAGCACCCACGUCACAUAAACAAUGAUAACAAUGAUCUCCUAUCUUAACAGAAACAACAGGCGUGCCAACAACAUGCCUAUGUUUGUCUCUAGCAUGGGGUUUAGCAAUUCUAGCAGCAUCUUCACAGAAGUGAAUAUCAUGGCCAUCAACAUUGUCGGAUAGGAGAUCUUUGAUAAUAGCAAUUUAGGUUAAACUCUAAGUUUCUCAGGGGGUGUAGGUGUUCUAAUGUAGCCCCUACGUAUCACAGUUGAAGCUUUAGAAUGAUCCUUUAUCCUAACAAGGAAAGGUGGUUUCUCUAUGUAAGCACUAGGAACAAUAGGAUCAUUAUAAGCGAUGACUUUCUCUUCAACUGGAUUGGGUUUAACUACAUUGACUUCUAAGGUAGGAUGAUAUUUAAACCACUUCUCUUUAGGGAGAUCAAUAUGAGCAGCAAAUGAUUCACACAAUGAAGCUACUAUCUUAGAGUCAAGUCCAUAUUUAGCGCUAAAAUCACAAAAAGUAUUUGUUUCGACAAAGGAUUUAACGCAAUCAAACUUGAGAUUCAUACUUGACUCCUUACCUUCAUCAAACUCCCAAUAUUCAGAGUUGCGUUUAAUUCUUUCCAAUAAAUUAUAUUUGAAGUCAAUAUCUCUCUUCAUAAAAGAACCGGUACAAGAAGUGUCAAGCAUGGUGCGAUUAUCAUGAGAAAGCCGAGCGUAGAAGUUCUGAAUGAUAAUUUCUCUCGAGAGCUCAUGGUUGGGGCAUGAAUAUAACAUUGAUUUAAGCCUCCCCCAAGCUUGAGCGAUACUUUCUCUAUCACGCGGCCAAAAAUUAUAAAUAUAAUUCCGAUCACGAUGUACCAAAUGCAUAGGAUAAAACUUGUGAUGGAAUUCCAAUCUCAAUCGGUUGUAGUUCCAUGAUCCAGUAUCAUCACAUAGCCUAUACCAUGUCAAUGCUUUAUCCCUCAAAGAUAAGGGGAACACCUUCUUCUUGACCUCAUCCUCGGGCAAACCUGCAAGCUUAAAUAAACCACAAACUUCAUCUACAUAGAUUAGAUGCAAGUCGGGAUGUGAUGUUCCAUCUCCUGUAAAAGGAUUAGCCAACAGUUUCUCUAGCAUACCCGAAGGAAUUUCAUAACAAAUAUUUUCAGUAGGUGCAGCAGGUUGAGGAGAAACUCCUUGUGCUUCCGUUCCAGGUGAAGAUACCCCGAACAAGUUCCUCAAAGGAUUAGUUUCCAUAGCGACAAGUGACAAUAAAUUUCAGCACACUAUAUGAAUGUUUCCUUACCAAAGGCGCUUCACUCCCCGGCAACGGCGCCAGAAAAGAGUCUCGAUGACCCACAAGUGUAGGGGAUCUAUCGUAGUCCUUUCGUAAGUAAGAGUGUUGAACCCAACGAGGAGCAGAAGGAUCUGACAAGUGGUUUUCAGCAAGGUAUUCUCUGCAAGCACUGAAAUUAUCGGNNNNNNNNNNNNNNNNNNNNNNNNNNNNNNNNNNNNNNNNNNNNNNNNNNNNNNNNNNNNNNNNNNNNNNNNNNNNNNNNNNNNNNNNNNNNNNNNNNNNNNNNNNNNNNNNNNNNNNNNNNNNNNNNNNNNNNNNNNNNNAGUGCAGCAAAGUGGCCCAAUACCUUUUUAGCAAGGGACAAGCCUGGACGAACUCUUAUAGGAGGUGAAGUGCUCCCGAGGACACAUGGGAAUUUCUGUCAAGCUAGUUUUCAUCAUGUUCAUAUGAUUCGCGUUCGCUACUUCGAUAAUUUGAUAUGUGGGUGGACCGGUGCUUGGGUGCUGCCCUUACUUGGACAAACAUCCCACUUAUGAUUAACCCCUCUCGCAAGCAUCCGCAACUACGAAAGAAGAAUUAAGACAAAAUCUAACCAUAGCAUUAAACUAGUGGAUCCAAAUCAGCCCCUUACGUAGCAACGCAUAAACUAGGGUUUAAGCUUCUGUCACUCUAGCAACCCAUCAUCUACUUAUUACUUCCCAAUGCCUUCCUCUAGGCCCAAAAAAUGGUGAAGUGUUAUGUAUUCGACGUUCACAUAACACCACUAGAGGAGAGACAACAUACAACACAUCAAAAUAUCGAACGAAUACCAAAUUCACAUGACUACUUAUAGCAAGACUUAUCCCAUGUCCUCAGGAACAAAAGUGACUACUCACAAAGCAUAAUUAUGUUCAUGACCAGANNNNNNNNNNNNNNNNNNNNNNNNNNNNNNNNNNNNNNNNNNNNNNNNNNNNNNNNNNNNNNNNNNNNNNNNNNNNNNNNNNNNNNUUACAAGUACCAAUCGGAGUCGUGAGACGGAGAUUGGUUACAAGAGAUGAACUAGGGUUUGGAGAUGAGAUGGUGCUGAUGAAGAUGUUGAUGGUGACGAGUCCCCUCCGAUGAGAGGAGUGUUGGUGAUGACGAUGGCGACGAUUUCCCCCUCCGGGAGGGAAGUUUCCCCGGCAGGACGGCCCUGCCGGAGCUCUAGAUUGGUUCUGCUCAAGUUCCGCCUCGUGAUGGCGGCGAUUCCUCCCGAAAUCCUCCUCUUGAUUUUUUCUGGAACGAAACCCUCCUUAUAGCAAAAGAUGGGAGCCAGAGGGCCAACAGGGGGCCCACAAGCCCCCUAGGCGCGGCCAGGGGGGUAGGCUACGCCUAGCAGGCUUGUGGCCUCCUGGUGGCUCCCCUCUGGUACUUCUUCNNNNNNNNNNUCGGAGCUCUAGAUUGGUUCUGCUCAAGUUCCGCCUCGUGGCGGCGGCGAUUCCUCCCGAAAGCCUCCUCUUGAUUUUUCUGGAACGAAACCCUCCUUAUAGCAAAAGAUGGGAGCCAGAGGGCUGAUACGUCUCCGUCGUAUCUACUUUUUCAAAUUCUUUUGCCCUUGUUUUGGACUCUAAUUUGCAUGAUUUGAAUGGAACUNNNNNNNNNNNNNNNNNNNNNNNNNNNNNNNNNNNNNNNNNNNNNNNNNNNNNNNNNNNNNNNNNNNNNNNNNNNNNNNNNNNNNNNNNNNNNNNNNNNNNNNNNNNNNNNNNNNNNNNNNNNNNNNNNNNNNNNNNNNNUUCCUGGAAAUUUACGGAGAAUUUUUAUGGAAAAUAUGAAAAAUACCUACGCAAAGAUCCACCGGAGGGGAUGGGCUAGUGGGCCACAAGCCCUGUUUCCGCGGCCACCCCCCUGGCCGCGGCAACCAAGCUUGUGGGGCCCACGUGGCUCUGCCGCCCCCAAUCUCAGCUCUAUAAAUUCACUUUCGCCCAGAAAAAAAUCAGAAGAGAAGNNNNNNNNNNAAUACGGAGGCGCCGCCACAUCCUGUUCUUCAUCUAGAGGACAGAUCUGGAGUCCGUUUUGGGCUCCGGAGAUGGGAAAUCGUCGCCAUCCUCAUCAACAACCUUCUUCCCUCUCCAGUUCCAUGAAGCUCUUCAUCGUUCGAAAGUAAUCUAUUUGUAGGCUCGUUGGGCGGUGAUUAGUAGGAUGAGAUCUAUCAUGUAAUCGAGUUAGUUUUGAUGGGGAUUGNNNNNNNNNNGAGAGGGGAAAUCGUUGCCAGCGUCAUCAACAACCUUCUUCCCUCUCCAAUUCCAUGAAGCUUUUCAUCGUUCGUGAGUAAUCUAUUCGUAGGCUCGCUGGGCGGUGAUGANNNNNNNNNNCGCCAUGCUUAAUGCUUGUCACUAGGGCCCGAGUGCCAUGAUUUCAGAUCUGAAAUUAUUAUGUUGUCACCAAUAUAUGUGUGUUUUAGGUCCGAUCUUGCAAGUUGUAGUUACCUACUAUGUGUUAUGAUCCGGCAAUCCCGGAGUGACAAUAACCGGAACCGCUCCCGGCGAUAACCAUAGUUUGAGGAGUUCAUGUGUUCACCAAGUGCUAAUGCGUUGUUCUGGUUCUUUAUUAAAAGGAGAACCUUAAUAUCCCGUAGUAUCCUUUUGGNNNNNNNNNNNNNNNNNNNNNNNNNNNNNNNNNNNNNNNNNNNNNNNNNNNNNNNNNNNNNNNNNNNNNNNNNNNNNNNNNNNNNNNNNNNNNNNNNNNNNNNNNNNNNNNNNNNNNNNNNNNNCUUUUCCCUAAGCACGUAUGACGACACACGGAAUGCAUGCCUACAUCACAUUGACGAACGGGAGCUAGCCACAUAUCUCUCCGUGUUAUAACUGUUGCAUGAUGAAUAUCAUCCAAACAAAUCACCGACCCGUUGCCUACGAGUUUGUCCUACUGCUGUUGUUACUUGUCUUGCUCUGCUGCCGUUACUUGUCUUGCUCUGCUGCUACUGUUGCUACUACUGUCGCUUGCUACUGUUGCUACUUGCUACUGCUGUCACUAUUGUUGUUCCUUGCCACUGUUGUUACUCGUUUCUUUCCUGCUACUACUUUUCUUGUAGAUACUAAUCUUUCAGGUGCGGUUGAAUCAGACAAAUUCAGCUGCUAAUACUCGAGAGUAUUCUCUCACCUCCUGCCUGGCGAAUCAACAAAUUUGGGUCGAAUACUCUACCCUCGAAAACUGCUGCGAACCCACGCGCUAGUGGGCGAUCAACAACAUUCUUCUAGUUUCAUUGCCAGGGAGUGCUAGCAGCAUUCUUCUGGUGCCGUUGCAGGGGAAGGUCUGUUGACACAGAGUCAGCAUUCGUCUAGCUAUUGCCAGAGAGUGCCAGUCAUGUCUCUCGCUCUAUGGUUGGUGAGUGUGUGGUGUUGUUCGACUGUGGAAUGAUCGGCCCCCGUGCAUGGAGGGCGACCGGGGGGUUUUAUAGACGAACCCGCUGGCCUACAAUAUGGAUAAAGGGUACCAGUGUGGGACUCGGCUGGCAGCCUCGCCGGUUAGUCAGGGGCCACUAGAGUCUUGUCUUGUCGCUUGAGGGGCCUGCCGGCUCCAUGGUCUCGAUUGGCAGUGGGACCCGCCGGCUGGCCAAUGAAGCUCUCGCGUAAGGUUGACACCGAGCACGCGUUGUACGUCAAGCGUCGUCCAGCGAGAUUCGUCAUGGGAAGGUAGUACGGCCGCCUUCACUGUUCCCCACGCCGAGUGCAGUAAUGGAGUGGGAGUGCAACGGUCCGACACUAUGCUAGGUGAUGGAUCAGAGCCGGGGUAGGUCAGCGGCGUGGCCGUCGACGCUCGUACCUGUCGGGCGCCUCGAUCCAGUACCUUUGCUGACGCGUAGCUACCUUUAAUCGUAAGGUCUGAUCCUGACCUACGAUCUGAUGUGACUUGUGAUCCUUGGCCGGCUAGCCUGCUUGGCCAACCGGCUUGGGUGCGGCCGCCUCAUUCCUAGCCGACUCAUUGGAUCAGGCCGGCUCAGAAGAGGUAACCGCCUCGACUCUAGCCGGCAGGGGUUGCCUGGCUAGCCAGAGGGAUGGCCGCCUCGUCCUUUAGCCGGUAGGCGCUGCCUAGCCGGCCGAAAGACUUGGGCCUUAGGAGACUGUAUAUGUUCAUGUCCUUUGGGCAGAAAUGAAGGAGCAGGCUUGAUGAGCCUACCCCGGGGUUAUCCUCCCGACAGUAGUCCCCGAAGCUGGAGAGGCCUGCCGCCUGCGGGCGGGCGGCCUCACCUGCUUGAUGAUUUGCCUUGGUAUUUUUGGUGCUAUUCGUGAUGAGGAGCGCCGGCUUCGAAACGGGCUGGCUUCGAAACGACGCCUCGGCUUCGUCGCAAGUCGCUCAGAGAGCGCCACGUGCCAGGCCCCACCUGGCAUAAUAAUGGUGAUUACUGGUGACGGGACCGGGCCUAGGCCCUAGGUCCCGCCACGACGCCCCCUCGGCCUCCGCACGAGAGAUCUUCUGCGGAUUUACUCCGCGACGGUUGGGCUUAGGGAAGCGUUACCGCCCGUAAUACACGGGGUUAGUGGUGGCCCAGUGCGCACCGUAUCCCCUCCCCACGAUGCUUCGUGGGGGUUUAAAUGGGAUGCGGGGGUUCCGAGGAGGCCAUUCACCCCCUUCUUGCCCCGCAUCCACGCCCUCUUCCUCCCUGCGCCCAGAGAGAAAGAGCUUGUGUCCUUCGUCUUCCUCGUCUUCGUCGCCGCGAAGCUGCCAACCCCUUCGAGUUCCCGUCGCCCGCAGCCAUGGCCGGCGGUUCUUCCUCGAAAAGGCCCUCGGCGCUGAAGGCAUCGUCGCAGGGAACCUGGCUGGGGAGCAAAGUUGGUGAGGAGCACAUCGAGGCGCUUUGUCACCACCGACUGCUGCCCCCGGCCUCCCAAGUGCUGGUGCGACUCCCUGGCGCCGAGACCGCUCCCACACCCACCGUGGGAGAGGUCGUGGUCUUCACCGAGCAUUUCUACUGGGGCUUCGGGCUUCAGGCCAGCGCCUUGUUCUCCGAAUGGCUCUGCUUCUUUGGCCUGCAGCCGCAUCACCUGGCGCCGAACGCCAUUCUGAAGUUGUCGGCCUUCGUCGUCCUGUGCGAGGGUUUUUGUGGGAAUCGAGCCCCGCGUCGACCUGUGACGCAGCUUGUUCUUCUUCAAGCAGCAAUCCAUCGCCAUGGAGAAAUCCGAGGUGGAGAAGCUCAAGGGGCCGCGCCCGAUGACGUCGUGCGGAUCCGCGUUGGUGCACCACCGCUCGAAGUCGGGCUUCCCCCAGAUGCCACUGCAGGAAUCCGUCAAGCAGUGGCAGAAGGGUUUCUUCUAUGUGAAGAACGCCGACCCCGCCCUGGACGCCCUCAACAUGCCCCCAUUCAACAUCGACCCGCCGACGAGGUUGAACUGGGCGGCGAAGACCCCCAAGCCGAUUUCCGAGGUGGCGCUGAUCUGCACCCACCUCGACAUUUUGGAGAAGGGCGGCCUCCUUGGCCGCAACCUGCUCACCACCAUGGUGGCCCGCCAGAUCCUGCCCUUGCAGAGGCGGCUGCAUCUGGUCUGCCAGAUGAGCGGCCGACACGAUCCUUGCCAUCUAUCCACCAAGAGGUUCACUCCUGGCGCUGUAGCGCGAAGGGUGAAUCUGAUCUCCACCGCCCGCAUGGAUGAGGGCGGGCAAUGGACGUGAGGGAUGACCCCCUUCAACAGGUCCCGUCCGCCUCUGAUGGUAGGUGGCCUCUUUAUUCUUUGUUGUUUGCCUUGUAGCCGGCCGUGUUGCUGAGCCGACGAUCGAAUCCCUUUUCGCAGUUGUACGAGAAUCUGCAGGGGUCCCUCCGUUCGCCCGCUCCCGACAUGGAUGUGUCUGAUGCUUCGGAGAUUGAGGACGAGGGCAUGAUUGAAUCCCGCUCGGACUCCUCCGCCGGCUCAGAGAAUCCCCUAGAGUCGGAAGGACAGAGCCGUCUGCUGAGUACCCCCGGCCUUCCGUCGCGGACUGGACGGAUGACGACGAGAUUCCCUCAUUCUUCUCUGGUGCAGCCUUUGAGGAGGACUCCGAUGGGGUGGCGGAGGUCACCAGCCUGCCAUUGACGCGCGGCAGGCAUCAAAGGGGCGGAGCGACCGCCACCGACGAGGCGGCCGGGAGGAAGGGCAAGGGUGCCACAGCAUCCCGGCCGGCUCUUAAGCGGUCGGCGCCGAGUCCUCCAGUCGGACAGCGAGCAGGCGGCGCCAAGAAACACCGUGGCGCUGGCCGGAGGCAGGUCCCUGAUACGUCUCCGUCGUAUCUACUUUUCCAAACUCUUUUGCCCUUGUUUUGGACUCUAUUUUGCAUGAUUUGAAUGGAACUAACCCAGACUAACGCUGUUUUCAGCAGAAUUGCUAUGGUGUUGUUUUUGUGCAGAAAUGAAAGUUCUCGGAACUUCCUGAAAAUUUACGGAGAAUUUUUAUGGAAAAUAUGAAAAAUACCUGCGCAAAGAUCCACCGGAGGGGAUGGGCCAGUGGGCCACAUGUUGGAAUUAUGCCCUAGAGGCAAUAAUAAAUAUAGUUAUUAUUAUAAUUCCUGUAUCAAGAUAAUCACUUAUUAUCCAUGCUAUAAUUGUAUUGAAUGAAGACUUAUAUACAUGUGUGGAUAUAUAGACAAAACACUGCCCCUAGCAAGCCUCUAGUUGGCUAGCAAGUUGAUCAAAGAUAGUCAGGGUCUUCUGAUUAUGUACAAGGUGUUGUUGCUUGAUAACUGGAUCACGUCAUUAGGAGAAUCACGCGAUGGAGUAGACCCAAACUAAUAGACGUAGCAUGUUGAUCGUGUCAUUUUAUUGCUACUGUUUUCUGCGUGUCAAGUAUUUGUUCCUAUGACCAUGAGAUCAUAUAACUCACUAACACCGGAGGAAUACUUUGUGUGUAUCAAACGUCGCAACGUAACUGGGUGACUAUAAAGAUGCUCUACAGGUAUAUCCGAAGGUGUUCGUUGAGUUAGUAUGGAUCGAGACUGGGAUUUGUCACUCCGUGUGACGGAGAGGUAUCUCGGGGCCCACUCGGUAAUACAACAUCNNNNNNNNNNCUCCGAAGGUGUUCGUUGAGUUAGUAUGGAUCAAGACUAGGAUUUGUCACUCUGUGUGACGGAGAGGUAUCUCGGGGCCCACUCGGUAAUACAACAUCGUACACAAGCCUUGCAAGCAAUGUGACUUAGUGUAAGUUGCGGGAUCUUGUAUUACGGAACGAGUAAAGAGACUUGUCGGUAAACGAGAUUGAAAUAGGUAUACGGAUACUGACGAUCGAAUCUCGGGCAAGUAACAUACCGAAGGACAAAGGGAAUGACAUACGGGAUUAUAUGAAUCCUUGGCACUGAGGUUCAAACGAUAAGAUCUUNNNNNNNNNNGCGGAUAGUGACGAUCGAAUCUUGGGCAAGUAACAUAUCGAAGGACAAAGGGAAUGACAUACGGGAUUAUAGAAUCCUUGGCACUGAGGUUCAAACGAUAAGAUCUUCGUAGAAUAUGUGGAUCCAAUAUGGGCAUCCAAGUCCCGCUAUUGGAUAUUGACCGAGGAGUCACUCGGGUCAUGUCUGCAUAGUUCUCGAUCCCGCAGGGUCUGCACACUUAAGGUUCGACGUUGUUUUAUGCGUAUUUNNNNNNNNNNGAUCCAAUAUGGGCAUCUAGGUCCCGCUAUUGGAUAUUGACCGAGGAGUCAAUCGGGUCAUGUCUGCAUAGUUCUCGAACCCGCAGGGUCUGCACACUUAAGGUUCGACGUUGUUUUAUGCGUAUUUGAGUUAUAUGGUUGGUUACCGAAUGUUGUUCGGAGUCCCGAAUGAGAUCACGGACGUCACGAGGGUUUCCGGAAUGGUCCGGAAACGAAGAUUGAUAUAUAGGAUGACCUCAUUUGAUUACCGGAAGGUUNNNNNNNNNNGAUGAGAUCACGGACGUCACGAGGGCUUCCGGAAUGGUCCGGAAACGAAGAUUGAUAUAAUAGGAUGACCUCAUUUGAUUACCAGAAGGUUUUCGGAGUUACCGGGAAUGUACCGGGAAUGACGAAUGGGUUCCGGGUGUUCACCGGGGGGGGCAACCCACCCCGGGGAAGCCCAUAGGCCUUGGGGGUGGCGCACCAGCCCUUGGUGGGCUGGUGGGACAGCCCAAGAAGGCUCUAUGCGCCAAGGAUAGAAAAUCAAAGAGAAAGAAAAAAAAGGAGGUGGGAAAGGAGAGAAGGACUCCACUUUCCAAUCCUAGUUGGACUAGGAUUGGAGGAGGACUCCUCCUCCCUUGGUGGCGCAGCCCUUGGGGCUCCUUGAGCCUCAAGGCAAGCCUCCCCUCCCUCGUCCUAUAUAUAUGGAGCAAUUAGGGCUGAUUUGAGACAACUUUUCAAAGGCAGCCCGACCACAUACCUCCACGGUUUUACCUCUAGAUCGCGUUUCUACGGAGCUCGGGCGGAGCCNNNNNNNNNNGGACUGACGCUGUUUUCAGUAGAAUUGCCAUGGUGUUGUUUUUGUGCAGAAAUGAAAGUUCUCGGAACGUCCUGAAAAUUUACAGAGAAUUUUUCUGGAAAAUAUGAAAAAUACCUGCGCAAAGAUCCACCGGAGGGGAUGGGCCAGUGAGCCACAAGCCCUGUUGCCGCGGCCACCCCCCUGGUCGCGGUAACCAAGCUUGUGGGGCCCACGUGGCUCUGCCGCCCCCAAACUCAGCUCUAUAAAUUCACUUUCGCCCAGAAAAAAAUCAGAAGAGAAGNNNNNNNNNNNNNNNNNNNNNNNNNNNNNNNNNNNNNNNNNNNNNNNNNNNNNNNNNNNNNNNNNNNNNNNNNNNNNNNNNNNNNNNNGAUACGGAGGCGUCGCCACAUCCUGUUCUUCAUCUGGAGGACAGAUCUGGAGUCCGUUUUGGGCUCCGAAGAGGGGAAAUCGUCGCCAUCGUCAUCAUCAACCUUCUUCCCUCUCCAAUUCCAUGAAGCUCUUCAUCGUUCGUGAGUAAUCUAUUCGUAGGCUCGUUGGGCGGUGAUGAGUAGGAUGAGAUCUAUCAUGUAAUCGAGUUAGUUUUGAUGGGAAUUGAUCCCUAGUAUCCACUAUGUUCUGAGAUUGAUGUUGCCACUACUUCUCAGCCGACUUGGACCGCCUCGCUUAGAUUCAUCUCAAGGAGAUGAACCUCAAGGACGCCGCCUUGAAGGAGAAGGAGGAGGCCCUUGUCGAGAAGCAAUCACAGCUGGCCAAGGCCUUGGAGUCUGCGGUGGCUCUCCACGAGGAGGUUGCCCGCCUUACUCACGCGAGUAAGGUGCGGGAGCUCGAGGUCCUCGAGAGCUCCCAUGAGACCGAUGGCGCCUUCCAUCGUGAGUCUCUCUUCUUUGUCUUGUUUUUGGCUUUUUGGCCGUCCCCUCUUCUUACUGUCCUCUUGUGUCCCGACUGUUGCUAUUCCAGGUCUCUUUCCUGCGACCCAGAUCGCGGCCGACACUGCCGUUGAGGUGAGCCGCGAGGAGCGCCGCGCGGCUGGGGAGGAGGUCGACACUACCUCCGGUUGGAGCGUGGAGGAUAUCGGGGUGGGCCUUCGGGCCCGCUUGCGCGCCCUGGGCGAGUCUAUGGCUCAACUCCAGGUUGCAGGUUCGUCGAUGGUGGCGGCCUUGUGGCCGGAGGGCGUGGAGCCGGCGUCAAUGAGCCGGCUCACCCGCUGGCUCGCAGCAGGCGGAGAACGCCUGGAUGCUUGGCGUGCCUCUGUCGCGCGGGCCGGGGCUUACAUGGCCCUGCGCUUGGCCAAGUCCUGGUAUCGGAACCUAGACUUGGGCAAGCUCGCCGCCCAGCGUGACGGCUCGGAGGCGGAGCUGCACGACGUGGAGGAGGCGCUGCGUGUGAGGGCCAGCGGCAUCGCCGAGUACGCCGCUUGGGACGAUUUUGUUUUGGAGCGGGGUGAAGAUGGCGGUGUGAUCGCUGAAGAUCUGCACGGCCUUCAGCCCUAUGACCCCGAUGGCAGCUCCGACGAGGCGGCCCGUGCUAUGGAAUCUGCUGCCGCCUCUAGCGACGUGGCGUACGCCGACUCCGGUGCGGAUGAAGCCGGGAGCCCUCGCGAAGGAGACGGUGCAACCGCCUCGGGAGCAGCUGGGGAUGGUGAUGCUACCACUUUAGGAGCAGCGGCCGGGGCGACCGAUGAGGCCGCAACCCCGUAGCCGGUGUCCUUUGUGUUUUGUUCUACCCCUAGAGGGAUGUAAUGAACGUGGGCCAUGGGCCAAUGCUUUUUUGAAUGUAUGUAUUCAACAUUAUAUUCGUAUUGCCAUGCGUGUUGUCUUUGUCUUUUGAUUCUUGGUUGACUCCUUUUUCUCCAAUCCUCGUAUUCCUAAUCUUCCAUCCCGCCAACCCGACAGCCGGGAGCCGGUCUGUGGCUGGGUCGAGGUUUCUGAUUUUAGAAUACGAGACUUAGAUUUUUCGAAGCCCUCGAGACUUAAAGAACAAGACAUAAACCAAUAGAGGCCGACUUGAAUGAGAUCGUAUAUAUGAUCGAGCCAGCCCGAGCCGACGACCCUUUGUAGCCAAACUUUGCAUGUAUCCAGCCUGACCUGGCGUCACCUCGCAAGCCUGACGGCUGGAGCCAGUCUGCAUGCUCGCACGAGGUGACCAGGGAUCAGCUGGUUACACUAUGUGUUCGUUUACAAUAGGGAAGGCGUCCGAGCGGCUAGCAAGCCCCCGAGCUUGUUAAAGCCAGCAAGGGGCAUGCGCUGCGUAGCCUCCGAGCUUGAUUAAGCGAGCAAGAGGUGUACGCUGUGUAGCCCCCGAGCUUAUUGAAGUCGGCAAGGGGCGUCCACUGAGUGAAAACUCUCAAUAAAAAGAAACAUGAGGCAUGCUCUUUUUAUUGCAUUUGUUUUUGAUCCCCGAAGAGGGAUAAAGAUACAUACGCAUGCUCUUUCCCUUGUUUGAUUCUUGCCUUCUAGCAAUAGAACGGGCGAAGCAAUGCCGCGCUCCAUGGACAUUCCGUUUCUUGGCCGGAGUCGUCCCUCUUGCGCUUCCUUGGCUUUUGGGCAUCGACCAAGUAGUAAGCGUUGUUGUGCAAUGCCCUACUGAUGAUGAAGGGUCCCUCCCAUGGGGAUGAGAGCUUGUGUUGGCUGGCAGUGCGCUGGAUUCUUCUGAGGACCAAGUCUCCCUCCCUGAAAGAGAGAUGCUUGAUCUUUUUGCUGUGGUAGUAUCUCAGCUUCUGUUGAUAGAUGGCCGUCCAGCUCAAGGCCAAGUCCCUUGCUUCUUCGAGGAGAUCCACACCAUCUUCUCUUGCCUCCUUCGCCUCCGUUUCUGUGUAUAGGGCGACCCGAGGUGAGUCGAACUCGAUAUCCGUGGGAAUAAUAGCCUCGGACCCGUAUACAAGAAAGAACAGAGUGAAGCCGGUCGACCGGUUGGGCGUGGUGUGGAGGCUCCAUAACACAGCCGGCAAUUCUUCAAUCCAGCAGCCGGCUGAUGUGACCAGUGGUGCCACCAGUCUUGGCUUGAUGCCGGCCAGAAUCAGGCCGUUGGCCCUCUCCGCCUGGCCAUUCGACUGGGGAUGUGCCACUGAUGCCAAAUCGAGUCGGAUGCCUACCUUGGAACAGUAGAGCGCCAGAGCGCCUUUGGCGAAGUUGGUGUCGUUGCCGGUGAUGAUGUUGUGGGGAACGCCAUAUCGGACAGAGAUGUCUGUGAUGAACUUGACAACAGUGGGGCCAUUAAGCUUCUUGAUAGGUCUGGCUUCAAUACACUUGGUGAACUUGUCGAGGGCUACCAAGAGAUGCGUCAUCCCACCACAAGCCGUCUUGAAGGGCCCUACCAUGUCCAGUCCCCAGACGGCGAAUGGCCAUGACAGGGGGAUGGUUUUGAGGGCCGAAGGCGGCAUAUGGCUCUUUGCGCUGAAGAAUUGGCAGCCUUCGCAUUUGUCGACCAGAUCCACGGCCUCGUCGAGAGCCGUGGGCCAGUAGAAUCCGUGGCGGAACGCUUUGGCCACCAUGGUCCUGGAGGCGGCGUGAUGCCCACACUCCCCCUGGUGAAUGUCUCUGAGGAUCUCCUGUCCCUUUUCUGAUUCGACACAGCGUUGGAACACGCCGGUCAUGUUGCGCCCUACCAGCUCGCGAUUGAUGAUGGCGUAGGCUGCAGACCUACGCUGGAUCUGCCUCGCAUCUGCCUCGUUCUGAUGAAGUUUGCCGCGAAGAAGGAAGGCCAGGACAGUCUGUGCCCAUGACGGAGCCGACACAAGGGCUGCCUCCGCCUCGACUCGACUGUUGGGGGCUUCUGCAUCCCCCGAGUUUGAUGGAGCCGCGGUUGUCGACUUGAGACAAGGUGUCUCUGGUGCUGCUCUGGUAGCUGGCUCACCAUCUACCUGCAUGACGUCCACCCACUGGGUGUCGAGACGACAGGAUUUGAGGCCAGGCAGAGUCGGGGUUGUUGUUGUACCCGGUGCCGCCAUUGGAGUCGAUCUGGCCAACUGAGCUGGCACGGGAACUGUAGCCGAGGUAGUUGGUGGAGCCGACGGCGCUUGCACCGUGGAUUCACGGGUGCCGCUAUUGGAGUCGGCGUAGUCAGCGUAGCCGGCGUGGGAGCCGCAGCCGGCGUAGCUGGUGGAGCCGACGGCGCUUGCACCGCAGAGUCAGCCGGCACAAAGAUUGAUGCCGACUCGGGAGACGGCCUGAUAGACGGCUUAUGGAGUUGCUCGAGGGAGACGCCAGCUGGAAUGGCCUGUCUCGUGGAGCCGAUCUUCGCCAGUGUAUCGGUCGCCUCAUUUUCUGCCCUGGGAACGUGGUGAAACUCACAGCCCUCGAAGGGGCCGCUGAGCUGCUGAAUGAGGAAGCGGUAGCUUGCCAUGUUGGCGUCCCUGGCGUCCCAUUCGCCAGAGACCUCCUGCACCACCAAGUCUGAAUCGCCGAAGCAUAUGAGCCGCCGGAUGCCAAUCUCCUUGGCAAGCCAGAGGCCAUGAGCAAGUGCUUCGUACUCGGCGAUGUUGUUGGAGGCGACGAAGUGGAUCUGGAGAGCAUACUUGAGCUAGUCCCCUUGCGGAGACGUCAAGACGAUGCCGGCUCCCAAUCCUAUCUGCAUCUUCGAGCCGUCUAAGUGCAUCCGCCAAUGCGUGGAGUCUAGAGGCGGUGGCUCAAACUGGGUCUCGGCCCAGUCGACUAAGAAGUCGGCCACCACCUGAGAUUUGAUGGCGGUGCGGGGCUCGUACCGGAUAUCGUGAUCCGCCAUAGCGAUGGACCAUUUGGCAAUCCUGCCCAUGGCAUCACGGUUGCCCAUGAUCUCUGAAAGUGGAGUAGUGCUUACCAUUGUGAUGGCAUGCUCUUGGAAGUAUUGCUUCAACUUCUUUGCAGCAAGGUAAACACCAUAACACAUUUUUUGAUAAUGCGGAUAGUUCUGCUUGGAGGUGGACAAGACCUCGCUAAGGUACUAGACAGGGCACUGCACUGGCAGUGUUGUGCCCUCCUCCUUACGCUGAACUACCAACACUACACUAACCAUGCGAGUGGUCGCUGCAAUGUAUAUGAGUAUGGGUUCCCUUUCAGACGGUGCUGCCAAGAUUGGCAUGCUCGAGAUUACCCGCUUGAGGUCGUGGAAGGCUUCGUCCGCCUGGUCGUUCCACUCGAACUUCGUUGUCUUCUUCAUGAGCUGGUAGAGUGGAAGGGCCUUCUCGCCAAGCCGGCUAACGAACCAGCUAAGGGACGCCAAGCAGCCGGCGAACUUCUGGACGUCGAGGAUUCGAGCCGUCCGCACCAUCCGCUCGAUGGUGCCGUUCUUUUCGGGGUUCGCCUCGAUGCCGUGGGCGGACAUGAAGAACCCCAAGAGUUUGCCGCCUGGAACCCCAAAGACGCACUUCUCUGGGUUGAGCCGAAUCUUGUACUCGCGUAGGUUGGCGAAUGUCUCCCGCAAGUCGUCGAGGAGCCUGAAGUGCUGCUUCAUCUUGACGAUGAUGUCAUCCACAUAGACGUGGAUGUUUCUGCCGAUCUGUGGCAGUAGGCACUGCUGCAUGCAGCGUUGGAACGUCGCACCUGCAUUCUUCAGACCGAACGUCAUGGUGGUGUAGCAGUAGGCCCCGAAGGGCGUGAUGAAGGAGGUCUUCAGGCGAUCAGUUGGAUCCAGCUUGCUUUGAUGGUAGCCCGAAUAAGCAUCCAGAAACGACAGCAGUUCGCAGCCUGCAGUGGAGUCGAUCACUUGAUCUAUCCUAGGCAACGCGAAAGGGUCUUUUGGACAGGCCUUAUUCAGGCUAGUGUAGUCAAUACACAUUCGCCAGGUGUUGUUGUUCUUCAGCACCAGGACUGGAUUAGCCAGCCAGUCCGGGUGGAAAACCUCCAUGAUGAAGCCGGUUGCAAGGAGCCGGGUGAUCUCUUCUCUGAUCGUGCGUCGCUUCCCCUCGGCGAAGCGGCGCAAGGGUUGUUUCACCGGCUUUGCAUCCGGUCGCACGUGAAGUUUGUGCUCGGCGUACUUCCUCGGAACACCCGACAUGUCCUUGGGGGACCAUGCAAAGAUGUCCCGAUUCUCACGGAGGAAGUCGACAAGCUCGCCUUCCUAUUUGGGGCUGAGGCCAGCACCAAUGGUGACGCACUACUUUGGAUUGGCGGGGUCGAGUGGGACCUGCUUGGUCUCUUUAGCCGGCUUGAAAGAGCCCUCGCCGGCCGAUUGGGACGGAGGAGAAGGAAUCGUCGGCUGCUCAGUAGCCUGGGCCACGAGUCGGUCGAUCUGCCGCUUCUCCUCAGCAAUCACCAAGGCGUCGGCGAUGCGUUUGCUAUCUUGGGCACACUCGAGCGACUUCUUGUAGUCGCCAACAACAGUGAUGAUGCCCUUGGGACCCGGCAUCUUCAUCUUCAGGUAGGCGUAGUGCGGAAUAGCCAUAAACUUGGCCAGAGCCGGUCUUCCCAGCAGCGCGUGAUACGGGCUGCUGAGGUCCACUACCUCGAACCAUAUGGACUCUCGGCGAAAGUGGGCUUUGUCGCCGAAGAGGACGUCCAGCUAGAUCUUACCAAUGGGCGAGCAGGACUGCCCACACACGAUACCAUGGAAGACAGUACUGGUCGGUAGGACGUCCAUCUCCUUGAGUCCGAUCUUGAGGAGAGUGUCGAGGUAGAGGAUGUUGAUGCUGCCGCCGCCGUCGACCAACACCCGGGAGAAUCGGCAGGUGAGCCUCUUGGAGGCGAAGGUGGGGUCGAGGACGAGCGCGUAUGACCCUGGGUUGGGCAUCACCGCAGGAUGGUCCACCCGGCUCCAUAUAAUUGGUUUGUCCGACCAAUGCAUGUACUGGGGAACCGGGGGCACCGUGGCAUUCACCUCGCGCCGCCUCUGGCGCAAGCUGUGCUUGUCGUUGCCUUCACUCGUGAAGACGACGAACGCUCCGUCUUGAUGAGGGUAGUCGUCUUGGUGGUGGCCGUCGUCGCGAGGCGGCGCCGGCGGAGCCGGAGCGUGGCCGGGAGCUGGUGCACGAGGUGCCGCCUGCGCACCUGGAGGAGCCGGCAGGCCAUCCCCUUGCGACAGCCAGCGUGCAAAGUUGCACUGUCGAAGGGUAUGGGUGGACGGCUGCGCCCCAGAAUGUAUCUUGCAGGGGGCGUCGAGCAGCUGCUCGAAGGACUGCUUGGGCAGCCAGUUGGUGUUGUUUCGGUUGGGAUGCUUUCGCGGAGGGCCGGUUUGAGGAGCCGAUGUUUCGCCCUCCACGCUGGCCACCAACUUGCUGUUGGAGCGGGAGUCCAUCUGAUACGCCUUGCGCUUGUUGUUGUUUUGGCCGCCUCGGUUGUCCCCUGCUGCCUUAGGAGUAGCCGGCGUAGGGAAAGCCUUGUCCGAGGCGGUCACCUUGACGCGCAUCGCCGAGUCGGCCGUGGCGUAUUUGUCCGCCUUGGCCAUGAGCACCGCCAGAGAGGUGGGCUUGGAGCACAUAAGCUUGUGCUUGAGGAGGGUGCCGUCUCGGCAACCGUCGAUGAAGUACUGGAUGGCUUGUACCUCAUGCACCCCCUCGCAGGAGUUACGGAGCUCCGUCCACCGGGUCACGUAGUCGCGAAGGGGUUCGUCGGGCUUCUGGAUGCACAUGGCCAGCUCCCGGGGCCGGCCAGGGCGCUUGUAGGUGUCAGUGAAAUUGCGGACGAACGCCUCCUCGAAGUCCACCCAGGAGUUGACACUGCGGGCCGGAAGGCUGUUAAGCCAAGUCCGGGCCGAGCCGGUCAACAUGAGUGGCACGUAGCGGACCGCUACACGCUUGUUGCCCCUGGCAAUGCCGACUGAUACGCAUAUAUUUAUAGGUGCAAUUAAAAAAAAUAUAUAGAUAUGAAAUUCGAUAUGCAUUUUAUUUAUAGAGAUAAUUAUGGAAAAAGAUAAAAGGCCUGUGGCAACGCACGGGCAUUCUGCUAGUAUAUAUACAAUGCACUAGACAACACUACUCAUGGGCUUGUGCUAAAACCUUUGUUCUCAAGAAAGCUAUGUCGCACUCGAAAGUACUCGUAUGAUCAUGAUCUCAGAGCUCGGGGUGAACAGUAAAAUUCAAAAAAAAGCUAGAAAAAAUGCUACCCACAGUGACAAGCGAAGCGGGGCCCUAGUAGUAGCGUGGUCACCCAUGCUACCACUAUGCUUUUCUUUAAUAGUGAUCGUGAAUAAGUAUUGCAUUACUAUGCACUUUUAUAUCAAUUGCUCAAUAGUAAUUUGUUUACCCAUCAUAUGGCUUCUUUGAGAGAGAUGCCACUAGAAAACAUUAUGCCCCGGGUCUAUUCACUUAUAUAUAUUUACAAAUGCUAUUAUUUCCUUGCUAUUCUUAAUUACUUUUUUAUUUAUUUUCCACUUUAUAUUUAUCCAACUAUCAUCUACACUACUCAUUUGCAUGCAAGUGACGAGUCCAAGGGGAUUGACAAACCUGUUGCCUACGUUGGGUGCAAGUGUUUGCUCUUUUGUGUAUAGGCGAUGAAGACGGGGUUGCGUGAUACUCAUAUUGAUUCGAUAACCUUGAUUCCCAUUGAGAAAAAUAUUUAUCUAAACUGUGCUGCAUCAUCCUCUUCUCUUCGAAAAAAAACUCAACGCAAAUCGUAAAUAUCACGCGUCUGUGACCUAUUUCGUCUUUAUUUGCACGAAAUAGGUAAAACAACAACAUGUACUAUGCAAGAAAAUGAAAGGAAAAGAAGAACAUGAAUUCUAUCUGCAUCCCAUGAUAUGUGUAGACACGCAACAAACAUUAAAUGAAUUAACAAAUUAAGUAAACCUGCUGGCUUAUUACUAUUUUUUUCUUAUGCACAUAUUUUCCAUAUGAUGGGUGCGGUAGCAAUAUAUAUUUUGAUUCACUAGCAAAUAUGCCCGUGCAUUGCAACGGGAGAAAUAUAUACAUUAUACACUAGCCAAAUAAGUGUAACAUUUUUUUAAGGAUUGAUUCAAUACUCUUACAUAUGAGCAUCCUUUGUUUUUAACAUGAUGACUCAUCAUGUUGUCACUUAACUUUCUUUCCCACCCUCGUUGAUGAUGGUCGCGAUGUUCACGUGAUGACAAUGCAUUCAACGCGCUAAAUCCAAGGACUAUGAGCUUGCUACUGCAUGUCACAUUUGUCAUUAUGCUACGUAAGGGAAUAUUUAAUUUUUUCCAAACAAAUCUCACCGACCAUGAGCUACUUCCAAUGUCUAGACAUAUAAAGACUUUUGAAAAUCUAAUCAAAUCCUAGACAUCAAAGGCUUUGAAUCGGUGAACAGUUUUUGAAUUGACUUUUUUUUAAAUCACCAACAUUUGUUUUGUGUACGAGCAUUUUCUGAAAUGCAAGAAAAGUUUUUGAAUUCAUGAGCAUUUUUGACUCAACAAACAUGUUUUGGAUCGCUUAACUUUUUUAAAAAUUGGAGAACAAAUUUUAAAAUUUUUGUUUUUUAACUUUUUUGUGAACAUUUUCUAAAAUUUGAUGGACACUUUUUGUAGAUUCCCGAAUAUGUUUUGCGUACAUAUUCUGAAAUGUAUUUUCUGUACAAACAUUUUUUGACUUUUUGUUUUGUGACCGAACAUUUUGUGAAAUGCAUGAAUUUUUUCGAAUUCAUGAGCAUUUUUUGACUCAACAAACAUGUUUUGAAUCGCUUAAUUUUUUUGAAAAAGGGGGAACAAAUUUUAAAAUUUGUGUUUUUUUACUUUUUGUGAACAUUUUGUAAAAUUUGAUGGAAACUUUUUGUAGAUUUCCGAAUAUGUUUUGAACAAAUGAUCAUUUUUUUCAAAAUCAAGAACAUGAUUUUAUUUCCUGACUAUUUAUUUUUCAAAUUGUGAUUUUGUUUUGUAAUUUCAAACAGUUUUACAAAUACACCAAUAUAUUUUUAAUCCAUGAAAAUUUUAUAAUUUCCUUAAAAAUAAAUUCUCAUGCAUUUUAUAAUUUCUCAAACAUCUAUUUAAAACUCACCAUGUUUGAAAUUUGAAAACCCCGAAUUAAUAUAAAGAAGGAAGAUAACAGAAUAAGAAAAGAAAAAGAAAAAAAAUAAAAAAAAGACAACCAAGUCAUGUGCAACAUGGGGAUCGAUCCCUAGUUGUGUGGGUAGAAGUGUUAGACCUGAGCCACUAUAGCGCUAGUCUGUUGCUGCUUCUAUAGAAACAUCCCCCUCAAAUAAAGGAUUACGCCGCGACUUUUGGAAAAAAAUCAAAGCGUUUUUUUUACUUGUGGGUGGCACGGUGGGUAAUAUAAGUCAACUUUGGGGGUAAUAUUAAUGACGAACGACAGAAGCACUAAUUGCUUUAUUAGUAGGUGUCGUGGGUGUAAGCCUGACAGUAGAUGUGUAGGGUACGAAAAGGAUGGGCAGAGUCCCAGCUACGGCGAGGAUGUAUGAGUUCAGGCCCCUCUGCGGUGGAGGUAAUAACCCUAUAUCUCAGUGCUCAGGGAGCUUUGUUGUCGAGUGGAAUAUGGAAUACAAUGAGUUGCUAACCCCUCUACGAGUGGGGGAGGGUGGCUUAUAUAGAGUGCGCUGCCCUCCACAACGGUUCCGGUACACGGGUGGAGUAGUGGCGAUUGAAUGUGUACGUUACAGGUAACGUACACCCUAAAUGCUAAUAAAUGCACCCGAAAACGUACGACCAUUUCCCUCCAGGGGGGUUACGAUGUACCGAGUGGUAUACAGUCAGUUGACUCGAUAUGCUCCGAAUGUUAGUCGCCGACUGGAGGACCGAGGGUAUGUUACCUACUGGACGACAGGGAUUCCUUAAUUCAGUCGGAGUUGACUAAGGGUCUUGUCCUCUGCGANNNNNNNNNNNNNNNNNNNNNNNNNNNNNNNNNNNNNNNNNNNNNNNNNNNNNNNNNNNNNNNNNNNNNNNNNNNNNNNNNNNNNNNNNNNNNNNNNNNNNNNNNNNNNNNNNNNNNNNNNNNNNNNNNNNNNNNNNNNNNNNNAUUAGUCCCCGAAUGGAUUGGGGUUGGAACGACGAAGCAAUGUUUGAAGUUGGAUCCGACUGGAACAGAUUCGGCCUGGGCGUUGCUUUCCUCGGUCCAUUUCGACUUUUCUGAUCGACGAUCCGAGUGGAAGUACUCGCGAAACAGACUGUCGGGAGCCGAGUGCUUCGACGGCAUCUUCUGACGCGACCGGUCAACUGACAGCGGCGGAUUUUCCGGGAUCCUCAAAUUUCGGUUUCCGCGCGCUCAGCGGGGAUGACGCCAGCGCGCUCGAGUAGCGCCUGACGCCUCGAUUCUCGCGCCUUCAACCUCUCCACUAAUAUCACCGUGGUGGGUCGGGGGGAUAAGGUUUCGGGGCCACCUGCCAGCGACCCAGUCGGAACCCUAUUUAAAUCUCGGCGGCGAGGCUUCUCCGUUACGCUCGCCGAAUCCCUUGCUCUCGCCUGCUCCGCCCUUCUCGCCACCUCCAGCGCUCCUAUACUCCUCCCUUCUCCUUCCUCCCGAGGGUUCGCAGCUGCCGCCUUGACCAAGGGCCAGACCAGCAAGAUGGAGGCGAGGAAGAAGAAGGGGAAGACGGCGGCGCCUGCUCAGCGGCGGCAGCGGCCGCUGCCGGUGGGAUGGAUCCAGGGCGACUUCCUCCCCUCCACGGUGACGGAGGGGGAUCUGCUGCAGCUGGUGGAGCACGGGAUGAUCGUGCACAAGUCCUGGAGGCUGCCAGCGGAGAACGAGGUCGAGCCAGCGCCUCGGGAGGGGGAGCGCGUCCUGCUGCUCAGCCACGUCUACCGAGGUUUUUCUUUGCCCCCGCGUCCUUUCUUCAAGGGCAUCAUGAAUCACUUCGGGGCCCAACUUCACCAUUUUCCUCUGAAUGCCAUCGCCCAUCUUUCUGCCUUUAUAGUUUUGUGCGAGUGUUUCAUCGGCUGCCCUCCCCAUUGGGGUUUGUUCAAACACAUCUUUUCCGCCAGAUCCCAAACCAUCAAACGACUUAGCCAGUCGGAUGAUAAGACGCAUCUCCUCCAGCUCUGCGGGGGCUUAGGUUUCCAGAAAAAGAGUCGGAGUAGUUAUCCUGCUCUUCAGUUAAGUGAGUCGGUCAGGAACUGGCAGUCGACGUGGUUCUACUGCCAGGAUAUCGCCUGUCCGAAUGCGUCGACUGGGAUGCCUCCUUUUACUUUAGAUCGGCCCGCCCCGCCUAAGCAGCUCGCACUCUCGAAGGCGGAGAAGAACGACAUCCAGCCCUUGGUUGAGGCACUCGUGGACGUCGUCAGGAGGGGGGUCACCGGCAUAGACUUGCUGGAGGUCUUCCUUGGUCGGUGGAUCCAGCCUCUGCAGGCUCGCGACCAUGCCAUGUGGCAUUACACGGGGCCCGAAGACUCCACUCGGACUAACGUGGUGGGCGUGACUGAGGAGAGGGUGACCUCGUGGGUGCUCCAAAUCACGGGCCCCUGCGAGAAUCCCAAAGGAUCUCGGCGAGUGAAGCCUUACAGCGAGGAUCAUCCUCCAUCGAAUCAGGUGAGUGACACUUGUCGAGUGCGCUGAACUGUCUUAAUUCUUGUCGUUUGUCUAUAUCUCUGUGUGAUGUAUGAUGUCGCCGACUGAAAUUUAUGCAGGCGUGGACCAACUGGUUCUCCCCCGUCUCGAAUGGGAAUCCGGCGGAGGAAGAGGAGGAAGGCAGCCAGGAGGCCAGCAUGGAGAGCGCCGAGUAUGUCUCCGACAGUGGGGAAUCGGAGGAGGAGACCAGCGAGGAGGAGGGAGAAGACGAAGAGCAGGACUCGCCACCUCCGGAACCAGAGCAUCGGACCAAGCGCCGACACGAGCCCGCCGUCCCCUCGGCUCCUCCCGCGUCUUCGAGUGCUCCGCCUACUGCUCCGGUGGUCCCGAGUGUUCGAAGCACUAAGAGGACCAGGGAUGCCGCCGCUCAGCCUGCAGGUCAGUCUUCUAAGGCGGCCAAGCCGAGUGGGCCUAAGCCUCGGAAGGCUCUGCCGCGAAUGAGGGUUGCUGUCCCUGUCACCUCCACGUAAGUGUACCCAGCUUUCAAUUCUUUCUGAUAUCCGAGUGAACUUCUGUUUACUGGCCGAAUGGAUUUCACUCGACAGGGUCGCUACUUCUGCCACCUCUCCGGCGCGCCAGGAAGACGAUCCCAUGGACACGGACAAUGUCGUCUCGUCCCAGCUAGGUGCGUUGUAGGGACGUCGAGUGUUUUAUACUAUCGCGUCUCGAAUUCUAUCAUAGGUCUUGCUUCUUUCUUUUUCUGAGACCUCGUGUCAUUCGGCCUGUCAAGGGUGAUUUGCCUGGACGAGGGCAACCAAGGGAGGGUCGACCCAGCUGUGGAGCCUGUUCUUGAGGCUGCUCCUCCUGCUGCCGCUCUCGCCGCCGAUGUGCUGCCGACUGAGGCGCUGCCACAGACUGAACCAGUGCUGGUGGAUGAGGAGUCGACUGGGGCGGACCUUGGGAUGCCUCAGGAACCUCCGACGAUUCCAGGCUCGUCGAAUGCUGAAUUCAGCAUCCAGCGUCUUCCGGAGGAGCAGGUGGGAGCGGCCAAGGGGGCUAUGGUGCAGGCGGAGCUAAUGGUUGGAGAAGCCAAGAGGGCCUACGACUCCGUUGCGGCCUUGUACCAGCGGAGCUUGGAGCUGCGGGAUGAUAUCCGAGUAAGUGGUCUAGUAAGUAUUUACUUUUCUCCUGUAACCAACUGGGUGUUCUUGAAUAGCAGCUGUCGUUUGCAAUGGGUUCACUCGGAGUGAACCCAGUGGGUGUAGUCCCCGAGACUUCUGUUGAGUGCUUGCACCGACAGUUGUCUUUAUACAUAUUGUCUUUACUUUGGUUGUGUCUGUAAAUAGGAUGACCGAGUACGAGUAGUUGUUGCAGUCGGAGUGCACUUACUGUAAGAGUCCCCGAGAGUAAGUUGUACUCAGGUCGGGUAGUAUUGUCCUCGGAGGCGUAGGUUAUAACAUGCAUCUCAAUAGGGCGGGCCUGCUUGAGCUGCAUGCCAGUGGGGUCACUCUCAGUGAACCCACUGGGUGUAGUCCCCGAGACCGCUGUCGACUGCUUGCGUCGGCAGGGGUCUGAAGAACUUAGACUUUUAACUGUUGAACUUUCUGAUUGUCCCUCGGUGCUUGGUGGCAGAAAACUUGUGAAAUGGGGACGGCCUAUGAGGCUCUCAGAGCGGAGAGGAACCAGUUCGCUGGUGAGCUUGAUGCGGC